rnacentral:lncRNA from 1 species
GUGGGUUGUUUUUGGGACCUUCCGCCGCCCAAAUGGGGGUUAAGAAGCGAAGCAAUUCUCAUCUCUCUGCAUUCGCAACUUGGGCAGUAGAGGAAGGCAAAGAAACAAGGGCUUUCACUAGGGUUGGCCAGCUAAACCAACGAGAGCUCUCUUGUCGCCUCUCUUCUCUAAUUUCUUGCCUAGUUCCUCAGGUGGGCAAAUAUAUAGUCGAUGUAGGGUAAAAUGGUCAAUUUAGAUUAUCCUCCGGCUCUCCAAUCUGACGGCUGUGACCAGCUUGAUGGAAGGAUUACGUGUCAAGAUCGUCGAUGGGUACUAACUGAAGCGUUCGGAUUAUGUGAAUGAUUGGGCGAGACACGUGUGCGGCACAUGCGGUAAACGAGUAGAGGUAAGCGAGUAAAACACUUUGAAACCAACUUGUUGUGUUAUCGAAAUUACCUUUUUGUCCUUCUGAGCCGAUGGCAGCAUCAUCUAGGUAUUUUCUCCAAAUCCAGAUUCCAUCUAGGUAAAAGCGUGGGAGAUUUGUAGAUGUGAAGUUGAAGGCGCGGGAUUAUAGGACCAAGACACCAUUUUCUUUUUUAUAUAAAAUAGAAGUUAGUAUUAUUAAUAAAUCAGUUAAAAAUCGUCUAUUUUGACAUAAUUGGUUCUGCCUUUUUGAUAUAGAAUAAGAUAUUAGUUCAGUAUUGAAUUAUUUAUAGGGUUAAAAACACAAAAGCUCCCUGUGGUAUAGUUAUUACACAUAAAAACUCCUUGUGGUUUCAAAUCAUACCUAUCGAUACCCCAUGGUUUGAAAGAAAGUGCAUUUUCGACGGAAAUCGUUAAAGUAAACGCGAUUAUCAACCACGCACUGAAAAGGAGCGUGGUUGCUUCGGAAAAUGGGUUUUUAACUCAAAGUUUGAGCUGAUGUACCUCUUGUGCCUUUGACAACUUAUUAAACCUUCAAGCCAAUCAGCUUCUUCGGCAUUUUGCAGCAACCCAGCUUCUUUGACCGAAGAAUUGCUCAAGCUCUCGUGCCUCCUUAAGAUCGAGGAGGAAAAUCUGCAGGCUCUUCACUUCCUUGUAUUUCCUUCGAUUUUUUCAGCAAAUCUUCACUUUCUUGUAUUCCUGUCGCUGUCGGAUGAUAGAGAUGAAACUGUACCUGGAAAUCGGGAUUAAAGUGAUGCCUCUCACCCAGGGGCGGAUUUACAGUGGGGGCACUGGGGGCACGGGCCCCCACUGCCCUCCUUAAAUUCCUAUAAUACUCCUAUAAUUUUAAUACAAUUUUAAUGGUGCCCCCAGAAUUUUUUAAAAAAAAUAUGAAAGAAUGGGCCACAAAAUUUAUAUCAUUCACUUUCCUCUCCUAAGGACCAAAUAUCAAUUAUAUUAGUCAUUACUUUUGGUCCCCACUCUCCAAGUUCCCUUUACUCCUGUGGUCCCCCAUUUCACUUCACAACCCACGACUCCUCUUCUUCCACACCCAACUAACUACUCUUUCUUUUUAUUACUUCAUCCAAUCAUCAUUAAUCAUUUACUUCCUUUGUCCCCAUUCCCCAAUUUUCUUUUCCUCUUUUGCCUCUUGGUUGUCCCCACUGAAAAUGGUCUCUCCCAUCAAAUAGUCCGACCCUGGUUUUCCUGUCAUGAAAAUGGUGUUGUUGACUACUUCAAACAGUGUUCCAUUAGAGGAGUAGGCUUUUUGAAAACCAAGACCUGCUUUCUUCAGUUCAACCGCAAGAAACCAGUCCUUGAAGAUGACUUCUUUCCAAUUAAAUAACGUGAUACAGGGCACAAAGGAAGUAAAGGGACCUGAGUCUGCCACAGUGCCACUGAUUUGCAACUCUUUUCACCAAUUUUGGGAGACCAUUGAAAUCAGGUUUUAAACAAUUAUUUCUUCUUAUUAUUAUUUUAAAUUUGUUUGCAAAUAUAUUUCUAGAGCAUGAGAUUAUUACUGUUUUAGAGAAAUUUGAAAAUUGAUUAGUUAAUGUAAUAACUAAUAAAUGGGUUAUUUGAUAUUUGAUAAAUAUUUUAACUUGUGGAAUGGUGAUUUUAUAGAUUUAUAAUUUAUUUUUUAUUUUCCAUGAUUAGUUUCUUAUUUGGAGUUAAUGUAAUGAUGAAUAGAGGGCAUUUGACAUAUAUUUUAACUUUUAAAUUAUUCUUAUAUGGAUCCUUUUGUCUAAUUAACUUGAUUAGGUUCAUAUAUUCUAAUUAAUGAUUUGAUAUAGUAAUGAAUGAAUAAGUUGUGAUUUGAUAUAGUAAUGAUAUGUUGUGAUUAAUGAUUUAAUAAAUAAUUUUAACUUGUAAAAUAGUUCUUGGAUAGAUUAUUAGAUUUUAUUGUACAUUUAAUAUUUUAAUUGGAUUAGUAUCUUAUAUAUUGAUUUUAAUUUCUUUAGCUAUGGAGAGAUAUUUCAAGAGGAAAUCAAUGGAAAAAGAGCCAUCUAAUAAAGAAGAAGCCAAGGAUAAUGAAGGUGCAAAAAAUGACAAUAAAAGAAGUUUUUAAAUAAAAUUAUUAUUACAUUAAUAAUUUUGAGUUUGUCUUUUUAUGUUUUUCAUGGAAUAUACAUAUCAAUUGUACUUGUUAGUGAAUUUAUUUAUUUUUUGCUCAAAAAAUUAAAAAAAGAGUAGAUAAAAAAUUUUAGUAUUAUUUGUGCCCCCACUAAGAUUUUUUUCUGGCUCCGCCCCUGCUCUCACCUUCCAUUCCCUGGGACUAGAUAGCCAUAAAUGGGCAUGCAGCCAUAGAAGCUCCGGUGCAGCAGCUCUCUAGCUGCAUUGAACCCUCGAAGUGAAUACCUCUCCUCGAUCCAUAAAAAAAAAAACGGAAUCCCGGGCGAUUCGAGCGAGUAGGCCCCGGCGGAGCCCGCAGCCUUUCAUUAAGCCGCCCUCAACAUCUGAGAUACCGAAUCAAAGUGAUCGCCUCUGCAGGUCUAUCAUCCGCUUCCCUGGCUGCAUGCCUUAUCUCUCUCUCGCUCUCCAUUCAACUACCAGACAAGCAAGGAAGGAAAUUCAUUACUUCCCUUCUUCUCCCUAUGGUCGAGCCAGCCAGCCUAACUUCGGUAUGAAAAAAGGAGUUCCGCCAAUGUGUUUUGAUUUAUUCCUCAUGACUUUCCUUUUACCCCUAUGAGGAAGACUGGAGCUGGCACUCAUACUAGCAAGGAUUUCUUCCUACUUUGAUAAGAACGCGAGGGCAAUUGUCAAUUUUUCGCGAGGGCACUAAUUCCUUCACCAAUUUUUCGCUUAUAUUGUUAGGGCAUUUAUGUCUUUUCACUGACCUCCGUUUCCUUUAACGAUUUCCGUCGAGAAUGCACUUUAUUUCAAAUAAUAGGGUACCGAUAGGUAUGAUUUGAAACCACAAGAGAUUUUUAUGUGUAAUAGAUAUACCACAGGGUACUUUUAUGUUUUUAACCCUUAUUUAUAAUAAUAUAGAAUAAGAUAUUAUUAUAUUUUCUUUUCUUUUAAUAAAAAAAGUUUAAAUUUUUCUGUUAAAAUCUUCUAAAAUUUUGAAAUUUAUAAUCGAUUCAGUCACCAUGCUUUAUAUGUACAUAAUAUUUAUAUUAAGGCACAGAAUAGGAAAAAAAAAUUAGUAUUAUAUUAGUAAUACAUAUAAUAUGAUGCAAUUGUAGUCCAAGAAAAAGAUGACAAUUACAGAAGUGCCGCCACGUCUACGAUGUGGGUGGAAUUGAGGUGGGGCAACAUCGUCAACGUCUAAAGUUUGUGCAAUUUUGGGAACGUAUGAUGGCAGAGGUUGAAUGAGGAUGUAUGUGACCAUGCUGGCUAGUUUAAUCGUAAAAGCAUCAAAGUUCUCUUUGACCCAAAAAAAAUAAAUAAAUAAAUAAAGGACAACCUUAAUGGAAGAAAGUAGUACUUAUAAUUUUAUAAAUUUCAUUUACAGAUUGUUUGGGUCAAAAAUAGUUGCGAAUUUGACUGGUUUUAUAGUUAGUGUUAUACAAGUCAACGAACAAUUCAUUGGCGAAAUUUCAAAAGCUGAAUUGUUCAAUGAAUUGUGAGAUGAUAUUCAAAUUCAUGGUGUUGUCGUAUCAAAUUCUUUUCUAAACUUUUUCGAUCCGUUGCUAGCACCAUUGUGAAACCUGUAAUUAAUUUUUGGGAUAAUUUCAGAAACCUCCCCUGAAGUUUCUGACAAAGUUCCUGUGAGGUUUGAAAAAUUACAUAUACCUCCGUUGUCAUUUAAAAUGAUAAUACUAUCCUUAAAUAUUUUAAUGAAAUUCUGUUGUUUGAUAUGCUUAUAUUUAGAAUGACUUUAAAAUAAUUUUUUUCAUUCUUUUUCCUUUUUAUUUUAAUUUUUUACCAAUAAAAUUAUAAAAUUACCACUAUUAGUACAUGCUUCUGUGAUUAACCGAGCAAAAUUAGAAUUAACCAUUUGAUAUCAAGAACAUGGCCUUUAACCAUGUUGGGCUGCAAACUUGGAAAGCAAACAUUUGUUGGCUUAGUGUACAGCAUGUAGCAGGUAUGGAGGAGGAACAUAGUAUCUGAAGCUAGUUAAUCAUGAUUUGCUUGAUAUAGAUGUCGAGUAUAGAAGAUCCGGAGCCAUUAAUUAAGGUUUAUGUUGAUAUGUUCUUCAUUUUGCCUGGGCAUUCUUUUUUUUUCUUCUUUUACUUCUUCAGGGAGAGGGGCUGGCUGAGGUACGGACAGGGAAGAGUGAAUAACCUUUGGCUGCAGUUCAAUUUGUGUUCGAUUUUCACCAUUUAAAAGUUACACAAGGCACAAGUAGCGUCAAAGUAAGCAAGUACAACAAAAAGCAUGUAAUGACUUGAGAAAUUGAAAUAUCAAAGAUUUGGGGAUUCAACUUCUGAUUUCCCUGCGCAACAGGUAAGGCACAAAAGACAGAACAAGUUACAGAAAUAGCCAAACGAAGUUGCACGAAUCCAGGACCUAGUGGACUAGUAUUGGCAUAUGAACAAAGAAAAUUUGAAGGAAAGCAAGGUAUCAAUUUAUCAUUCCCUGUCUUACAUGCAUGGCUGCAAAUAUAAACGACGAUGGUCCAAAUGGUCCACCGCAGUGCGCUGCAGAUUAUGUCUCUCGCAAGUGUCAUGCUGCCCUCUACUAACUUGCACCAGGGACCAGAAUCUAGAAGUGAAUACUUUGUUACAGAAGAAAGAACGACGAACGCAUAAAAAGUGAGGAUGAGAGACAUUGCCAAUUCUACUCGUAAUCUUGCGAGUUCUUAUUUAUUGUCCGCCAUUGUGCUUCAAUCAUCUAUGAAAAUGCUUCCAAACCAUCAAAAAGUUUGUGAAGAAACAGAAUGGAAAUAUUUGAAUGGAAACCAUGCUACUGCACAACAGAACGUCGUACAUUUUGCGUUUUAACUCAGAAAAUGAAAGAGAGACGAGUUUCUUCAAGUGCGGGUGGUACGAAGAGAAUUUUGAACUCAAGAAGAAAAACCUGUGCACAUAAAUUAGGUCCUCCUCCCACUAAAAUGAGAAGGCAAAUAAGAAACAUGGAAACAUUUCAAUGGAAUCCAUACUACUGUACAACCUCUUAAUGGAAGCAAGCACAGAGCUCAUAACAAAAAUUAACAGAUAGGUAAAUUUGCCAAGAAGUGAACUUUUCAUUUUUUGUAAAUUUUUGGCUCAAUCUCUAUGAAACAGGUUCAAUGUCCUUCAGGAGCCCUACUACUUGUUGCAUACUUGGUCGCUUUGAGGGAAGGUCAGCAGUGCACAAAUAUCCAAUCUUCAGAGCUUCCCCCAUUUGAGUCUCUAGUCCAGUACCAUGGAUUUUUGGAUCAAUAGCUCUUGACCCUACAUUCUUCCUCACUAAUCCUCUCACCCAACUAACUAAAGUUGCUUCCUUUUCAUCUGGAUAAUCAUCGUCUACAGGCUUUUUUCCAGUGAUCAGCUCAAAAAGAAUGACUCCAAAUCCAUAGACAUCAGACUUAGGUGUUGGAUUCUUAGGGGAUCCAAUCUGUGGGUCAAGAAAUUCUGGCGGCACAUAUCCUGCAGACCCACGAGCAAUCUCAUCCUCCAGACCGUUGCCAAAAAUUUUAGCAAGUCCGAAAUCAGAUAAUCUUGGUUCCAAAUUCAGAUCAAGAUAGACACUGCUUGCUUUGACAUCUCGAUGUAUAAUAGGAGGAGAACAGCCGUGGUGGAGAAAUGCCAGCGCACGUGCUGUGCCAAGUGCAAUUUUGUACCUAAAUCUCCAAGUUGUUAACAAUCCUUCGGAGCCAAUGUUUUGAAUGGAAUUGUUUUCAUCUUCUUCCCACGUGUCUGUGCUCCAGUCUUCUGUAGCUUGAACCCCAAGUGGGAGGUCAUGAAGCAAAUUUUGCAAGUUUCCAUUCUCCAUAUAGUCAUAUAUAGCAAUCCUUUGCUCUCCAGCCAAGCAGUAUCCAGUCAAUGGGACCAGAUUGGAUGUUUUAUUCGACCAAGAUACUCAAGCUCUCUAGCAGCCUCUUGGUCAGUCAUGGUGGAUCCAUGAACCAAAACUUUGACAGCUACAUGAAUCCCACCAGACAAGAAUCCUCUAUACACUGGUCCAAACUUACCUUCAGCCAGCAAUGUGCCACGGUCAAAAUGAGAAGUUGCAGACAAGAGGUCUGCAAAUGUGAAAUUCAACAGAGGCUUUUCAAAUAUAACUACUGGGACAGAUGUUGCUUGCUUAACAUCGGCAACCCAAGUGGUUGAAUCCGUCUGGAAUGAAAAGGGGCCAGAUAUAUUCUGUUCUUCUUUGUAAGAAUUCUGUUUCACUUCCCACAUUCUGGUUUUCCUUCGACAACCAAAGGCUAAAAACAGCAAUCCCAAAAGCAAGAAGACCAUGGAGAUGGUUAACACCACGGCAAGCUUGAGGCCCCGAUGCUUUUGAGUUCUUCUCUUGAAAAGAUCAGGAUUUGCAGCAAUUGGACAGCUGUUCAAUGAGCCGAUGAAAGCUGAAUGAGGUUUCAGGGGGAAUUGUGAUGCACAAAGGGUAAGGUUGUUGUAAGAGAAAUUAAACCUCUCCAUCCAUGGUAGCUUGUCUAUGAGCUUCAUUGGAUGUCACCACUUAAAUUGUUAUAGGAAAGAUCUAGUACUUGGAGUUUUUGGAUGCUUAAAAGAGGAAUAUGGCCACUAAGAUGGUUCCUAGAGAGAUCAAGUGUCUUCAGAUUACUCAACAUCGAAAUUUCACCAGGCAUUUCGCCAAUCAAAUUACUUGCAGACAAAUUCAGAUACUCUAAACCAGAAAGCAUACCAAUGUGCAGCAACUGUUCUUUGGAAAAUCUGUUGUGUGCAAGAUUAAGGUGUCUGAGAUUCUGAGCUUCAUUUAAGUCGUUGAAAAACUCUCCACUAAGCUGAUUCUCAGAUAAAUCCACAUAAACCAAGCGAGACAAGCUGAAACUGGAGACAGAAUUUACCUGAGAAAUGUGACCUUGAAACUGAUUUCUGCUCAAAUCAAGCACUUCCAAUGGCCCCUCAAAAAGACCAACAACUGAACCUUGAAAAUAGUUUCCUGAAAUAUUGAGAUAGGUAAUUGAUGUCAGCCCCAAAAAAUCUGAUUCUUUUCCAGUGAAGCCAUUUCCAGCAAUGUUCAAAUAUCUCAACAUUGGAAAUGAAGCACCAAAACCAUCACGAAGAGAACCAUUGAGCUUGUUCCCCGAAAGAUCAAGCGAAACCAAAGAACGGCAUUGCAGGAUCCCCAGAGGCAUGCUAAACUCAAACCCAUUUCGGUCGAGUUUUAGAACUUGUAAGCUUCCAAGGGAGCUUAUAGCUUCAGGGAUACUGCCAGAAAAUUGGUUAGAAGAAAGGUCCAAGAUUUCAAGUUGGCCAAAAUUACCAAUGUUGCUAGGAAGGUCCCCUGAAAGAUAGUUAAAUGAAAGAUUAAGGCUCUUGAGUGAACCUAAACUCCAAAAAUCAGAAGGCAAACCAGUGAUUUUAUUAUUGCUCAGAUCCAAAGAUUCAAGCUUUACAAGUUUGCCAAUGGUAGAAUCAGGGAUUACACCAGAAAGACCCCACCCUGAAGCUACCAACUUGACAACAUUUUCUUCAUUGGCAGCACAAAAGACACCAGGCCAUGAACAAAAGGGGGCAGAAAAGUUGUAGAUAUCGGAAGAAUUUAAACCCAUUUUCUGCAAGAAAUCAGAGACAAAGGAUUCAUCUGUAUUGGGUUGCUGACAAACCAAAGGCCUGAAGAACAGUGUUAGAAUAAAAAAAGAGCUAAAAAAACUAAAACCCAUUUGGAAAUGAGGCCUUAAACUAGCAACCAAGAAACAGAAAAAAAAAAAGAAAAACACACAGCAGAAUUCCCCCAAAGUCACUUCAAACGACUAAUCUUUUUUAGCCUUUCUGCAGCAUAAAGGGCAGUGAAAGAUCACUUUUUUUCUGACUUCUGGAACACCAACAUUAAUUCCAUAACCACUCCCCAACCUCUCAACAGAAACUCCAGUGAGGAAGUGGUAUUCAGCUUUCAAGGGAAUAUUACCACUGGGCUAGAGGAACCAACCACUUUUGCCUCAACUUUGUGGUGGUCUUUUUGUGCCCAUAACCCCAGAAAGUGCAGUGAGCAGCACAUGACUGGAGACUCUUUAUCAAGAACAAAAAUGGGAUUUUAUUAUUGUUUUUCCUGCGAGAGGGAACAAAAGUUGUAAGUGUAUGGGGAUGGUCUUGAGAGAACGAACGUGAGCAUCGUUUCUUCUGGGCUUGCAGUUUCACUCAAUUACAAGGGGGACAGAAAACCACCACUGAAAGCGGUUUUGUUAAAGUCAAAAGCAAGACUGACUCACACAAUUUUCCCAAAAGAAACAAAUAUCAAACACUGAAAGAAAUUUGCCAGACUACCUUAAAACAAGCGAGAGUGAACUCAGUGAAAUGGGGCUUUGUUUAUUGGGAGGAGAAAAUUGAUAGCGCUGUACGGCUGUAUGGAGUGGUGAGAAGUUGGGCUUAAUAAAUGACAAAGGAUUGAAAGAAACGUCUUUUUGGUUGGUGGAAUUUAUCAAAGGGCCGUUGGCAAAUGAUUCAAUUAUUUUUUUUUCCCACAUUUCUGAUAAGAACAAUGCAUUGAUUCUGCAUUUAAGAUAGUGGUAUCUUUUUUCCAUAAUAAAUCCCAUCAAUUAGUACCUUUUGGUGAAGUAAUUUUGGGGAGUCAAUAAAGAUAUGGCGAAAAGGACAAAAUGAAACUACUUUUCAUUGAUAUAUCUACCAGUUAGAAUUCUUUACAAUUUUUGUUAGGCAAGCAUAAUUUUAGAAUUGUAGAUAUUUUUUAGACAAAUUGCAAAUACCACUGUAUUAUCUAAUUAGAUAACAAGUACAAAAUUUUGGGUUGUUUACCUUCCAAAACAAUUCCCCAUUUUUUUAUGGAUAUAAUGGGGAAAGUUAAUCACAAAAAAUCUGUUUCCAAUCUGAGUGUAUAGCAUUUACGAUUCGCCAUGUGAGUGCUGAUUAUUUUAGCCCCCAAAUAGAAGAAGAUAUUCUUUUUUCUGUCAAUAGAUAGAAACACACAUCCAAUUAAAUUAUAAACACUUGGGAGGUUAAUGGUUAGGAGCCAAUUAAGAGUAAUAUAAGGGAACUCACAAGAAACCCAAUUAGAUUAGAAGAAGAUAUUCAAUUCAUUCAAUUAUGAGAAUUAUUAGCACAGAUUGUUUGUACUGUACUGUACUGUAUAACAUGUUUGGUUGGUCGUUUUGUUCAUGAACCAUUAUGUAUCAAAAUGUGAUUGUUCUUCUUUACUUGAUUUUUGGUACAAUACUUUAUAUGAAAGGGACAAGGGGCAGAAACGGUUGCACCUGCAAUCUUGCAAUCGUUCCUGGCGGUUUGAUCAUUUUUAACAGCGCGUAACUUUGAUUAUACACAGAGUAAUUUUAUUUUCACAAUGUGUAAUUUUAGUACAAAAUUUUAUGAGCCUCACACACAGUGUGAAAAUCGAUAUAUAACUAGUAACGUGGAUCGCACAUUUUUUUGAUCAAAUCUUAACCCUUAACAGCUUAGAGACGGUCCACCUAAUGACCGUCCUGCCCCUUAUCCAUAUGAAAGGUAGAGAACAUAGAGAACAUAAUAGUGAAGUGGGCGGGCAGUUGUUUUGGUUGACUUCUAAGUUCUGCCCGUGAUAUUUUUCCUCGAGAUAUGUAUUAUAUAAUUUAUGGCAAGGUUGGCCCUGAUGGACUAAAGUCUAAAAGAAGAUAUGUUUCUUGGAAAUGUGAAUGAAUUCCAAAUUCAGGUUAAUUCCUAGAUCAGGAAAUUAUACCCUUUUGCAAUUGUUCAUAACCAUUUUUUGAGAAAGUGGAAGUAAUUUGCUUCUGUUUUCCAACUUGGAUUUUUACCCUCUUCCAUCAGCAUUUGAUGGAAAUUGCGCCAGCAGAUUAGGUCAGGGGACCAGUUGCAAUUGGGGUCGCCCCAGCAGAACCGUUUGCUUGGUGGACCAUGUUUGACAAAAGUGGUGCUUUGUGUUUUAUAUGUCGCUGCAUCGUGCAAGUUAAGAAACCAGACAGAAAUGCAAGGAAAUUUUGAUUUGUCAGUUUUUGAAAAAUAAGAUUUUCAAAUAGAAUGUCACAGUGAUAUAGAUAAAAAUAAUUAUAAAAUAUUAAAAAUAAUAUCAAAAAUACCAAAAACACAGAAAAUAAUCUCAUAAACAAUCUCAUCUAUAGUAAAAAAUUUUCACUUAUAUUACUACAGUAAAAUAUUUUAAAAACAUAUUAAAAAAAAACUAAUCCUCCUUGAAAUUAAAAUAUGAGCAAUUUGAAAUUUUGUUAUAAUUCACCAAAAGACACUACUGUCCUCCUUGAAACAAAUCAACCAACAAUAGUGUAUGCAAAUGUACUAGGGUUAACUGGUUAUCAUGAUUCUAAUAGUUUUUGCAACUCAAUCCAUCCAUAUACUUUACACACCGUUUAACUAAAAAAUAAGAACAUUUUUCAAUCGUCUUUUUAUUUUACGUAUACCAAAUUAUUAUAAUAUAUAUAUAUAUAUAUAUAUUUACAAAAUUUUUAGAAAAUAACAAUCCAAACUGGCUCUUGAAUAUCUUAAACGUCUCUACAAGAUUUCAAAUCCUGUGGUUCACAAAUCCUUUGAUAUCAAAUAUCUGUGAGAAUAAUCCAUCCUUUUGUGGGAAACUGGAAAUCCCUCAAGCUACGACCAACAACACAUUCAAGUCAAUAUCGUGAUCUUGAUAAGCCCUAAAGUUGUCUCGUAUAUACCAAUCUAUUCAGUCCUUAUGGGCCCCAAGAAGUGAUCACCGAUCAUAAUCUAUAUUAUUAUUCCAACCAUUGAUCAUUCGUGGACAGAUAAUUAACCUUAUUAAGAUCUCAUGAUUAAUCAUAUGAAAAUCAAAUUGAUCAUAUGACGCACUUGUCCAUAAACAAUGAGUAAUCACCUCUAAUCAAACAAGAGAUUGGACAAUGCCAACCCCCGUUCCAAGUGUUGUGUGGAUGUGAGUGUGUGAGAGAGAAAUUGGUUGGUUUUUUUUUUUUUUCUUUUGGUUGAGCACGCCAAGGCCGACAAGAGAUGAAGUGGGGGUGGUGUUUUAAUGAUUUGCAUUGAUUGAGGAAGCUUGAGAAGUGAGAACGAAGAAGAAACCAAUAAAUCAAGAAAUCAAACCGGCAGCACAGCUAAUGAUCAAGGUCAUGUCAUUUGGUCAUGUGCACAAAUGCAAAUGCCAGCAAACUUUUAUUCUUCAAACUCUUAGUAUUAAUAAUGUUUCUUUUCAACGUCUACUCCAGUCAACUAAAACCGGCUGUAGCUUUCUGAGUUAAUAGUUUAGAGCUGGCUUGGAAACAUAUUUGAAAGAUACCCAUAAAUUGAUCAAAGAAAAGGGUGUAUGUACUAUGUAGUGUUUUUCUCGUUCUCUAGAAGUGGUCUCUGUCAUUAACACAUAUUCUACAUUAUCAACGACGUCGGUGAUUGAUUAUUCUCUUUAAUUUUGUGACGAAAUCAAUCAGGCGAUAAUGGGUUCACGUAAUUUUUUUCAUCACAAACAUCCACACAUACAUAGCUCCGAUUAAUGUUAAUUGGAUUCUGAGAGAGACAAAUAAAGUUGCAUAUGAACUCAGAUUUUUUGCGAAAACCGCGAAAUUUUGUGACACAUGAGCUCGCAUUUUUUGCGAAAUCUCUGAUGAAUCUCUUUAGAAUUUCUCUCCUACUUUUGUCGAGCAAUUCAUGUUGGACAAUUUUUAAAAUAAUGAAAUUUCUCUUUUAUUAAAAAAAAUCAAAGAUACUUGAUGUGCCUUUCCUUGUAUGUGCCCCCAAAAUUUUUACCUAUUACCUCAUUCGUGAGUAGCCGAAGUUAAUAUCCUAGUUGAAAAUUGUUGACUCAAUGGAAUAGUUUAGUAAGCUACUUGAUGCAUUUGAACUUAGUGAUUAAAAGGUUGCAUACACAAUUUGACAAUUAAAAGGAGAAUCCAUAGAUUUAACAUGGGUUUAUUCAAUAGCCGGCCGAACCCAAAAAGGUAUUUGAUCAGGGUCUAAUCUGACAUCUAAAAGUCAAGAGGUCUUUUUAAUUUACUCAACAGGGUCCAACUUAAACACUUGUUUAUGUGAAUCGUACCCACCGGGGUUAAUAUUAUCAUAAGCCUGACUACAGAAUUUUGUGUUGGGGGGAUAAUGCUGAAUAUUUAGACAGUGGUUUGGUUUGACCUUCUCGUUUGCUUGUCUUCAACUAAUACACAAUUAAUUGGUGGUUUCAGGCAAAACUAGUAAAUAAUCUAUCAUUAUGGUGUCCUACUCCUACCAUGAGAAAUAUGUCACCGUUUUGCAUCACUAUCCCGCACCAGCAAUAAAAUAGUCAGUAUUGAUAACUUGGAAUUAGCUCUCUCUUGUAAUGAUUGAAAUGCACUUUUCUGAAAUACUAUUAGUGUUUGGAUACCCAAAUUAUCUCAAAUAAUAUUGCGCUUGCAUCAUAAACACGUUUUCCAAUCUACCUUUUUAUAUUCCCAAUCACCUUUUUAUCUCACAUACAUCACAUCACAAAAAGUGUUACAGUAAUUAUUCCAAAUAAUAUUUCAAAUAAUACACUAUCCAAACAAUUGAAUAAAAAUUAACUCAUUCCAAAAAAAAAAAAAAAAAAAACUCUGUGAGAUGCAAUGUACUCGUCUCUAAGAGUUCGAGCCCUGUGCUUUUGCCUUUUUGUGCUUGGUUUUUCGUUGAAAACACAUUCUCUCUGUGGCAGUUGCAUCUGCCUGCAUGUUUAUGUCCAGUUAUAUUUCCUUUCUGUCUUACUAUACUAGUAGUACAUUUUAUGCAUGUAAAAGCAAAUGCUAGCAUUCCAGAACAUUUGUAAUCAUUUUCGAAAGAAAGUCCCUUUAAUUUGAUGAAGCAAAACGCUUGCCUAGAAAGCAAUUAGGAAUAUAUGAUAAUGAUGGCAGCAGUAAAUAUUCAUGUCGUGGCACCAUGAUUGCUUCCACAUUAUUUCCUUUUCAAGAUCAUUAAAAGUAUCGAAAUUUAGAUGUUUAUUGUGACUUGGGUAUAUUUAUUUUGAAUCUCUGGGCAUAAAAUGUUAAAAAAGAGUAACAUUUAGUAUCUAAUCAUCACUUCUCAUUACUAGCUGGUUUCAUUCUACCUCUAUGUUAGUUAUUCUGGGUAAUUUAUUCCUAACCCUUGAUGAGAUUAAACCUGACCUCAAAGAAUACUACAUAUAUAUACUGUAUAUGUUGUGAACUUCAAUCUUGAUUCUUACAGCUUUUACUGUAAAGUUGCUUAGCCAUCAUAAUGAGUAUCACAGAGUCCAGCGCAAGCAAGACUGGAUGGUUAAUGGUUGGACAUAAGAAACCUAUGACUUGGUGAGCAGAAUAAUUCCUUCCACUUCAGCAAUUAAUCCAACAUCUUCAUCAACCACGUUUUGAGCUGGAUCGGAGUAGCAAAUUAAUGGAUGUGCUUUAAAGCUGGAGUAGCAAGCACGUUUCAUCAUCGAGGUAGCCUUAAUUAGAGUGGGACUGUUUCAGUCUUCACAGAGACAAAAUGUAAAGGUGAAAAUGGUAUGGAAGGAAGACAAGUCUGGAAUGGAAGGAUGUUCCCUGCCUUCAUUAUUGCUAUUGCGUGAGAGUUUCUACUUUCUACUCUUAUCAAUUAUUACUGCCACAUCCACAUGCAUGUAAUUAACAUCUCCACUUCACAUUUGUGAUGGUUAUAAGCAAUUAGUCCACAACUUUUUUUUUUCCUUUUUUUGGUUUCGUAAUGACACAUCUAACCUAGCUACUCUUAUUCCUACUCUAAUCUAUUUUAGGGGUGGCCCAACUGAGGCACAUCCAGCCUUAGGGUGUGAAUCGAAAUCAAAAUUAGUAAUUCAAAACUUUGAAAUCAGAAUUUUUCAGAACCGAAUUCAAUUUCAAAUUCACCAACUCCGAAUUCGAAUUCGUUCCAAAUUCAAUUCGAAAUUCGAUAAAUUCCAAUUUCACCGAAUUUAGGAAUAUAAAAUUUUUAUUAUUAUAUAAAUGUUAUAUUACAUAUAUAUAUUAUGUGUGUAUAUAUAUAUAUGAAAAAUGAAUUUGAAAUCGAAAUAGGAAUUUUGAAUCACCAAAUUCAGGAAUAUAAAAAUUAUUAUAAUAAUAUAAAUGUUAUAUUACAUAUAUAAUAUAUAUGUGAAAAAUGAAUUUGAAAUAGAAAUAGGAAUUCUGAAUUCCGAUUUAAAAAAUCCCAUUAUCGAAUUUGAACCAAAUUUGCAUAAUUCGAAAUCGAAAAAUCCGAUUUCAGUUCCGAAUUGAAUUACCAAUUUCGAAAAUUUUUCAAUUUUGCACACAACUAUCUAGCCUAACCUGUUUCUACUCCUGCUGCUCUAACCUAAGUUGAUUCUAAAUUCAAUUCGAAUUCAGUUGGUAAAUCGAAAUUUUUCAAUUUUGCACACUCUUAUCUAACCUAGUCUACUUCUAAUCUAGCCUACUCUAGGGGGUAGUCCAAAUGAACCACAUAUAGUGGUACAUUGAUGGGAGGUAAGAUUUGAACCCUUGAUCUCUUACCUCACAAUACUGGUUAAUUAAUCUAUAACUUAAUGUCAAAAGAAAUGUGCAUGCACAAUAAAGCAAGUUCAUUAGAAACGAAGGAAAUACGAUGAAAACAACAAAGUUUACAAUAAAGUAACUAUGUAUAAUGUUGUGAAAUACAGGGGAAAUGACGAGAGUAAAACUAAAGUACCUUGAAAUGGCAGUACUUCUUAUUCAACAGGUUCUAAGCGUUGGAACGUGAGACUUGAUCUCUUUGGUAGUGUUUAAUUUUCUUUACGGCUAAUUACAGCAGUUUCCUAAUGAAUGCGAGUCAUCUGCACUUUUCAACUUUGGAUGCAAACAAUACACUAGGCACUUUACUCUUGGAAGAACAUUUUAUUUACAUUUCCAAGUUCUAACCAAGAAACCGUUGACCAAUUUGACCUUCGAAUUUGUGUACAAUUCUACCCUCCAUAUGAUGACCCAAAGAAUUUUGUCUUCUUGACCAACUCGUCAAUUGACCCAGUUGUGUUGCACCUUUGAAAUUGAAACUUGAACUGCAGCAGCUAUCAAUAGCAAAAUCGCAUAACUAUUUAAAUUUGGUAUUUUUUAAUCGAAAUGACCAAACAGAAUAGCAUCAAUUUUUAAUGAAAAAUCUAUCAAAACAAUAACUUAUAAAGCGGAACCAUACUUUAUUGCUAAAUCUAAUUUCAUAGGAUCUUACUGGCUGUUGCGUUGUAACAUGCUCCAAUUAGUAGUUAAAAAAAAAAAAGAAAAAAGAGUAACGAGUCAUAAUGCGUUUUCUCUAUAUAUUUCACUGAGAACACUUUCUAAUGCAUCUUUCGUUUGCUUAUCGUGGCUCAAUUCUGUUUUUUUUUUCCCCCAUUUUUAUACACAAUAAAUAUUUUCAAUUCUUAUGCUUUUAGUCUUUCUAUUUUCUUUUAAUAACAAAAAUAGUCCUACACCAAACUUACUUUUGAAAGAAUUUUAAAGGGGACCCAACAUUUUUUUCUGAAGGAGGAAGUUAAACUCUACAUCUAGUUCAGAGCAGUGCAAUUCUGCUACUUUGGAUUUAACAUGAUUUGAACUUCCAAUCUAUCAACCUGACAAAACGAGUCCAGUUUUAAAUGCUGGAACUGAAACCAAAAGUCUAAAGUGACUCAAAACGAGAAGUCUAAAGUGCCUAUUUUGUGCAUUUAGGAAGAGAGAGAGAGUGCAAAUGACCCUGACAGAGACAAAAAGUGUAAUUAACCAUCUGUUUCGGUAGACAUGUCGCUCAAUCCUCUACUGUUUAGCGGAAACUCAUCCGCACGUACACCUUAGAAUUGGUAAAUGCUGCUGUGACUAGUGAUUGCUUCUCCGAAACUAAUAAUGACAUGGUGAUUUUUAGUCAAUAUGUGAUGUAGGAAAGAGAUUAGUCCGUUUACUUUUCCAUGACAAUCGUACUUCUCUUAACCAAAGCCCAAAGACUUUUCGGCAUUGUUUUUACUAACCCUCAUGUGACAAUCGUACUUGCUUCCAGCAAUUCGGUCAUUUGCUCUUUGUCGUUGUCUUGCUUAUUGACUUGCCCACCCAAGUACACAUGUCGCUGGCCCAGUUCCCCAUUUCUGUCUAGCGUCCGCAGGACACAAGCAAGUCCAUCAGCACUCCAUUGCAAGAAAUUUCUCCACAGCUAGUUGAUUCCUCCUGGUCUCCACGCGAACAAAAUCUCUACACUUUAGCUUUUGGCAAAUUGUUAAAACUUACUCAGGUUUAAGCAAGCAAUUUUUGUAUUGUAAAUCAAACAAGCAGAUGAAAAAUAACACACUACUCUUACAAGAGAACGCCGAGGAUCAAUCAGUAAACAAAACUUCAUGGAGAAAGAAAGGCUGGUCAAUACUCAGCAUCUAUCUCCAGAUAAAUUGCAGAGUCAGCUGUAAACCAGGUAGCCUGGCAGGUCACCCACACGACUAAACACUUGGAGCUCAAGCAAGUCCCAAAAUACACAUAUUUUGCCAACUGCCAAAACCGAUGAUGAAAACUACAUUUAUCGGGUGGGGAAAAAGAAGAAUAGCGUUCACAAAAAAAAAAAUUUGGUCCAUAACGAUUUCGACCACACCCUCAGCUCUGGCCAGCAACAAUCGUUACAGAAAAAUGCAGACAUGCCACUCACUAUACGAGGAACUCUCUUCAAUUCGACAAAUUCUAGACUUUAUGCUUGCGAGUCAUCAUAUCCUGAAUGGUUGGUUUGCAGAGCUGCAUCGGUCCAACUUUGCUUUCUUUGAUUUUGCCUUGUGCGUCGCAAUUUCUUGGAAAGGAUUGAUUCCAUCAAAUGUGAGCUUGGAGCUUCUAACCUUCUUCCUUUUUCCCUUGUCGUAUUCCUCAUCCCUGCAAAAGUAUAGAUGAUUUGAAAUGGAGACUGCAAUAAGAGAUCAUUCCAUACAAGAAAAACACCUAAAAGAACAAGUAGGCCUGAAACUUUUAUUUGGUUAAUAAGCCCAAUUUACUUUAAAUGUAUCACGACAGAAAGAGCAGAGAAUUUCGACUCUUCUAUAGCUGGUCUCACAAUUUAAACAGUAGGAAUAUUGGGCUCCCAAGGCAAAAGGAGUGGAACGAACUGAGGAAUUCACUGACAAUUCAUGGGUGGUAGCCAAAGCAGCCAGCAGCAUCCAAUCCAGAUUUUAACAAAUUAAGCUGCAUACUUCUUUUUAAUGAUGUGAACCUUGGUAUUGUAAUUUAAAAAUUAGAAAAAAGUACUAAACACAAAUAUCUCAGUAACUUAUAUUCAACUCACCAGUCAUCCCCAAUAUAACCAAUUCUAAGAUUUUCUGCGCCUCUGGAUUCUAGAAUAUCAUCAGAACUUUCAACACCAUCCCAACGUGCAACUGUAAUCAAUCAAAUCAAAAGACAAGUGAUAAUCAGUGCUCCAGCAGGGAGUCCAUGGACAAAAACUAGAUUGAGCUAAAAUACCCUAAAAAGACAAAAUUAUGCAGGUACUCACCAGUUGUCUCUUCCAAACCUCUAGCAGGAAUCCGUAUCAAACCAUUCUCCACCUUUUCAAUUUUCUUGUGUGCGGAGCCACAUGAUUUUCCAUUAUCUGAUAACUCUCGCGCCCGAUGUGGAAUAAUAACUCUUGCUUGGUUGUGCAUCUGUCAAGGGAACUUUCUCAUGUUGACCAACUUCAUCCCUACGUGGGACGACCUUCACAACCCUUAGAAGUUCACCAUUGUUUGAAGGACUCUUCAAACCUAGAACCUUAUCUUUCUCAUCUGCACUAGAUCUGAGCCUCCUAGGAGGGUAAGCUGAACAGCUUAUAGUUUUGCAGUCCUCAGAAGUAGAUGGCCCGAGAUCUGACAGGAUACGACUCCCAUCCAGUUUUUUUGGCAACAAUGUUUGGCCCUGUUUUUCUUCUUUCUCCGUCCCAAGGCUGCUCCUAAAAUGAUGUUUCUGCUAAGAUGCUUGGUUGUAACAACAAGCUUCAAAGGCUUCCUCUUUACUAAAUGCAGCCUGUCAUUAAGGGACUUUUCGCAAAGCAAGUGUUUUGGUGCUGGUUUUCUGCGUGCUAGAUCUUUGCUAUCACGAGCCUUUCGAACACCUACCUCAGCUACACCAGUAUUGUCAGGGAAACAUCCAACCUACAGAAGAUUUGGUUAGAUGUGCAGCAAGAGGGGGAGGGGAAGGCCUAGAAUAAGUGGCUGUCUUUGUAGCUUUGUUUAUUGACUAUGCUGGCCAAGUAAAAAUUUGUCACUUAUCUCCAGAUAUGUUAAUUAUCAAAUCAGAAAUGACAAUAUAUAUGGGAAAGAUGCUUGAAAUAGUGUGACAUUCUGCAGAUACAACUGGGCAAGUCAGAUGGCAUAUAUGCAAUUCCAAGAAAGCAGGUAAGAAAAAGAAAUAAAAGCUAAUCACCAUGUUUUCUCAUAAUCUAAGCAAAUCAAGUACCUUUCCAGCAUUAGUCUCCAAAGAAACACAUGUAUCUUGAGGAGGUCUAUGGAGGACAUUGCCAUUAGGUGGUCUGUCAACCGCAUUACUGGAUCUUUACCAGCACUCACUUUAAUAUUUCCAUUAGUUGGUAUGACCGCAGAAUCAGUCUCGUUCUUUCCAGCAGAACUUUGGGAGCCAUUGAUGUCUUCUUGCUUAACAAUAGCAGUAGUCAGUUCUAUGCCACUGCUACUGCCCGAGUUACUAGAAUUCCCAAGAUUAACAAAGCCAUCAGAUCCCUUAGAAGAUGGAAGUGAUUGCACCAAGCAAUCUCCACCAUUUAUAUUUGAUCUGGAAAGGCCAUCCACAGGUGGCACCUUCAGUAAAUUUGCGGCAGGACGGUCUUUCUUUAAGCAUGAUUCUUCAGGAGCUGUUGGGCCAUUAAUUUUCUGAGCAGGAUCCUUUUUCAUUUGAUUUUGGCUUAUGAUGUUAGGAUUCACUACAUCUUUCUGAGCAGCAAUAGCAGAAAAGGAAUCAUUCAACUUUCCCCCAACUGCUCCGUUCGGGACAUUUUCCUCGAUCCUUGAUGAAAAUUAGGAUACGUUUUCCUUCCAAAUGUAUUUAUAACCAUACUUUCUUUAUGUACUGCAUCGACAACUUUCUUAGGUGUGGAAUACAUUCCAUCUCGAACAUAAAACAACAUAUAAGCCUUCUGCUCCAAAACCCUCCUCUCACUAACUUGAACAACCUGUAAUUCACGGUGCAUCAGUUUACAAUGCAGAGAAGCCAAAAUUUAUCUAUUCUGCACAAACAUGUGCAAUAGACGACCUAACAAGUAAAAAUGGAAAAUAAUCCAAUGAUGCAUCAUGUGACGGAGGGCAUAUAAAACUACAAUAGGCAACUGGACAUGGUUAUCUCCACCAACAUGUGAACAUAGCAAAUCAAGACAAUUACAUUGCACCACAAUUUAAACUGAGAUAGAGGAAUUUGGCAAGAAUUCCGCUUUCCUUAGAAAGAGUUGAUCGUCUAAUGUGACAAGGAGGAAGUCUUUUUUAUCACAAUUCUCUUAAAAAAAGUUAGCUCUUUUGAAACUCUUGAUCUUGAAGCUCAAUUGAGACUCUGAUGCUUAAAAGAAUUUUAAAACUGUGUACCAGAUCAAGCAUUCCAAGUUCCAUUCAUUAGGUCCUUAAAUUCAUUCCGUAACUGUUCUGAAACUAAAAGCAUUAAACAGUUAUGUUACCAUAAUGCAGCAUUAACUGUUCCAUUUAUUGACUGACAUGGUCUGACCGCAUGAAUUGCCCAGCCCGUUGCAAAGAUCCACCACUUUCUCUGUGUGGACAGACUGAAGCUACUAGAAUUUGAUUUAUUGGGAAUCAGAUUUAUAGGUUGUAAGUUGCAUUUGCCAGCAAAACCACAAACCAAAAUGCAACAUUAAAGAAAGCAACCCAUAAUGAAGAAAACCGUGCUGCUUGGAUUCCACCAAGUUCACCUCUUUAAAGACUGAGUCAUAAAGACCAAAAAAUAAUAAUCUAUGAGUUGAACAGAUUUGACCAGCUAGUUCAUGUUAUGAAGCUGGGGAGGACCAAUCAUGCAAUAAUAGCAAACCCCAAACAAAUCAUUCAGCAACCCUGAUUCAUGCAAUAUGUUUCCUGUUCUUUUUAGCACAUUGAACACCCAAAAGUUCCAAACUGCCCACCAUCCAAAGGAGGUUUCAAAAUUAAAAUAAAAAAGGUGCAUCUCCAAAUAUCUGCUUUGGUACAGUUACUUCAAUUUCCCACCAAAGAAAAUAACACGUCCACCAGCUCUGUCAAUCAAUUUUCAGGUCAUACACAAUUAAUGUGGAAAUUUAUAGCACUAAUAAGACCUUAAUCCAACAAGGAAAGAGAUCCACAAAUACUAGGAGAAAUGAUAGGUCCUAAGUUCUGUAUUUGGCAGAAGAAACUGAUGACAAAAUUGAUACAUCCUGAUACCUGGUUGUCAUCAAGAGAGUACCACGUGCCACUUGAUGUCCGAACAAAGCAGUAGUAAUGACCACAAUGAGUGCUCCAACCAGCAUGAACCAGAACACCAUAGAGAGUAUAUUUCAAUUCCCCAUCCUGCAAUGAAUUAAGAAAAGAAAGCAAUAGUUAACAAUGGAAAACCCAAGAUAUACAAAAAAACAACGGAACCAUACACAAAGUGAAAAUGUGUUGAUGUAGACAUGCAAAAGCAUUUCAAGCUUUUUCAUUUUCUAAACACUAAUAGCAGAACACAUGCACUAGGCUGGCUUUACUCAUCUAUGAUUAGAAAUAGCACUGAACUGUACAAUUCAGCAUCUCAAUAUUCAUCUCAUUCAGCAUCACCCUUCAAAAUAAAAAUUGUGGAAUGUCUAUCAUGCAAAAGAUAAUUGAUAACCCAUCAUAAGAACAGAAAUCACACCUAUAACCUAGUAACAUUUUUGGUUUCAUGGAAUCAGUCGAAGAGUUUAAAACAUUUAAUCCCUCUGUCCCAUAUAUAUUCGGCCUUCUUGUAAUUUAGUCUAAAUGUACGAAAGGCUCAAAACAUUUGAUAAGUGCAUGAUCUUUGUUGGUAAACAGCGGAAAAUAGUUUUGGAAUAAUUGUAGAAGGAUAUAUAGCCAAUAGAAACAGGAAAAUAGUAGAAAUCAGUAAAAUAAGAUCACCAAAAGACGUUUUUGGAAACAGUUUCAUAUUACCAUGGCAUGCAAAAACAGGAAAGUAACUUCAACAAUACAAAAAUUAAGCAGCAAUAGAGCACAAACAGUAACCACAGCAAGAAGUUAAAGAUGCAAUAUCUGCUCAACAUGCUUUUUCCUUGUUAUUACUUCAAACUAUUAAGAGUGUAACACUCCUUAAAAUGCUUUUGUAAUUUGUUGAGUGCAUUAACUUAUUCACUCCAUGUCACAUAUUUAGGCACAAGAUACGCCUGAGAAAAGAACAGAUAAAAACUUAUAUAUAGACAUUUUAGUGGAAGUAUACAACAUUCUCGGACUAUAUGCUUACUACUCUUAGAAAGUAUCUACUACUUACAUAUGGACCAGUCACGAAAGGUUUUAAGUCCAAUGAAGGGCCAAACUCAACUUUUCUGUCAAUCUUCUGGCCAGGCAUAUGAGAACCAAAACGCUUCAAGUGGAUUGCAAGGACAUUGGGUGCCUUGUAAACAGUCAGCUGCUUAAGAGCCUUGACUUUUUGCUUGCAUUGUUGGCACUGAUAUUGCCUCUCCCCUCCAUCUAACUGCUCUUUGGCAGUAAAAUAAGCUAGUGCCUUGUAUAAUGAGUCUGCCUUCAUUAUCUCAAGACUUAAAUCCAAGAAUGGAUCAAACUUGUUUGAGCAAAACGAACACUGCAUGCAUUUCACCUGUAAAAAUAUAAGAAGACUAAUAAACCUUCUGGUACUCAUAUACUCAAAAACACAAUCAAAUCUUGAUCUUUCAGCAUCAAAAAUUUUUUAAAAAAAUUAUCAUGUUUCCCAAAGUGAGACUGACUCUCUGAUUCUCUCUGUAGCCAAUUAUCUAAUACCCUAAGCAAAAAAGGAGCUAAGCAAGACAUAUUUACCUGACUACAAAGGCGACCACCAAAUAUCUUAUGGACCAAACUUUUCUCGUAAGCACUGGGUGAUCGCUGGGCACUCCAGAAGGCAAGCAGCAUUUGUGCAUCGAUUCUAAUAAAUUGACCAUGUACUCAUGAGCAUCCUCUUGUCUAGCAUUUCUAAAGUUCCGAGAUAUGCCUAAAUAACUGUCAAGGAUCCAAACUCAACUCAAAAAUCCAGAGCCUGAAAUUCCACUACAGUGAGGAGAAUGCCAAAUUAAAGGCGUAUAGUAAUUUCAAGUUGGAUAACAGACAAGUUUUAAUGUAAAAGAAGGAACAAAGAGCCAAAAAAAAAGUAGAAACUAAGAUCACCAACGAUGCUAAAAAGUCAAGACAAACAGUAUCAAACUGCUAUAACAGGAAACUUAUUGAACUAAAUUGAGAUAAGAUGAUAUUACAAGCCGAUGAAGAAAAACCUACAACAUCACAAGAAGUCUAGCGAACACAUUAUAAGCAAAAAAUUCAGGAUACACCGCAAGUUUGAUACAAGAUCUUUCGGAGCCAAUACCGUUCCUGUCGAUUCCAGAGCUCGGCUCACAUGUUUCUGAAUGGCACAUAAAGCACAAAACCCAGCAAUAUGACCUUCAUAGCAUCAUGUCAAAGAUGCAAAAAAUCAGAAUCCAAUGAUUGACCUUUUUGAAAGUGAACGCCAGAUGUAAAACAGGGCUCAAGAAAAAUAUAAGCCACCAAAAUGAGCCAUGAGAAGGAAAAAAAAUGAUGAACCAGAAAGAACUAAUGCAGACAAGCACUACAAGUCAGCAAGCAUGUUUGUUGUAGGAUCGCCAAACAUUCAGUUAACAUGAUUUAUUAUAUUUGGCCAUAGAUCUAAGAGAUGCUACGGUUCAAAAGAAUUGAUAGCGCAAAUGACAAGAAAAGUGCAAGUAGAGAAAUUAGGAUGAAUUUUUACAAAAAGAGAAAGACGAAAGACUCAGUCUAGCUCUGCCAGAAGUUAUACGCAUCACAUAGAAAAUCACACAAGAAGACUCAAGAAGCUGCAGAACAACAAUUAUCACAAAGUGCAAGAAGACUCAAGAUGGUAAUUUGCACUGUCUACGUCUCAUCCUUAGGCAUUCCUUGAACAUCAAACAAUUCUAACAUAUUCUUGGUAUUAAUUCACUACAUCCCUCAUUGUCAUACCUUCCAUUUUUACCUGGAACCAUAUUCAAUCAUUUAAUUGUUCAUAACUCUGUGUCUCUUUCACUUUAGGUUUUACAAGCACAUCUGAGGUGUCCGUCGAGUUAUCUCACCUUCAGAUAUCUUUUUCCGCAGAUGAUAAAACAGCACAUAUCAAAAUACAUCAUUCAGAAUAAAAUAACAAACAUAAUCAGGAAUUCCUCAUACACACAUUCUAUAUGCUUCAUGUUGGUUAUCGUAUGAUAAAGAAAAUGUAAGAAAAAGAGAGAGUGUCUCACAGGAUAUUUUAUGCCGACCACUUUGUAAAUAAGCUGCCAAGGGCUCAGUGUAUGUCAGACACUGUAAUACAGAAUUGAGAAAACAAGUAUUUCCAAGAUUUUGCAAGCCAGCACCCUGUCAUUAAUCAUAGUUACACUCCAUUAUACCAUGAUUCCAAAUGCUAAACAAAAUAGAAAAAUAAUACCAAUAAAUAUACUCACGAUAUCCCGAUUUCAGGUGAGUGUAAUUCAUGAUUUGUGUAUAACAUCAACAAACUUUCACGCUAACAAGAACCACCUACUCAGAAGAAUCAAUGAUGAAAAUAGGUUUAACACGUACCACUGAUAUGAUUGACGAAAUUUAAAAAGUUACACUAUAGUGCAUGAAUAUUGCAGAGUGAAAAGGCCAAAUGUACACACUUUAUAAUACACACUUGUAUGAAUUUUCCUUUUCCAACCUCGGCAAAGAGAUGCACAAACAAGAAUUCAAAUUUGCAAUUCGAGGUUUACUAGAGGCUUGCCAUAUAAGAACUUCAUUGUUUCACCAAUCCAGCUUAUGCUAAGUUUCCACUCAUUAGAAAGUCUAAAUGCUUAGCAUCAGUUACAAUAAAUUUCCGAUACAUAAACAGAACCCAGAGCUUCAAAUUUUUUCAAACAAAAAAAAAAAACAACACAAAGUUAUUUAAAACCCGUAAGUUAUUCUACUAUAACUAGCUAACUAAUGCUUUCUAGAGAUACAAAAGUUUCCAGAAAAAAAUCAUAGCUCAAUCAAACAGCAAAAAAACACAUUACUGGAUAAAAAUGAAAAUAGAAAUGGAAAAAUGUAAACUUUAUUUAGAAAACAAAUAAAAAGUCUUACAAUUCUCCUGAAAGUGAUUGUAAAGCUAAGCUCCGGAUCCAACCCACUAUGAUUCUCCAAGGAAGACUCGGAGGGGCCUUCCCGUACCCGGACCAAGUUUUGUGGGACUCCGAUUUUAAACUGGCAUUCGAAUUACGCGGGUUUAAGGUCACCAGCUUAAACCCAUUUCCACUGUUUCCUCCAUCACUGAACCCAUUGAACGACUUUCUCGCCAAAUGAAAUUCAAUUCUCCGAUGAAACAACGCCGCAUUCGAAUUCGAAGCAUCUGACGUUGUAACCGACUCCUUUUCCGGAUCCUCAACUGACCUGACCGACAAAGAAUUUAUCAUCGUCUCCGCCGCCAUCAUCAAAUCAAUAAAACCUCAAACAAAAAAGCUCUAUAUACAUAGAAAAAAAUCCAAUAUAUAUAGACUGAUUUCUUCUCUCUCUACAGAAUCAAAGAAUUAUAUGUUAUACGUUUCUGGGGGUGUGAUAGUGUGUGAGAAAGAAAAAUAGAGCGGUUCUGGGUUUCGACUGGAGCUUGCUAAAACAGCUUAAAACCCUACACAUGGGAGUAUGUCGGGCGAGUGUAAAACUGGCCGUGGGCGGCGAGUCGCAGGGGAUUACUUUUAGUCUCGAUAUGAUACUUGUUCGAAGCGGUGGGAUCUGGUGUGGUAAGGUGUAAAUUUAGAAAAGGGUUUGAUUGGACGGAGGUUGACUGAAGGGCGUAAUGGUCAUUUUACAUUGGAAAUACUGACAGCUGCAGGAGAUGGAUUUGCGCUUGCGGUGGUUAAUUGAUUGGUCGAUGGCUUGAUUCUGUGGAAUCUAAUCAAGCAGGUCGAGUUGCCGCGGUGCUUUUGAUUUUGGUGGUGGGAAAUUGAGAUGGCAGCUCUAGUGGGACCCUGCAGGAGAUUCAUGCUAUUUUUUUUUUUGUCAAACGCAUUCAUGCUAAAUUUGGAUUACAGGAAAUUUUACCAAUACAGAUAUUUUCCCUUAAAAAUUAAAGAAAACGAGUAGUCAAGUUGUACGUUUUAAAAUAUUUGUCUUUUUAAAGAUCAAAAUUCAAAAGCAACAAUUACGCUGUUCUUUGCUGAGGGUUAAUUUCACUUAAUGGCCAUUUACCCAUCGCGUAGAAAAUUGAAUGAUAAUUUGCAUAUCCCAAUUAAAGGGAGGAGAAUAAGUGUCCUAAGGAAAAAAAAAAAGAGAGAAACAAAUUAGCCAUAUCUUUAAAUAGUUACUAAAAGAAGAGCAUACAUAUAGUGUGUUUGGACAGUCAAUUAUUUGGCCAAAUAUAUUUGCUGACAUCACCAUUACAAUUUUCAAUACACCUUUUUAUCUUCCCAAUUACCUUUUUAUCUCACAUACAUCACAUCACAAAAAGUGCUACAGUAAAAAUAUUUCAAAUAACUUACAAUCCAAACACACUCAUAGUUACUCUGAAUACAUUCAAAUUGAUUUCGAUAGUUGCUUGUUGUUUAUUUUUUCGUGUGAAAUGUCAACUUUUAAUUGAUUUUAAGUUUGAUACUCUUUUAUGGUUUAUUGAGUAUACCUGAGGGAGGUGAAUAACCUCUCCUCUCCAAACAUGAUAUUUUUGUGUGAGACCAAAAACAGGAAAAAAUAUUUGGAAAAAGUAAAAAAUAUUUUAAGAUUCGAUGAGUGUGCAGUAGCUGAAGCCAUGAACAAAGCAGGCGGAAUGGCUCUUUUAUGGAAAGAAGAAGUGACAAUAAAAGAGAUUCUGAUGUCUGCCUUUACCAUUGAGGCACAUGUGGAGGACCAAGAAGCUAACAUUGACUGGUGGUUCAUUGGUCUUUAUGCGAGCUGUGAUAACCAGGUGAGAGGUUAGCAAUGGAAAGUGAUACAGAACAGAAAAUGACUAUGGGGAGAAAGGUGGAUAAUAGCUGGUGACUUUAAUGAUAUCGUCUCAAAUGAUGAAAAAUGGAGUGGAAAUUGGAGGGAUGAAAGAAGCUUUAAGGAUUUUAAAGAGUUCAUCAAUGGAAACCAGAUGAUUGAUAUUGGAUUUGAAGGUCACCCGUGGACAUGGUGUAACAACUGGGAUGUUGAAGGUGAAAUUAAACAAAGGUUGGACAGGGGGCUAUGCAAUUAUUCAUGGUAUCAGACUUUCGAUCAAGUCAAGUGCAGACAUAUGGAGACCUACGCUUCAGAUCACAGCAUGAUCAUGAUAGACACACGUCCAAGGCCAGGUAAGAGGAAUAAGAGAUUCUAUUUUGAAAAGAGAUGGCUAAAAAGAGAGGACAUUCGAGAGGUUAUCAGGACUGCAUGGGAAUUGCAAACUGAAGGAUCAAGAAUGUUCCAAGUGACAAAAAAAAUUAGGAACUGCAGAGUGGCUCUACUGAAAUGGAAAAAUUCCUUCCAAGCAAACUCAAGAGGAAAGAUAGAUCAGAUUAAGAGGCAAAUGAGCGAGCUAAAGGAAAGCGAUAUCAGUGCCAGGAAAGGCAGCAUAGCCAUGCUAAAGGGGAAACUAAAGGAAGCUUAUAGGGAAGAGGAAGUGUAUUGGUCACAUAAAUCAAGAAUACAGUGGCUCAGGGAGGGUGACAAGAACACAAAAUUCUUCCAUGCAACUGUGAAAGGAAGGAGGAGGAGAAAUAGGAUGAAUAAGUUGCAAAGAGAAGAUGGAUCAUGGACUGAGAGUGAGGACGAGCUCAGCUAUGAGAUUGCCGACUAUUAUAGGAAACUCUUGACCAGCAGUGGAGAGGGGGACUUAACUGAGGUACUUGAGGGUAUAUCAAACACUAUCACAGUGGAAAUGAAUGAAAACCUCAUUAAACCUGUGGAGGAAGAGGAGAUUAAAUUUGCUCUUUUCUCAAUGAGUCCUGAAAAGGCCCCUGGGGCUGAUGGUAUGUCGCCAAUCUUUUUCCAAAAAUUCUGGGACAUCAUCAAAAAGGAUGUAGUAAAUGCAGUCCAAACUUUUUUUCACAAUGGUCAUCUCUUAAAAAAUGUCAAUCAUACGGUGAUCACUCUCAUACCUAAAGUGUUGAAUCCCACAUCUCUGAAUCAAUAUAGACCCAUAAGCCUUUGUAACACCGUGUAUAAAAUCAUUGCUAAAAUCUUAGCAAAUAGGCUUAAAAAUGUCUUGCAUUGUUGCAUUUGCAAAAACCAAUCAGCCUUCAUCCCUGGUAGGCAAAUUUUGGACAACAUUAUACUUUCUCAUGAAUAUUUGCACUACCUAAAAAAUAAAAGGCAAGGUAAGGAUGGGUUCAUGGCUGUGAAGCUGGACAUGUCCAAAACUUAUGACAGAGUAGAAUAGAGCUUCUUGGAUUCAAUGAUGGCCAAAAUGGGAUUCCACUACAAAUGGAGAAACUGGAUUAUGGAAUGUGUACGGAUAGUAGCCUACUCUUUUUCUAUAAAUGGGGAUGUUAAAGAAUAUGUUAUCCUAGGAGGAGGCAUCAGACAAGGGAUCCCCUAUCCCCCUAUCUUUUUCUCCUUUGUUCAGAAGGGUUCUCAAGCCUUCUCAGACAGGCAGCAGGGAACAAGAGGAUAUCAGGAAUGAGAAUUUGCAGGCAGGGACCAAGUCUUACUCAUUUGUUCUUUGCAGAUGAUUCCCUAAUCUUCUGCAAAGCAAACGAGCAGCAAGCAACAGAACUGAUGAGGGUGCUGCAAGUGUACGCAACUGGCUCAGGUCAACUGAUAAACCUUGACAAGUCCUCCAUACUCUUCAGCAAAAAUAUGUGUCCACAUAAGAAGCAUCAGAUCUGCCAAAUUAUGGGAAACAUGCAACAGGUAAACCAAGGCAAGUACAUGGGGCUACCAAUGGUGGUUACUAGAACAAAGGAACAGAUUUUUGGUUUCAUACGAACAAACAUACAGCAUAGGAUCCUCAAGUGGAAGAAUAGACUUUUAAGUGCAGCUGGAAAAGAGACAAUGCUCAAGUCGGUAUCCAUGGCUAUGCCCACAUACACCAUGUCGUGCUUCAAAAUACCAAAAAGACUAUGUAAAGAUAUCAGCUCUCUCAUGUCUAACUACUGGUGAGGGGAAGCAAAUGGUAAGAACAAGGUUCACUGGUGCUCCUGGAAGAAACUAACUCAGGAUAAGGAAAGGGGGGGCUGGGUUUCAAGGAGUUAGAAGCUUUCAACAGGGCUUUGCUGGGUAAACAGGUGUGGAGGAUUCUUACAAAUCCAAAUCUCCUUGUCAGUAAAGUUAUGAAGGCCAAAUAUUUUCCCAGGAGCUCCAUAUUUGAGUGCAAAAUUCCAAACAAUGCAUCUUGGAUAUGGAGGGGCCUAAUGGCAGCAAGGAAAGUAGUGAAACAAGGGGUUAGAAAGAGAGUAAGCAACGGGAGGAGCACACAAAUAUGGGAAGACAGAUGGAUCCCAGAUGCUACCAAUGGAAGAGUGACAACUAUGAAACAAUGGGAUAGCAGACUGCAUAAGGUGGAAGACCUGAUAAUUCAGAAGAGAUGGAACAGAAACUUGGUAUUCCAGUAUUUUAAUAAAGAGGACGCAGAACGAAUCCUGAGCAUUCCAAUAAGUCUCGCAGGAAGAGAGGAUAGCUAUUUCUGGAUACACGGUGAAGAUGGAAGAUACUCAGUCAGUUCUGGGUACAAGGUGUUGGUAUCCAAUAAAGAAAGGUCACAAGAAGAAAGUCAGAGGGAGGUAUCUACAAGCUGGGGGAAACAAACUCACAAGAUGUGGAAAGUAAUGUGGAGACUCAAGCUCAAACACAAGCUGAAGAUAUUUCUAUGAAAAUGUUUGAAUAACGCACUGCCUGUGAGGGAGCUAAUCAAUGGCAGAACCAAAAGCAAGUGACCCCAUUUGCAGAAGGUGUGGGGAAGAAGUAGAGACGGUAGAGCAUUUGCUACUGAACUACAGAGAAACAAAACAUAUCUGGCACAUUGCCCCAAUCCAAUAGGACGGUAUGCAAGAACAUCACGGCUGUUUCAAAAGAUGGUGGAUCUCUGUCAUCGAGGCAAGGCAUAGGAUAGCAGGAUUGCAACAUUUGGCCUUAACUGUCAACAUUCUUUGGCAGAUUUGGAAGGCUAGAAAUGACAUGAAAUUUAUGGGGAAAGUUCAUUAGCCCUGGAAGAUUAUAAAGAAAGCACAUGAGGAAUGGCUACAAUUUGAUGAAGUAGCAAAGAAGGAAGCUAGGAUGAGCACAGGAGAAACAUCAAAUCACAACAAUGAAAACCAGCAAUUAGAGCCGGAAGAGGGAACUGUGAAAAUGAGAGUUGCGGCAACAAGACAACAGACAAACCUAUCUUAGGCAUUGGAAUCACUUCAGCUGAAGGGAACCAAGAACCAAUGAUAGGAUGGACGCUAAAGGAAAGAAGCUCAGGGGUACAGCUAGUGGACGACGCAGUAGCAUUAAAGUUGGCUAUGUGCAAAGCAAUUACAUUGCACCAAAGGAAAGUACAAUUCCAAGUGAAGAACACGCAACUCCUCAAUCAUAUUCGAACUCUGAAGGCAAGUGACAGCAGAAUAGCUACGCUGGUGGAAGACAUUGUACAGUUGAAAGGGUUGUUUCAUAUGUGCUCCUUUUGUCUAGCUAGUAGUGAUAAAAAUUAUUUAAGCUCUAGUAUCAGCAUAUAUGCCUUAGGCAUCACAAUUGAUGAGGAAUUGGUGUUUCCUCAGUGUUAAGCACACUGGUUGUAAAGUCAAUUCGAGUUUUUGCUCGCACUUGUAUAUCUUUGAAAGUAAUAUAAUCAAAUAUCGUUUCGAAAAAAAAAGAGUAUACCUAUGUAGUGAAAAUCGGGAAACAGAGAAGCCAUUAUGCUCCAUAAAUUUAUAGAAAAAAAAUUCGAGUAAAGAUUCUUCAUAAAACUUUUAAAGAAUAAAUCUUAUAUAUACCGAUAUAUUAUUACCAUUGAAUCUAUGACAUAUAUAAAAAAAAUAAAUUUCAAAUUCAAUUUAAUUUUUACAUAAUUAUCAUUCAUCAAAUGCUGACAGUGUAUAUAUCGUCAGUGCAUGAAAAAUUAAUCCAUUUUUAAAAAGCACUGUAAUCUUUUGUUGGGCCUCAUUUGUAAUCUGAAUAUUGCGAUGUUAUUUGAGUUCAUUCUAAUACAAAGUAUAACAGUAGUGUUAACCGCAGGAAGCAAAGUGCCGACUUGUUUCCCGCAAAGGGAAAUCAACCGGGAAAAUAGUUGAAGCUUCUUCGUUGAUGGUAUCUUGAAAGGACAAAAAUUGUCCUUCCAAAAGAAAUCGGUCCCUGGCCAACCAUAUUUGCCACAAAAUACAGGCCGAUAAAAUGACUGCUUCCUUAGGAGCUACAUGAAUCAAACCACACCCUAAAAGAGCACAAAGAACAAUGGAAUAAUAGCAUAGAAACGUGAAAAGCACGUUCCAAGCCCAUGGCAGGCAAAAUUUAAGAUUUGACUAGUAAUCGCACCAAACCAAAAGCUAUCUUUUUCAAUAAAGAAACAAAUUGGUUUCACAGAAAUGAGACCGUAAUUGCAUUAGCCAGCAGAUCAAACCAUGAAUAAAGGAUGGGAUCAACCAUUUACUUGAAUUUCUGAAUCAGGGAAAAGGGAUUAGAAGGGCCAAAAAUCCAAAAAUGCUGAGCUAAGAUAUAACUGCAUAAAAGUUAACCUACACCAUCCCAUUUCGUUUCCUCUAACCCCUUUGUGAAAACCCCCUUUUGGUUGGGAAGAGGGGGGGGGGGGUUGGGGGAGAAGAUGAAUAAAGGGGAGAAAAUAAGCUAAAACACACUCCAAUAAUGAACUCAAAGACAAGCUAUAGCUCAAGCUAAAACACACUCCACGAAUAAAAAAAAUGAGCUUCUGAUACAUCAAGUGAGAAAAAAUAUGCCUCUACUUCAUCAUUUUGUAAGAAAUAGCAAGUCAAGAUUGGAUGGUACUUGUGGUUAUUGAAUGCAUCAGUACUCUGUACUCUGUCAUAUAAUAAGUUACAAUAAUCUGCACUUACACUACAGGACCUAGCAUUGAAAUGCAUUUGGCUGGACAUUUCAACAGAAGGGACUGUGACUUAUGCAUAACCAUGAUAUGCUACUGGAAGAAUAUCCUUCAGACAUAUAAUCAAUUAAACGUGGUUAAGAGGUCUCUCAACAAGGGCCGAGCUUUGGGGUUCCCAAACUUGUAUUGCCAGUCACAAUUAAUACAUUUACCAUCUCAGGAAACCUUCACGGAGCAGCCUUAAGUACCACCUCCAAACAUUAAUCUUUCAAACCCUGGUGUAUUUACAAGAAAAGAAUGCUGUAAUGGUCUUCAAACCCUAGUAUAUUUACAAGAAAUCAUGCUGCAAUGGCCUUAUCACCAGUGCCAAUAAGGAGGAAAUUCAAUUAAGUCAGUACAUUAAUAUCUUAACACACUAUUCUGAUAUAGCUUAAGCCCACUCUAGAAUAAACCUGGCAUGUAUCCAGCUUAACAUCAUUAGAGGGUGAAUGAUUGCAACGAUAUUCAUUCUAUCUACCGAGACACAUUGAUUCUUCCAUCACCUGUGCCUGAGUAUGAUAGCUUGCUGUAGGCUUUUGGUUGUCAUUUGAUUUUACCACAACUAACAUUGUCCUAGCAAGAUAGGAAUCUUCAUUGUCCAAAUUAUGUAACUUCUACCAUGAAGUCUUCAUGGUUUGGACUUAAUAAUAGUUCUCUGAUUUCCUUGCUCAAAUUGUUUGUAACCAACACUACAUCAUCAUAUUGGGGAUGACAAACGUGGCCUCUGAAAAAUGUCAUGAUUGUUCCAUGCAAUUCAAUGAAACUCCAACCUGGAACCUUUUUCAAACCAAGAGAUUUCAUCUGGCCCCAAGCUUCACCUACACCAUCCCAAUCGGCCAUUGAAGCAUAGUUGUGUGCCAAUUGCACAUAUUUUCCAGGAUCUACAGGCUUCAGAAGUGAAAUUUCUUUUGCAACAGUAUCAGCAAGCUCCGUCUUUCUUUUUGUUCGACAUGCAUCAAGUAUAAUGCCCAAAACAUCAGCCAUUGGUUCAGGAAACAUUUUCUUAUAAAAGUCAUAGGCAUCUUCUACCCUACCUGCUCGGCAAAGGAGAUCAACAAUGCACCCAUUGUGCUCAAAUUCAGGUUCAAUCCGGAAAUCAUUUAUCAUAGACUCAAACAACCUUAUUCCCUGGUCAAUAAGCCCAUUAUGGCUGCAGGCAUAGAGAAUGGAUAAGAAAAUAGUAGGGUUUGGCUUGAAUCCAUCUCGCAGACACCUUGAGUACAUCUCCAAAGCAGUUUCUCCUUGGCCAUGACUACCAUAACCCGCAAUAAUUGUACUCCACGAAACAAUGUCAUGCUGUGGCAUGUUAUCAAAACACUUCCUAGCAAUAGCCAAGUUACCGCAUUUACAAUACAUAUCAACCAAAGCUGUGUCAAUCCUAAUGCAUGGCCCAAGACAGCUUCUAAUGACAAAGGUGUGAAUCCACUUCCCUUGCUGGUAUGCCCCUAUAGAAGCACAAGCUUGAAGAAGACAGACAACACUGACUGAAUCAGGCUUUAUAAGAGCUGUUCUCAUUUCAUUAAACAAACAGAACGCUUCUCUUAAUUUCCCAUUUUGAGCAUUAGCAGCAACAAUUGCAUUCCAGGAUACAACAUCUCUUUCCUGCAUCAUCUGAAAAACCACAAAACUUUGAUCUAGGUAGCCACACUUCGCAUACAUAGUAACAAGUGCAUUUUGGAAAGGAACAUCAACAGCUAUAUUUUGCCUCAUGAUAUAGCCAUGAAGUGAAGUCCCCAGCUUAUAUGACACCAACUGAGCACAAGCUGCAAUAGCACUCGCCAAUGUAGCACUGGAUGGCAUCACUCCAGAAAUUAACAUCAGCCUAAAGACUUCCAAUGCUUUAUCAGCACGCUCAUUCUGUACAAGCCCUGAUAUCAUUGUUGUCCACAUAACCACAUCCUUUUCUUUUGCUGUGUCAAAAAUUCUGUGCGCAUCGUUCACAUUGCUUUGUUUCAGAUACAUUCCCAUCAAUGCGGUUUCAACAUGGGCACUUGAUCCAAGACCAGCAGAGAGUAUCUGUCCAUGUACUGCUUUUCCCAAUCUGAUAUUAUCCUCUUUAGCAAUUGUAGGAAUCAAUGAUGUAAAAGUCUGUUGAUCAGGUUCCAUACCAGAAAUUCUCAUCCUAUCUAAAAGCUCUAAAAUCUCACUCAUAUUCCCAACUAAAGCAUAAACUGAAAUCAAAGAAUUCCAUGAAACAAGAUCUUUGUCGUUCAUUAAUUCAAACAAGUUUCUAGCAUCUUCUACUCUUCCACAUUUCCCAUACACGUUCAACAUGCCAUUGAUCAGAGCUACGUUAAACUCAAGUCCACACUUCACCACUGAAGGAUGUAAACAUUUCAGCUGAUCACUCUCUGAAAUCCCAGAAAGCAUAUUUAGAACAGUAACAGCGCUGGGUUUUAUUCCUUCAUAUUGCAUUUUUUUAUACAUAAAGAACGCAGAAUCAAUAUCACCAGCUCGUGAAUAACUCCCGACGAUAGCAGUCCACGGAACAAUAUCUCUCACAGGCAUUGCAUCAAACACUUUUCGAGCACUGCUAAUAUGUCCUAAUUUUGAAUAUAAAGUUAUCAAAGAAGUUGCAAUAUAAGGAUCUGAAGAGAACCCAUUAACGAUAACAUGUUGGUGGAAACAGAGUCCUUGAGAUUGAAGGUUAAGCGCAGUGCAGGCUUUAAGGAGACUCGAAUAAGUAAAGGAGUCUGGAGCAACACAGGAUUUCAGCAUUGAUAUAUAAGUCCAGAGAACUUGGUGGGGUUCUCCUACCGAGGAAAGCCGGUUUAGUUUCGAGUUAAAUGACUUGGUAGCUGCAGUUGCCGUGGCGGAGGGUGGAAGUUGUAGGGGUGGCGGUGGCAUUAAAGUACGAAAAAUAUGGGGUCUAACUUUGUUGUUCAUCUUUUCUGGUAUAAACUUGGAUCAGCAGACGGCUUCAUAGUUACCCUCCAUUGGAAUUUAUACCUUCAAAAGAAAAGCAUGAUACUCGAGACUACAAAAAACUUGAGACACAAUAAUAACUUUAUAAUUGCAAUAUCCAAAUUUUUGAGGUUAAGGUGAUUGAUCGUGUAGAACUGAACCUCAUUUCUUUCAGUUCCCCCAAGGUUGAGUUGUUAUUCAUUAAAAGUACAACGCCCAGAAAAAAUUUCAAGCUAAAUAAAGUGAAUCACUCAUCUGGGAGAAACCUCGGAAACAAAAGUGACAACUAGAAAAUGGUAGACUCAGUGAGUAAAAGAACAGAUUUUUAUUGUAUCCGCCCUCAAACAAAACAUCUUUCAGCCGACGACUGAGCAGACAAUUUCCUUGCAGUCAAAACAAAGUGCAGCAAUGGAGCUGGACGAGCAUGUUUCAACUGAAUUGAUUGAUAUUGGACCAACGAUUAAAAUAUUCACAUCUUGACUAGGUAGGCUUUGCUAUCCCAAUUUGUUCAUUUCCAGUUCUUUAUAAAAUCCCUCUUACAUGACAUGAUUAUUAGUACUUUUUCUAAGCGAAACUGUAUGAAUAUUUGCAUCUUCAUUUAAAGAAGCAAGAAAUCAUACAGGACAUGUAAAUAAUCUAUUUUUUAUGCAAAUGAAGGUCGUAAUCGUAAUGAAAUAAGGUGUGAUUUAUCCUCAGAAAAAACAAGCCCAAGGAACCAUGAUUUAUUUUUUUCUGGUUUGCGUUGCGUUUGUCGCACUACUUUUUUAUAUAGUCAUAACCUUCCGAGUCUAAAAUCAGGGAGUGAGUGACCAACUUGUCAAAGAUAAAUAUGCUAUAGGAAAGAAUUGCACUUUCCCCCCAACCCACUAGGCCAAGAGCUCAAAUCCCCACGUACAAUUAGAAAAAUCGGGAGCUCGGACAUUUGCAGGCUAAAAAAAUUCAGAAGAAGUUGUACACUAAUACACCCUUUGUAAGAAUCUCUCUCUCAUGAGAGCUCCUUUCUCUCUCUAGUAGAGAACUUUUCCCCCUCGUGGGUGGUUAAACAACUUUAGCCUCCAAAAUUUAAAUUUCCCAUAGUUUGGCUGGCCAUAUCUCCUCACAUUGCGAGCCAUAAUCUUAAGUGAUCUGUUCGCGGUGAUUAACAAUGGAUAAUUUUCAGGAUUCAAUCACUUUGAUUCUGGUUUUGAUCUGUGGUACCUGAGUUUUCCUAUUCGUAGGAGUCUUAUAGCGGUAGCAUCUUAUUAACCUUUAAUUGCGAAGCUCGGCUUGCGUUAGGUUGUGCUCAGAUCUUUUUUAGUAGUUUUGUUUCUUUCUCUAGUACUCGUGUCUAUUCAGAUUCAGUGAUACUCUUUGCUGUUGAUUUCGGUUUUCAAUUUCUAGUGGUAGAUCGUCUGCUUUCUGGUAGCCGUUUCUGCUAACUGUUUUUGCUGUUUUUCUAGCUUCAUCUUGGAACUGGAGAGCUGAAGUUCGUGGCCUGUGAUUUGCGGCGAGGUUCCCUGGGUAUUGCAUCAAUGGCUGAGGAGCUGGAAGACGUGUUGAGGAAUUUGAUUUGUCAGAAAAGGAGGUGGCAUGCAUUCAAAUUGAAGGGGAAGAUACUUUCCAGGAGUGGAGAUCUGUCGGAUGAGCAUUAUUGGCAAAGUGAUUGGGGAAAAGUGGCAAAUAUCACAGGUAUUAAGAGCUUUACCAGUAAUAUGUGGUGUUUGCCAAGAACGUGAAGGUUGUAGAAAUAGGAGUUAAUUUGUUUCAGUUUAUAUUCAUAAAUCAGAAUGAUAUGGAUAGAAUUUUAAAUGGAGGCCAUGGGUGUAUGAUAAUUUACCUCUUCUUGUUAUCCCUUGGAAGGAGGGAAUUGAAAAAGAUGCUAAAGCUUUUAGUAAAACUUGGAUUUGGGUGCAGAUCUGGAAUCUCCCAAUUCAUUGGAUAACUAAAGAAAUUGGUCGUAAAUAGGAGGAGUUUUUGACUCAGUUAAAGAGGUCAUCAUUCCUAAUGGUGGGGGUAAAGAUGGUAAGCACUUGAAAAUCUUAGUGGAAAUUGAUAUUGAACAACCAUUGCUAAGGGGAACUACGGUUAGGAUGAAUGGGGCAAUGAAAUGGAUUGAGUUUAGGUAUGAGAGAUGUCCUGAUUUCUGUUAUUAUUGCGGGAAGUUGGGGCAUAAUGAGAAAAAUUGUAAAAUGAAAGGCAACUAUCUGGAUAGGGAAACACAAUUUGGAGCCUGGAUGCGAGUUAGUAAUGCUAGGAGUCCAAAAAAACAAAAUAAAACAUAUUCAAAAUAUGAAGGGGAUGCUGGAGAGUUUAUUAGGACUAAGGGUAAUGGGAAUGUGGUUAACAACUUAUUUUUGACAUGGGGGGGAGGUGAGGACACCUGGAAUGGGCAAGAGGGGAAUGGAAGUGCGAGCAAUACAAUGUGUAAGGAAAUCCUCCCAGAUGAUGAUGCUGUUGAACAACACAGGACACUCUGUGUGGGGAAUGAGGGAGGAGAGGGAGUGGGGGGACAGGUAGGGGAUAAGGAAUCAGGUAAACACCUGAAGUUGGGAGGGGAGUCCUCAGAUUUCAAUAUAGAAGGGGAGGGGAGCUGAGUUAUGGUGAGGGGAGAAUGGAACAAUUGGAGAAGGCAGAGGAUGACACUAUAUGGAUUGAUGGGGGGCAGGAGGAGAAAAGGAUGAGUAAGAGCAAGGGAAGGGAGGAGGGAAAAGGAAAGGGUACUGGGAAAUAUAAGGGUAGUAGGGGAUGGAGGAGGUUGGUGCAGGAAGUGGGAAGGAGAGUGUUUGGGAGAUAAAAACUCUGGAAUGGAGAUAGAGAAGGAUUCUGGGAAAAGGAAACAGGGGGACACACAUGGGAAGGAGAAUUAUGGGGAGCUGGUGAGGGGGGAUCAGAAAAAGCUUAAGGGGAUGGAAGGGGUUGUAGGUAGAGAGGAUCUUCUGAAGGUGGUGGAGCCCAAUCUUAAUGGGGCUCCCAACCCUCAAUGAGAGCUGUGGUGUGGAACUGUCGAGGUGCUGGGAGCCCCUUGACAGUUUCCCAACUUGAGGAGGUUGUGAGACUCCACUCCCCUGAGGUAAUUUUCUUAGCUAAAACUAAAAAUAAAAAAGAUGUUAUGAUUAAGAUGAAGAGGAGAUUGAAGUAUGACAGUCUGUUUGUUGUUGAACCCAGAGGUAAGGCUGGAGGCUUGGCUGUACUUUGGAGAAAGGAGAUAGAAAUUAGGAGAGUUUUGUCCACUGAGUUUACUAUAGAGCUUAAUGUGGUAGGGAAAGGGAAUGAGGCAUAUUGGUGGUUUAUUGGGGUCUAUGCUAGUAGUACUGAUCAGGUAAGAGCACAUCAGUGGAAAGUUAUAGAAAAUAAAUCAACUAUAUGGGGUUCGAAUUGGAUCCUAGCAGGGGAUAUGAAUGAUAUUAUGUCUGGGGAUGAGAAAUGGGGUAGGAAGCUGAGAAGUGAGAAUAGUUUUAGAGAUUUUAGGAAAUUUGUUAAUGACAACCAGUUGAUAGAUAUAGGUUAUGAGGGGAUCCCCUGGACCUGGUGUAAUAAUUGGGAGGAGGAUGGGGAGGUCAAGGAAAGGUUAGAUAGAAUUCUGUGCAGUUGGGAUUGGAGAAGGGAGCAUGGAGCAUGGUAAAGCUAAGUGUGUGCACUUGCAGAAUGAGGCUUCUGACCACUGUAUGUUGCUCUUGGAUACUGAGCCAAAGCACAGAAAGUGGAAACAUAGGUUUUCCUUUGAUAAAAAUUGGGUGCAGCAUAAGGAGGUUAGGGGCAUUAUUGCUUCAGCAUGGGGGAAACAGCAGAGGGGGUCUAGGGGUUUUAGGCUAAAACAGAAAAUUAAAGAGUGUAGGAUGGCAUUGUUACAGUGGAGGAGGCAUUACAAUGCCAAUGUUAAAACACAAAUAUGGAGGAUAAAGAAGGAAAUAACUGAGGUUCAUAGGGGACAGCAGGAAGAUAAAAAGGGUAGGUUGAGUACCCUGAAAAAACAACUCACUGAGGCUUACAGGCAGGAAGAAACUUACUGGGGGCAAAAAGCCAGAGUGCAAUGGUUGAGGGAGGGGGACAGGAAUACUAAGUAUUUCCAUACGGUGGUAGAGAGGAGAAGGAAAAGGAACAAUAUAUCUACUCUGCAAAGGGAGAAUGGUACUUGGUGUGAAUCUGAGGGGGAGGUGAGAGAUGAAAUUAAUGUGUAUUUUGAGAAACUCUUCACAUCCAGUAAUCCAAGACAGGUUGAUGCAAUACUCAGUGGUAUUCCUCAGGUAAUCAUAGCUCAGAUGAAUAACAAGCUCACCAAACCAGUCUCUGAGAUGAAAGUCAGGAAAGCUGUUUUUUCCUUACAUCCCAAUAAGGCCCCCGGACCUGAUGGUAUGACCCCCUUUUUCUUUCAGCAUUUCUGGGAUGUAAUUAAAAAUGAUCUUAUAGCAGCCAUAUCUAGCUUCUUUCAUUCUGGUCAUUUACUGAAGGCUAUUAAUGAGACUAUUAUCACCUUAAUUCCAAAAGUUAAAGCUCCUAUUUCUGUGUCCCAAUAUAGGCCCAUCAGUUUAUGUAAUGUUGUGUAUAGAAUCAUUUCUAAGAUCCUGGUUAAUAGAUUGAAACCUUUUCUGCAACACUGCAUUAGUGGUAAUCAGUCUACUUUUAUUCCUGGCAGACAAAUCAUUGAUAAUAUUGUGAUUGCUCAUGAAAGUAUUCAUUGUUUAAAUCAUAGACGAACUGGAUCUAAUGAGUUUAUGGCUCUUAAACUAGAUAUGGCUAAAGCCUAUGACAGAGUAAAAUGACCUUGUGUAGUCAAGAUAAUGGAAAAAAUGGAUUUCUGUCAGAUUUGGAUAAACUGAAUCUUUAAAUGUAUGUCUUCUGUUGUAUAUUCUUUUAAUGUGAAUGGUGAGAAGAUAGGUUUGGUUAAGCCUUCAAGAGGUAUAAGGCAGGGGGACCCACUAUCCCCAUAUCUAUUUUUACUGGUGUCUGAGGGCUCUCUAGCUUGCUGAAGCAAGCAUUGAGCAACCAUUGUCUGACUGGAUUAAAGAUUGCCAAAGCCAGUCCUGCUAUUUCCCACUUGUUUUUUGCAGAUGACACCCUUAUCUUCUGUAGAGCCAGCAUUAAGGAGCUGAACAAGUGAAGAGGAUCUUGGAGUUGUAUGAAGCAGCAUCAGGACAAAAGAUUAACACAGAUAAGUCAUCUAUGUUCUUCAACAAAAACACUGAGGAAAGCAAUAAGGCAGAGAUCCUCAAAUUAUUGGGAGGAAUGAAGCAGGUGGACCAGAGUAAGUAUCUUGGGCUACCAAUGGUGAUUGGCAGAUCUAAAAGACAAGUCUUCAAUUAUAUCAAGGAAAAAGUGAUGGGGAAGAUCAAAGGGUGGAAAGAAAAGCUGUUGAGCCAGGCUGGGAAGAAGUGCUGCUAAAGUCUGUGAUACUAGCAAUGCCUGCCUAUGCUAUGAGUUGCUGCAAGCUGCCUAAGAGCUUAUGUUAGGAUAUAAGUGGUGAAAUGGCUCGCUUUUGGUAAGGGGAGAGUGAGGGGAAGAGAAAGACUCACUGGGUGAGGUGGGGGAAGUUGGCUGAAAUAAAAGGGAAAGGAGGUUUAGGCUUUAGGGACUUGCUGGAUUUUAAUAGUGCCAUGCUAGCUAAGAUGUUAUGGAGAAUUCUGACACAACCCAAUCUGCUAUUAAGCAAGGUGUUAAAGGGGAAAUACUUCAAAGGGGAAGCAAUUUGGAAGACACAGAUAAAGGCAGGGGACUCUUGGAUAUGGAAGAGCAUUAUGAGUGCAAGGGAGGUGAUGGAAAGAGUGGUUAGGAAGAAAGUUGGAGAUGGCACAACUGUGGAUAUCUGGAAAGAUAGGUGGAUCCCAGGUGAAGGUACGAGUAUGGUGGCCACUCCAAUGCCUGCAGGUUGUAAAAUCCUAAAGGUACAUGAACUAAUUCAGAACGGAAAGUGGAACAGAGCAAUGAUGGAAACUCUACUUAGUGAGGAAGACUGCAGGAAGAUAGAAGGAAUUCCAAUUAGUUUAUGUGCAGGAAGGAUAAGUUGGUGUGGCCAUUUACAAAAUCUGGGCAGUAUUCUGUCAAAAAGGAUAUAUGCUGGCCAGAGAAAUGAGAGGGGAAUGGAGAAGGAAGGAACAACAUGAGACUAGUAAUAGUAGGAAUGAACCUAAUUCUAAAGCUUGGAAGGUGCUGUGGGGUUUAGGUAUUAAACAUAAACUGAAACAUUUUAUAUGGAGAUGUUUACAUGAUGUAUUACCAGUCAAUGUGGUGAUCAAAAGGAGAAUUGGUAGUAGGAGGAUAAAUGCAGGUGCUGUGGGGAGGGACAGAAACCUUGGAGCAUAUGUUCUUCUUUUGUAGACAUUCUGAAAUAUAUGGAAGGCAGCUCCAAUUAAUUAGGAUGGCUUAAAGAGUUGGAGCAUAUGUUCUUCUUUUGUAGACAUUCUGAAAAUAUAUGGCAGCUCCAAUUAAUUGGGAUAGGCUUAAAGAGUUUAGGCAUAGUUUUUGGCAUUGGUGGAAUAGCUUGAUGGAUGCACAAGACAGAAUAGAAGGGAAGAACACAUUGCUUUGACUGUGAACAUACUUUGGCAGAUAUGAAAAUCAAAGACCAAGUACAGUUCAAUGAGAUGAGCAACUACCCGGGAGAACAGCAGGUAAGGCUGUGCAGGAGUGGGCUGAACAUAAUGAGGUGAGGUAUGGGGCUGAUAAUAAGGAGGUAAUGGAGAAAGAACAGGGGCAGGGAUUAGCAGAUGGUAUCCACCCCCUCAGGGCUUUAUAAAACUAAACACUGAUGCAGCCUUGGGUUGAAGGAUAGGAGGAUUGGGUGGGGAGUAGUGGCCAGAAGGGAGGAUGGGGAGAUUGUAGGGGUUUGGGCAGGGAGGAGAGCAGAAAUGGUAUCCCAGCAGUUGAGGAUUCCUUAGCUAUCAGAAAAGCUGUGAUAAAGGCUAAACUAUGUGGCUGGAACAAAGUAGAGAUACAAUCUGAUUGUAAAUCCCUCCCUCUCGAUUCUAUUAAAUUUAUUAUUUACAACGAGAAGUUCCCUCAUAAUAUAGUUGUCUCUAGAUGGAUGUUAGCUUUGUUCGUUAUGUUAGGCAUCACGAGUAGGGGUGAGAAUCGAAUUUGAAUUCAGUAGGUUGAAAUCGGUAAUUUUCGGUAAAUGAUUCUGGAAAUAUUCAACUUAAUUCGCAUUCGAAAUAGAAAAUAUCAAAUCCGAAUUCAAUUCAAAAAACAGAAAGUUACCGAUUUAACCGAAUUCCAGGAAACUGCUUCUUUGACCAUUUUCAUCAGCAAACAGCACGUUACCAUAACAAGGCAAAUGCCCAAUUAGAAACCAUAAAGCAGAGCCAAAUAUCAAAAAGAAAGCACACGUUAUCUCAUGAUUACUGAAAAUUGGUUUGUCUGCCUACUUUCUUUUUUAUCAAUCCCAUUGCCAAAUUUCUUAAGCCUUACAUCCGUUUUACUACCUCAUCAUUUUAGGAAACCCAAGAGCUGGCCAGUGGAUAUACAUUACAGAAGUCAAUUGCCAUUGAUGAAGACUGCCCCUCCUCCUCUCUUCCUCUGAUGAUUAAUAUUUCUGUCCUCACUUGAAAGACAAAAAAUAGGAAACAAACAAAGAACUAAAGAAUCCAUGUCUAACCUCUUAUUCAAUGAGCAGUUCUAAUUUUUAACCAAACCUUUAAAUGGACCGGCUGGAGGAGGUGUGACUUGCGAGGAGCCGGCUGGAGGAGGCUUAGCUGCUUAGGGUUUCUAUCUUCAGUUGAGAAACCAGAAACAGAAAGCAGAAAGCAAAAGCAAGCAGAACGAGAAACGGACAAAGUUAGGGGUGAGCCUUCUGUAAUUGAGGAGAGGAGAGGAGAAACUCAGAAACAGCUUAGGCUUUAGAUUCAGUGGGCGGUGGCGCAAAGGAACGAGAGAAAAAGGAGAGCAGAAAUAGUGAAAUUAGAAAGUGUACUAAUUAGGGUACUGAAAUUGGAACAUAGAUCCGGACAUAUUAUUUCCUAUUUAACUUUAUUCGGAAUUUCAAAUUUGAAAACGGUAAUAUUUUACCGCUUUACAGAAAUAAAUUCGAUUCGGUAAAUUCGAAUUCAAAAACUCCAAAACCAUUUUUUAUCCUAAUUCGAUUCUUACUAAUUCGAUAUCACCGAUUUACCGAUUGAAUUACCGACUUCGAAUUAUCAAAUUUAAAUCGAUUUUGCGUAAUUCGAUAAUUACCGUAAUUGCUCACCCUAAUCACGACUCCGUUUUACUUGAUCUAACCCCCGUUACUAAGGAGGUUAGGUAGGAAAACGCCUAAUCCCCGAGAUUAUAUCGGGCUCGCUUUUAAUUUCAAGAGGAUCCCUUGCAAUGCGGUUUCUCCGGAUGGAUUCGAAACUUUAUUUGUCCUUCAAAAAAAAAAAACUUUAUUUGUCAUGCUGGGUGCCCUGUACAAGGCUGUUUUUCUGGCUAACCUUUCCACAGUAAGUGCUGAAUAAUGACCUAAAAAACUCCCUUAACAUUGGGCCAUGCAUUUGAGUGCUUGAGGCCCACAGAAAGAGCAACCCAGUCCAUACUCCAUGGGUCCAAAUUACUAACAAAAUGAAUAAAAAAAAGAGAAAAAUGCAAAUCCAUGUGGAAUCCCAUUAGCUGCCCAAAUAACUGACGACCAAUUAGAUCUUCUUCAGGGCAUGUCGGCCCGGUUGGGUACAUUUGUUCCCUGGGAGUGGAGGUCUCUUCAACUUCUUCGCCGGAAGUUUUAUAUAAGCAUGAAUUUCAUCGGCUUCAUUUUCUUCUUUGGUCCUAUGAAUUUCGCAGUUGGAUGUGCAAUUCGUGUGAUUCUGAAUUUAGAACCCUCAUAAUAAUUUUUUUUUUUAUUUCAGAAACUCUUUGAAAAAUAUAUCAAUUGAAGAAAGAAGAUGCAUAAUUGCAUAUAUAUAUGUGUGUGCGCGCGCGCGUGCUUUUUUUUGGAUUUCUGUUUUUGAGAAUGAAGUUGCAUAUAUUGAGUAAUUCAUUUAGAGCAAGCUUUUAGAGGCUGUGAAUUUGCAAGAAUUCUUUCCUUUUUUAGAGCAUUUUUUUUUUUACAAGAAAACUCGCAGCCGCUACCUGAGAGUGCAUAUUAGAUAAAUCCUGUGUCGUGCAAUACCCGCCAAUCACAUCUGUGUGACAUAUAGGUGUUUCAAAAGAGGUAUCAACCCGGAUUGUUUUGAAUUCCAUUUACUACUAAAUUCACAUCCCAAGCUUAAAGCGCUUUUCUUGUGGGGGUGGUUAACUUCGUUGGAUUGGGAUGUGAUGGUUGUCCAAGACAAGAAUUUAGGUGUUGUAGUAGACAUUUGCAGGUCUUCUACGCAAGAAAACCAUCGGUUGUCUUUUUCUUUAAUACCUGACGCAGUGACCAGAGACACCAGUCUCUACGAUUAAGGCUUCGAAAUAUAUGGAAAGUCGUAUGGAUCAAUUUAUAUGUAUUUGGUUUUGCUAACAUGCCUUCAAAGCUCAAAUGUGAUAAAUUUUGUAUAACAUUUUGUGUGCAAAAUAGUCACUGGUGAUUUUGUUACGUGUUGUACGACUAAUAGAUAUUGAUGUUAAAAAUUUAGCAAUGAAGAUACAUGGCAAUGAAGAACAUUAUAUAUAUAUAUAUAUAUCUUUGAGUUUAGGAACAUCAAAACAAUAAUAAAUGUCUUCUAAUAGGUCCAACACUUUUGUAAAAGGUAACGAGUAUGUUAUUUUAAUAGUUUAGCUAAUUCAAUGGACAACAAAAAGGGAAUUUCAUAAUUUUUUUUAGGUGUGUAUAAAAUGGCCAACUCUUUUUUAAAAAUCUUCAAAUUAUAUUAGCUCAAUAAUGAAUUUCCUUAAAGUGAGGGGGCAAUUGCCCAUUCUCACCUACUUGUUGCUCUUAAUUAUGUGUCAUUAACUUGAAAAAAAAAAAAAAAGAGAGAAGUGGAUAGUUAUAAAAUUACCUUGAAUUAAAUUAUAUGGAGGUUAUUGUUUUAGCAAAUAUUUUGCAUGGGAAUAUUUGGACGAUUUUGUCCUUUAGCAACAGGGAUAUAACAUUGGUGUUUAAAAAUUAAUAAGAAUGGAUAAAUACCAAAGUCAUUGUUGUGACAUUAUAAUAGUUAAGUUAUAUUAGAUAAAUCAGUUUAUGUAAUUUAAUUAAAUGGAUUUAAUUACUCGAAAAAAUCUACAAAUUCGUUACUUGUGUCUAAUAAAAGUGUACAAAUUUUUGUAGGAAGCUAAAAGAUUUUUUUUUUUUCCUUUUGUGACAACUGAAAGAGUCUUUCCAUCUCUUACUAACACGAAGUCGUACCAAAGCAUCGACAAGACUGUGUCAUCUAAGCAAUAAAUUAAGUAGGAUAAGUAAGUUUACAUGACAUGGUGAUAUUGAUUUACAGGCAUACCAACCAAGAUUCUUCUAUAAUGACACAAUACUUAAUCUUUCAGAAAUACUAGUAUGAGUCUAAACUUUUCAUUGCAAAAACAUGAACCACAUCUUUAAUUUUACUAAACAAAAACGUAAGAAGUUGCCAACAAGCAAAGUGAGAAAACUGUAUAUAUCCUGUGUUUUUCUGACUUUUAAGAUAUAUAUAUAUAUAUAUAUUUUUUUUUUUUUCAUUUCUUGAUCCUUCUAUCAUUGUCAUCUGUUAUCCAUCCAACUCAAAAAUCACUUUCGGUCCCGUAGACUGUAAGGCCAUCCUGUUUGAGAUCCCCAUUCUUGACGUUCAAUACUCAAAAGCAGCAGAAUUUCCUUUUUCUACAUGACUUGGAACUUUAAGAAAAGCAUAAGCUAGAACCCAACACUGAAGUGAACAACUAUAUAUAUAUAUAUAUAUAUAUAUAUAUAUAUACACAUAUAUAUAUUCUCAUUUAUUUUAUAAUCUCUGUUGUUAAGACGGGAUUAAAAAAAAAAAGGAGAGAGGAAACUACCACUAGAACGAUGUGUAGGCAAAUUGAAUUCACGGAUUCUUAAUAAAAUUUCCGUAUUCUUUUAAUGUUGGAUCGAAUUUUCAGUAUCCUUGAGUUUCAAAAUCUCUUAGGACUCUAAAAUCCUUAAAACAAAAUGGGACACUUUAGAACCCUUGCAUUUUUCAUUCUUGCGAUUAUCCAUGACACUUGCAUCAUUUCAUGUGUGUUCUUGAGGACCGCACGCCAAAUCUUACAAGUAGCAAAGAACAACAAAGCAGAAUCCCAGAAUUCAUCUUCCUGAAAUUUCAAUCUCCUGCCAAACAUGUGGUAGAAGUUCUUUGAUUUUCAGUCCCCGGGGAAAGAAAGAUCCUUGCACUAUAUAGUGAGAAAAUCUUGCACUAGUAUUUAAAAGUAAGCUAAAUCAGGAUGUGACACCACACGAUUGAGCUAAGAAUGAUGAAAAUGAAGCAAUUCAGUGCAGUUGGGCAGUGUGAUAUGGUUGUUUUCGUGCUUGGAGUUCACGGCAACAUUCAAUGAUGAUCUCAAGAAGUUGAAGCAAAUUAGAUUGCAUUUUCCCUAAACUGUAUAAUCGUCAAUCAUAAUUCUUAACAACUCUUUGUUGGGUCUUGCUGCACUAAUGAACUCUAGUGCUCCACUGCUAAUAGCCUAACAGGAACGUUGCCAUAAGUGAUGGUUUACAAAUGAAUUAGGUUUUUAAAAAGUUUUUUCGUUUAUACAAAGUCAUUUUGUUAAAAAUUGUUUUUUUUUUUCUAAAAAGCUCUUCAAAUCAAAGUUUUGUUUCUCCACACACCUUUUAUUUUAACCUCACGCAUAUCACAUCUCAUAAAUUAAUAUGUUACAAUAAUAUUCUAAAAAAUGCAUCAAAAAAAAGAACGCAAUUGAAAUGAAAAAGAAGAUUUGAACAAUGCCUUAUCAACAUUGAGUAGAAUACAAGAAAUUUGGCUGGUUUUACUACUGAGUUUCUUUCUUAACGAAAAAACGAACCAUAUUAGUUCACUUCUCCUCUUUAUUUCCGAAUAGAAAUUUACUUCGUCCUUUUUCUCAAAAUAACCAUACGACAUACUAAAUUAGCAUCAUUUUACUUCUUAGUUUUUCUUUCCCUUUCCCUUCUAACCAUUUAUUCCAAUCUCAGCUUCAAGUCAGAUAUGCUCUUAUCUUAUCCACUGUAAAUACUAACUUGUGAAGGUAUACAAAUUCCCAAGCCACCACCUAGCUUGGCGGGCUCCCACCAAAAUGACACGUUUGAGUGGUUUACUUCAAAAAAUUCAGGCGAGUGUGUUGUGCAUCCGUUUGGUCCGAUGGUAAUUCAAUCCCCUCCGGUCAUUGGUAUACAAAUUCCCACCCAAACUUUUUACCCACCCUUCAUGAUGGCUGAAAAAGAAAGCAAGUUGUUUUUCAAAAAAAAAAAAAAAAAAUCCUAUUCGACAUUGGUAUAAGUUGCCAUUCUUUUUCUUUACUUUGAUACUUUCUGCUUGACCUUCCAGAAGAAGCAAGGAAUCCGGUCAUUCACCAAAAUAAUCCAAGCAUAUCAGCAUGCAAUAUGAAUAAUUCCAUUGAUGUUUGCAUGUGGGCUAUUAACCUGUAAGUUUUUAUUUGAAGACAGCCUAGAACAUACAAAACAGGAAGAGAAAUAAAAGAUGAGAAACUGUAAUUUACAAAAAAAAAAAAGAAAAAAAAAAAAAAGAAAAAAGAAACCUAACCUCUCUCUAUAGCAUCUGUCCCAAAUAUUUUGUGGUUUAGUUUUCAAAUACUCCACUAUCUAAAUGACUAAUAAUUUUCUUGACAUAUCUCCACCAAAAAAAAAAAAAACCUUCAUAAUUCCCUCAACUAUAAAUCCAUGUCAAUUUAUUCCUACAGGGAAAUGAUUGAAAAUUGGGUGCAAGUUGCCUAAACCCAGGACACGGUAUUUGUGUAGGUGUAGAUCCAACACCAGACAGAUCUCUGCUGACUUAACCAACACAACCAACCAAUGACCUUAAAAUGAACUGCCUCCAAAGAUAAACCAAACUAAGCAUCCUCUAAAUUAACCAUCCGAUGAAAAUCUUGAUUUAUCGAUGGUCCAGAAUAAAGGAGAAAAAUGGACCCCACUCCAAGAUCAUAAGAUUAUGCAGACUUUGGUGGUACUAAAUUAGUACUAUAUAUUUCUGAAGUCUUCAGACCCCAGGAACGUGUAAAGAGUAAAGACUGGCAAAGGCAGAAAAGAGAGAGAGAGAGAGAGAGAGAGAGAGAGGAGAGAAGAAAGAAAACAUUUUUAAAACACGGAAAAAGCUAAGAAAGAGAUACACAGGAAAGAAGAGAUCAAAACAGAGUCAAAUUUUUGAAUGCCAACCGCUCCAAUCCUCCAAUUCCACUUCAUCAAUGCCCACCAUCGCAAAAUCCCACCUUUAAAUACCUCCAUUUUUUCAAAACCCAUGUUUUAGUUUCUCAAGUUGUGAUCAUAUAUUUCCUCUAUCAAUCACCAUAUAUCCCCAAGUUUUUCCCUGUUCUUUUGGCUUUUGUACUAGCAGCAUGACGGCUUUGAACAAGAAUCAGUCAAGACGCUGCCUUUUUCUCCUCAAAAUCUGAUCCCAUGUGUUGUGACAGCUUCAGUUGAAUCCGUGUCUCUUACUUUAUCUUUGCCUGCUAAUAUAUUUCCCCUUCUGUUAUUGAUAGAAAUUUAGGGUCAUUUGAAUUCAAAAUUUUACACUAUUCUGCCUGUUUCUUCCUAGAAUCAACAAAAUUCUGUUGAUUUUGAGGAAUCACAAUCCCUUUCUAUUCAGUUCCCGUAUGUUCCUCUGAGAGUUCCUUAAUUCGUGUUAAGAAGAUUCAAUUUUGAUUCCAAGUUUCUGUCUUUUUUGUUUGUUCCCUUCAAGUUCCCAAUAGGGUCAGUCCAGAUUUCUUGCGGAAAUUGAACCAUGGGAAUUCAGAAGGAUAGGGUGAGAUUUAAUGUUGGUGGAAAAAUCUUUGACACUUCAGCCACAACCCUGGCGAAUGCUGGCCGAAAUUCUCUCUUUGGAGCUAUGUUUGAUGAGAAUUGGGACCUCCAAUCUGGUCAUUCCACCACGGAGCACUUCAUUGAUCGAAAUCCAGACUAUUUUGCAGUUCUUCUUGACCUUCUCAGGACAGGGGAAUUGUAUCUUCCGUCAAACAUGUCUGAGAAACAGUUAUACAGAGAGGCUCUGUUUUAUGGCAUUUUGGACCACGUCAGGUCUGCUAAGUGGGGUCCGUUCGAUGGAAACAGGCUCCGAUUAGCCCGGUCAGUAACUGGCCGGGCACCGGGCGAUGGGACUGCUAUCAGGGCUGGUCCAGAUGGUGGCUGUUGUGUGGCUCAUGGUAGCAUGGUUCAUGUGUAUGAUUGGAUGCUUGAAGUGCAUCCUCCUAUUAAUCUUGAUUAUCAAAGAGUCAAUGAUGCAGGUUGGAUUGAUCCUGAGAGCAUUGUAAUCAGUGCUUGUGAGAGGUUUGGUACGGGAGAUGGAGGCAUGGGAUUGUUCAGUGCAUCCACGGGGAACGAAGGUAUAAAUUUCAUGUUAGUCAUGAAAAUCAAGUUAAGAGUUACACUGCUGGUGCAUUGAGUUUUAGUCCAGAUUAUAAGUUGUUUUCUAGUUGUAAAGGUAGGAGCAAUGAGUAUGGGAUUGGUGUUUGGGACCAAGUGACGGGGAAGCAGAUUGACUUUUUCUAUGAGCCACCUGGAUGGUCACUCGGUGAAGCAGACAAACUACAAUGGUUACAUGGUAACAACUGCUUGUUGGUAGCAACUUUGUUUCCAAGAAAGGACAACUGUUACAUUGGUUUGCUGGAUUUCAGGGACAAAAGCAUGCCUUGGUCCUGGUCUGAUGUAGGGGCUCCAAUUACGGAUGAUGAAAGCGAGUUAGGGAUGCAAUAGCAAUGGAGGAGAGUAGCUCCGUAUGCGUGGUGAAUGAAUACGAGGACUUGGGGUUCAUGGAUUUGAGGAGGGCCGCUGGAAGUGUGAGAUGGAGUUCAAGGAGCCGGCUGAUGAAGGGGAAAAUGCCCGAUGAACCAUGCUAUCCAAAACUGGCGUUGCACGAAGGACAGCUAUUUUCAUCGAUGAACGAUAGCAUCUCAGUGUUCUGUGGUCAAGAUUGGGUGUUAACAUCAAGGCUUCGACGAACUUAUGGCGGUUCAAUUUGUGAUUUUUCCAUAGGUGGUGAUCGGCUUUUUGCCCUGCAUAGCGAGGAAAAUGUGUUUGAUAUAUGGGAGACUCCAUCUCCGCCUAUCAUAUGAUCAUAGUACGUUAGUUUUGCUGUUCAACUUCUUCUUAGUCACCUUCUUCUGAAUGUUACUGUUUGUUUUCUCUCUUAUACGCUAUUGACAACCGGGCUGGCGUCUUUGAUAGCAGAGAGGCCUAAAGCUUUUGUUUGGUGCUUGAAAGUUAGAGAAGAUAAGGUUGAGCCUUAUCUAAUUGUGAGAUUGUACAGAAUUUUCUCAUAAUGACAUAGACAUCAUAUGAUGAGACAGGUUGCUUAACAACCAUGCUUUCAAAAUCGGCUUGCUUCUGGAAGUCUGAACUCGAGCAAAUUGUAUGAAAUUGGUUAAUUUCUUGACCUUUCCUGGGAGUUUGGGACCACCGCAGUCCUUAUCUCUCUCAAGAGCCCCUUAUCAGCAAUCUUUUUUUGACCAUUGCUUUUGCAAAGAUGGUUCUUUAGUUGUUAGGCCUGCCAUCCCACUUAUCCAUCUCAGUAAGAUUCCACGUUCUUUACAGAGACAAAGGAGAUGAAAGUUGCUAUAUUUGCAUGUUGGGAGCAGUUGAACUAACUACUAAACCUAAGUGGCUCUAGUUAUUUAUGAAGCUGGUGAUCUCGAGAAGUCGAGCCUGUGCGAGAUCUUGCCAUGGUUUUCUGUGAAGUAUCAAGAAAAGCCGAGUCUUGCCACCUAGUCUUCUCCAUUAAUGCACUCUAAAGCCAUGUCCAUUGUUCCAGCGUCUCUUUCCAGAUACUCCAAAUUAAUAAUACUAAUUCAACAGCAGUUAGUCCAUUUCAAUGCAAUGUACUUCAUUAAUAUAGUUUCGAAACUGAUAAGAAAGGAGCAAUCCCAAUUUGAUGGGACCACAGAAGGAUAAACAAAACAUGUAUUCUGCUGACCACUGCCGGCACUCCUCAGGAUUUCACGGCAGAUUUAGAUAAACAAGAGCUUAAAGCAAAGGGUAUUUGAAAAUUUUAUAUGAAUCCAUCCAUUAGUGAACAAUGAUAAACGGUCUUUAUUUUACGACAUACAGGUAAAUGUGAGAAACCUAGUGUGUACCUAGGGCAGAUACAAGAACAUUAAACUUGUCUAUUAGGUAUCAAAAUCCCCUUCCCCAACAAAAAGAAGAAAGCAAAAGGGUGAAAAAAGAACAAAAUAAAACAUGGAAAUCAGACUGGAACAUUCCCUAAGCUGCCAUAUGGAAAGAAAUCCUAACUUCAGCGACAACACUUAGUAAGCUCGCAAAAGAGAUGCCAUCACAAAGAAAGUCCAAUUAGUAGGGAGACCAAGUCUUGUGUUUAUUGCAUAUAAAAAUGGAACUAUUUCUUGAGAAUCUAAAAUCUUUAAAUUCAAUGUAUGCACCAUUAGGAAGGUUCCUUCGUUCUAAACUUGAUUGAAAAAAAUUAUUUCCAGAGAUGCAAGUACAGCAGGAAUAAGACAGAACCUUCCUGACUGGAAGCAAAUAACAAUAUUUAGUGAUAAAUAGGCAGUGGACCCGCGAAGCACACCAAUUAAUUAAGCAUAAUCUGGCAUUACUUUCUUAAGGAACUUGAUUGGCUGGGACUCUUCAGGGGCGAUUUCAUCAAAGGCGAUGUAGUUUUGCUCCUUAUUAUAAACGUGACACAUUGUCAAUAUGGUCUUCAUUAAUCUCCAGUUCCAUGCAGCUUCAUUCAGAUACUGUUGCAUCAUGGAGAACAUGGAGAAUACAUAUAAAGAAGCUGAAGAACAUCUUAUAGGCAUGUACUUAUAAUAAGGAGGAGGAGGGCUUGUGGAAAUCACAUGCUGUCCUUGAGGACCCUCCAGACCCCCUCCAGUUAUGUUCAACUAAAAAUUUGAGAAUUCCCUUGUGAGGUAAAAUGGAAAGUAUUGUUUUCGUCGUGGCUGCUGUAUCAUGGAAAGCACUUAUAGAAUCCAUACCUUGCCCCAGUUCUCCUGCAAAGACUGAUGGGCUGCCGCAAGUUGUAGCUUGGUAUCCGUGAAGAAAUGUGAUGGGGAAUAUGAACAUUGAUAUUAUGACAAAGGAUUUCUAUCCUGUCAAAGAAACAAAAGGACACAUAAAUCCUCUGCAAUGACAAGAAAUGAAAUCAAAACAUUCCUCCAGGUGAUACAAUAUAGUUAAUUCAGGAUCAAAUUCCUAAUUAUGUGUUUCGACUAAACUCCCACCAUAAUUUAUGUUUAAAAAGCAUCAGCUAAACAUGUGGUUGUCAUUUACAAAAUAGUUUCAGCAUAGCAUUUCGGCACUCCUGGUUUAUGGUUACAUCUUCAACAAAUUAGUCAAGUGAGGUGGGAAUACAAGCCAUAAACACUUUUCAAGGCAUGAGGAUAUGGAUCAAAAGCUCUUCGUCAAUCAGUAGACAAUUUCAUAAAUAACAAUUCUCUUGAAUUACAUGCAUAAUCAACACAAAUAUCUAAGCAGGUGCAGCAAUGUAAUCACCAUGUUGCCAAUACAAAGAAUCACAAAGGAUAUAUUUCUUUUACCAUUUAGGAUAAUCACAGUGCACUGUCCCAUUAAGCUGGGCCUGAGCUGCAUUCCACUCAUCUGAGUCUUUGAAAGGUAUAUGAGGAGCUGUGUGAUGCACCAUUGUGAAAGUGCUCAUCUGCAAGUUUUGAUGACACAAAUUCAAAGUGCUAUAAAUAUCAAACAUAAGGGUGGAAAGCACCAGGUUCUCUGUUAGAGAGAAGACAAAUGAAAUGUAGGAUUUUAUUUUUGUCUAGCCAAAAUCCAGAACUUUGAUGCAAAGUUAAGGAUACUGAAGUCUCAUCUCCUCUGGUUGACGUGAACCUGAAGGAUUCUGUCAAGUUAAAAUAAUAUUUCAUGGUGAAUUUUAAGCAACAUAUAAAAAUUAGAUGAUAUUCACAGUGCUUGGAAGGUCAGGGAUUCCUUGAACAACAUCCAGUAUAAAUAACUUCAAAAGGGUAAGAAGAAAGUCAACAAGAUUGUCUAUGGACACAACGGGCCAGUAUUACAGCGUCUCUACCAUGACUACCUGAUGCAAAUUUGUUUUCUAAAGAAAGAAAUGUUCAUAAUACUGGCUUUCCAUAUCUUUAAGUUAUAGAUUCCAAUUAAAUUUUCACCUGUAAACCAUAUACCGGGUAAUCUAGUAACCACUGUUCAAAAUGGUGCCUAAAACCAAAAAAGAGGUGAGAAAGUAAGUUACCCAAAAGUGAUAACCCAACCAUGGCAUUAACCAAAAAUUAAUCCAUCCAAUGAUCCCUGUCUUGUAUAUUAUCAGCGGCCAUCCAACAGCCAUAAAAGCAAAUACACAAGCCAAGCUUAUCUUCACCCUGUGCACUUCACUUGGUCUGAACUUCUUCAAGUCAAAGUGCCAGAUUAACCUAAAUAAUAGUAUUUGACACAUAUGCACAAACAUCAAAUUUGCUUCUAAAAAGAAAGAAUGGAAAAAAUGGAUAAGGUCCUAAGUUUCAAAACAUAUUAAAUCUCUAGCCGUCAAGUACCAGUGAGCUAUAGACAUCCAAGGUCGAAAUGGUCCAUAUCCGUAUAUGAUUGCUUUCCUUAAGACUGGGCUUGAGUCAAAUUCUUCUUUUGCAACAGGAUGCCAAGCUGUAUCUUCUUGCAGCCUGGGAUGAAAGCAGAAGAGGCAAUAGAGGUAAAGAAGAAUAGCAGAAAAUCUAUAAAUGAGAACUCAAAUGCCCAUAAACAAGCUCAACUUCCCCAGAAAAAAGAAGAAACAAAGAAACAAUAACCAAGAAACAAGAGGAAUAGGCAAUGGUGUAGAUAUACUUUAUCUAUAUGCAUAUCUUACUGAAAUAUGUAAUUUACUCUGUGCAUGUGGAUUGCAGAAAGAAUUAAGAAAAUUUUACUUUCUGUGGUAGAUAUAGAACCAGGGUAGUUACUUUACUGUCUGCAUAUGACCAGAUACCGAGGUUUCAAUUAAGGUUGUAGAAGAAAACAAAUAUCUCUAAAGGACAUAUAGAUUCUUCCAGGCAUCUAGUUCAAAUGGAAAAAACAGCCCGUGAGCGAACUGAAGUAUGGAUUCAUUACCCAAAUACUGAAGAUUUUUCCUUCAAGUUGCAUGUCCAUUUACAGAUUUCUCGAAAAACUAAUGGUAGAGCCAUAGAGUCUUCCUAAAAUCUAAUGUUGAAAAAGUCCACUAACCACCUUACAAUGACAAAAUUGCUGAAGUUUAGCUUUGUCCUACUCUCUGCAAUGACCUAAAACAAUCUAUCCAUACACUUGACCAGCACUCCCUUAUACUCCUACAGCUCAGAGGCAAGAAAUACUGGACUAAAAGACUACCUUAAAACAGAACGAAAUUCAUGUUGACAACGGACACUCAAAAGUUAAAAGAAAAUGAAAUUUCAGUCUUAAGUUGCAAAGCUUAUGCAGGUGCACAUGGGUAGCAUUUCUGUUAAGUCUGUGUGUGCGCGCAUUAAUUGUUGACCUCAGUAAAAAUAGCAUAUCUAAAAGAAGAUAUGUGAGAACAAAGAAAUUGAUUAGUUCAGUCCAAAGUGCAUAGCUUCAGCAUAUGACAUAUAUAUGGGCAGCAAAGGGGGGAAAACAUGCAAUGUGCACAACAAUCAGUACUCAGAAAACACUCUUGUAUCAAAGUAGUCUUUGUCCAGCCAUCAAGAUAUAUUUAGCUUCUUCAAAAUAUAAAGAAACAAAUUCCGAAAUACGCUAAGUGGCUAGACAAAGACGCUGAAAUUCUUACAAGGAUGUCGGUUAAUUGAUCCUUUCAGAGUUAUAAGUAUGAGCAAAAUAAAAUUGAACUUAGAGGCAAAAUAAACAAUUCACAGGAAUCUCAUACAGACAUGUUUGUUUUUGCAUGAUGCCUAUCAUGCUUAAAACGCCAUGGCUCGUAUGGGUAAAUCAGUGGCAAGAAGGCCAGAGUUCCAAUGAUAUCUUCCACUAGCUUGUUCUUCGAGAAUGAUUUGUGCGCACAAUCAUGUCCUAUAACAAAGAACUUCACAAUACAAGAUAAGAAAGAAAAUAAUGCAAAAAAGUUGGUUUUGUGUACCAUGAAUGAAAAUAAAUAAAAAAGCUUCUGCUAUUCUGAAAUAACUUGACAGGAAGGAAAACUUGACAUGAAAUCAAUUUGAUAAUGCUCUUGGAUUUGAGGUCCCCCGGGGCCCGGGGGGAGGGGGAUGGUAAGAAAUUUUCAUCAAAUUGUUAUUUUCCUUCCUUUCAAACUGUUAAAAUAUGGAAAUAAUAAUGAUAAAUAUACAUGCAGAACUAACCCCAGUAACUGCAGUUCCUGUCCAAGCCCAAGCCAGGGGAAGUAGAUACCAUGGUGUUUUAGCAAUCAUGAAGAGUCCCAAGGCAUAGGAUGUGCAGAUAUCAAGACAGACUUCCAUGCUUUUACAUCAUCUAUCUCAAAUACCUAAAAGUAAAAUUUAAUGGGAAGAUUAUCACUGUUUUUUCUUGGUAGUGUUACUGGAGCCCAAAACUGUAAAAUUUUCACAGAACACAUACUACCAAUUUAGAGCUCAACUCAAUUUUCACAAAUGCUUGGAUCCUUGCAUUCAUCCAGAGUGGUGGAGCCACAUAAAAUAAGUUCAAACCUAGGUCAUUAAGUAAGUUGGAGUAACAUCCUUAAGCCUUAACAACAUCUAUGCCCAAGGCAAAUAGUGCUAUGCUGCCAUAUUGGCAGGCAUAGUUGUUUAAACAAGAUGCAUUGUGCUAUUCUGUCAUUUACAGCCAACUUCCAGCAUCUUCUUCUGCAUUUUUUUUCACCUGCAGAGAGAGGGGGGGCAGUGGCUAGAGGAGGAGCCAAUUAGUCAAGUUUUUGUUCAUUAACUAUUUGAUAUUGUAUUGCGUUCUCACUCAUGUCUUGGUUGGAAUUGAUAUAGAUCCUAAAGUGAAGCUAAAAUACUGUAAAAGACAAAAGUACAGACUGAAGUUGCAUAAAAGUGCUCUCAGAAUAUGCUCCUUCACUGUUUCAAAUAUUCAAAGUUGAAUAACUCCAACAUAUUACAUAUUUCCUAAUCAGAUCAAAGAUCAUAUUCACAUCCUAAAAAACAUUCAGCAAUGAGAGAAACAACAUCCAGUGCAACUAUCCUGAAGGAGAAUAAUUUCAUUCCUUAUUAGGAAUCAACAAGCCAAGUUAAACCAAAAAGUUGAGCUUAAAAAUUUGGUUCUACGAAUAGCAAAUCAAUGGAAAUCUCACUGAACAUAUAGAACUCUUCUGAACAUCAGAAAAACUAUCACCUUUUUUGGGAGGGUUUCAAUAAUAUCUUUCAGAGUGACAUUAUCUGGAAGUGGCUCUCCAAUCUGUUGAAAACCAUAUCUUUCAGAUAAUUGUUUCCUAUGCUCUCUUCUGUCUGCCGGAGAUGGAGCUAUUGGGACUGCCACAGCUUGUACAACCCUACUGUGUCUCAAAGAAAUUAAACAUCUUUUCUGGUUGUUUCUUCCACGAAAUAUAUCUUCCCACUUCAAAUUAAAUGUGCCUGCUCAGCAUGAUAAAAACUGUUAUACAAUUGACUAGAAAAGUGGAUGAAGCAUACCACACCUAAAAUAUCAUUAUUAUCAAUAGCCACUUACAGCAAAUAAACAGAAGUUUCAGCUAUUACUGAAGGUCACGUAAUAGGAAAGCACAGCAACUUAUAGAGUUUUCAUAUCAUUGAACACAACUUACAUCAAGUACCAUGGCCUAUAUCUACAUGCACAUUGCUCUGUAACAAUUAAGAACGUGUAUGUUUAUCAGACGAGAUAUCUAGUAGUGAGAUUGCAUCCAUGUAGAGUAAUAAGAUGGAUUCCUUCAAUUACUAAAGAAAGUAAAUUAGCGAUCGAGGAGUCACGACAUAAUUUGGCCCCCUAUUCUCUCAUUCAUUCACACAGGCUUCGCUAUAACUAUUACUUCAUUAUCAGUAAAGAGAAAGCAUUCCAAACCAAAUAGAAUAGGAUCACCAACUUAUAGUCUUCAACACCAUUAUCCAAACCACCCCCAUGCAGGCAUCACUGAACAUUUGUAAACAGAAAAGCAUUGAGAAUCUCAAACCAGCUAUGAGACCCCGUGAUCCGACCUACGCCUCAAAGGCCACAGCCAGAAUUGCUUUCCCUUUCAUUUUUUCCUUUUGUCAUUCUCAAUACCUCAAUAUUCAUCAUCCAACAAUUUCAUCCUGUUAGGCCAUUGAAUCAUUUCUAAAAAUAGCUGUGUGGACUAAUAAAUCUCACUCUGACAGUUCCCAAUUUUAAAUAAUAUUUCAAUCGCAACAUUGAACUCCCAUCUAAAAAAUGUAAUACACUGUGGCUUAAUGAAUUAACAAUUAAAUAAGCACUUCUCUCAAGCCACAUCCUUCCCUCCUUGAGUGCUGCUAAAAAAAACCUCAUCUUGAUUCACAAGAACUCAAUUGACAAGAAUCACAAAGUUUAUAUUUACCAGGACAAGUAAGUGGGGACAAUUUAUGGUUCUGAAUUGGCCUCCUUUGUUGACCCUAAUUAUAGAAAAAGCAAAAUAAAACCCAUACAUUAGUGUAUCAACAACUAAAAAAACUAUUGAACACGCAACAGGAAAAGAGAAUAUUGACCACAAGAAGGAAGCUGGAGCCUGCAAGUCUGCAAGCCAUGAAGACUAGUGGAAACUGCUGGGUUUCUCUAGUUCAAGAAACCCAGUAGCCCUCCUAAUCCAACUGCUUGUUUGCAACCCUUUACCCCUUUAUCAAUGUCCAAGUGGUCUGAAGAAGAUAAAGGGGUAACAGGGAGAGGGAAGACGACUGCAAUUGGAGCUUGACACAGACCAAAAAAGGGUCCCAAAAAAAGGGAGUGGCAGUUUAUAUCAAAGUUCAAAACUAGGAUGAGGUUUGUGCUGUCGGUAGCUCGUUCUUGUGGUACAUGUGCAAGAAGACGCAAAAUCUCAAGUUGCCCGUUGUGGACAGAAUUGCCCGCCACAGCAACAGGUUAGGGUCAACGACUCAAUUGGCUGCAUGUCUUUCUCAUUUUUGUUUAGGAAUUGAAAUUCAAGAUAGAAGGCAUGACUUUUUUGUUUGGUUAAAAUAAUUGUUUUCCCUAUUAAACACGUUUUUGUUUAUAGUACUGAAAAAAGUUUUGAUGCUUUGGGAUGUUGUGGAAUUUUUUGUCAAACAUGGCGAUUUGCAGCGAUGGGUACUCUAGAAUUUCGACUAUCACCCUCGAAAUCAAAUUAAUACAAAAUCUUGGUCAUUAAUGUCAGACCACAUCAUAUAUUUAUACUCAUGGAUUGUGAGUGUCAAUAGAAAAUUUUCAGUUAAAACUGAGAUGAUUAUUUCGUCUUUAUAGCAUUUUUUGGCACAGUUAAAAUCUCAUUAUUCAUAAUUAUGACAAUUGAUAUACUCGGACAGUUUCAAAAUGGCGGCAUUGUAUCAUACAUUAGUCAUAACUCAUACGCCAUUGGAAGAAAUGAAUAUGGGCAUCCGCAUUUACCUAUAAUGCUCUGCUUAUUGGCAAUCAUAUGUAACUAAUGUAAACGUUUAGUUCAGUGUAAUUGUAAAGCAAGAAAGACUUUUUACCUUUUUAAGAGGAAAAAAGAAGUUACGCAUAUAUUUUCUCACACCUUUUCUUUAUACAUAUGUAUAUAUAUGUUGUACUCUUUAUGUUGUGUUCGAGAACUGUUUGUUCCAUGCGAAAAUAAUUUUAAAAGAAGAUGCACUCUGUUUUCUCUACCUAAUAAAUUAUUACUUACCAUCUUGAGGAAAAUAAGUAGAUUUGAGGCUCUGGAUUAAGGUAAUUUUUUUUACACUAAUUAAUGCCUAACUUUCACUCAAGCUAUCAUAUAUACAUACAUACAUAUUAAUAAUUAUUAUCCUCUCUUACAGUUAUAUAUGUUUCUUAAUUAAUAAGGAGGCUUUUUCUAAGGCAUUCGUUAGUCAAACCCAGACCCCUCUUUUAAGUAUUUAAGAAUCAAUUUUGUUUCGUGUAAAAUAUUUACAGAAUAUGUAAGGGACUAUGCCAAUAACACCUUUGUAAAAUUUUAGUGGUCUUAUGCUAAUUAGUCAAAAGAAAAAAUUAAGUAUUAAUCUCUCUAAAACUCUUGAAAAUUUGGCUUCCUGCCUAAUAAACUAAUAAGUUGCAGUUAAAUUCCUAACCGUUAGAUUAAACAGUCAAAUUUUUCCCACUUACUGUUAGAAUCUAAACGCAGCACAAACAACUAUUAACAUAUUAAGUACACAACAAUUUAAUAAAAACAAAUCACAAGUAUGAAACAUAAAGGAUACACAAUAUUUAACGUGAUUCGUCUCCGCCAUCAAACCUACGUUCACGGAGAGAAAUCCAUUCUUUAUUAAGAGAGAAAAAUCCUAUACAAGAAUAUAAGUUAAACUCAAAUCCAACCCCUAUAUACUAUUUCUCAUCUCCAAGAACCCUCUCUCACGAUCUAUAUAUAAAGUUACAUAUCGUCGCUUGUGUGUCCUUUUGUGUGUCUUUUGUAUAAUAUGUCAAUCCACAUAUGUAUAGUAUUAUCUGGUCAAAUUUAAAUAACAACAAGAAAUUAGUGCUAAUUUCUAAACUUAUACUUAUAGAAAAUAACUUCUAAAUCCUAAACAAAAUAAGAAAUUUUUGGCUACUAUUUCAAGUAACUAAUACCAAUUAAAAAACUAGUUACUUCCACAUAAAACAUGAAAUCUAACUAAAAGAAAUUAAAUCAAUUUCCUAACACUUACUUCUCACCACUAGAUUGGAUUCAUUUUAAGAAAGAUUACUGAAGAGGCUCGCCGAACUUCUUCUACCUUUUCUCUGUGUUAGAUUAUUUUAGGCUAAAUUAGUGACAACUUGACUUUCGGUACACCUGAAGAGCUUUCAGCCUGCUGCUGUACAUGCUAUUCCUCCAGCUCUAUCUACUGGAGUAAGCAAUGAUGGUGAUGCAAAAUAAUGGUAAGAUUAAAGCACAAAAAAAUAGUGAUAUUUUUGAAAUUUGUAUUAUGGUUUUUUAACUUAAAAAAUUCUUUAACAAUAGUGGACUAAUGAAAAAAGGGACAUUUAAAACUUUUGGCUAUUCAAAAAGUUGGAUUGUGAUCUAAAUCCAUUGCCAUUUUUUCAAAAAAGAAAAAUCAUUGCUACUUCAGAGAAAAUAUGGAGUUGUAUUGAUUAAUGGGAGACUAUAUAAUAUAUAGGGUUAAUUAUACCUGGCAAUUGGGCGGGUUGGGGGGUUUGGGUCGGGUUAAUAUUGGAUUUUCAUUUAAAUGGGUUACACCCAACAUACCCAACUUUAGAUUGGGUUAAUUUUAGAUUGGGUCAUAUUGGGUUAUCUCAAACCUAUGACCUAAAUAUGACCCAAUAUAUUAAUGAAUAUAUUUUGAUAUAUAAACUCUCUCAAAUAUAUUUUCACAUACAAAAAAAAAAUUUUAAGUGGGUGUCCAACUCAAAUACCCAAAUCGCCCAAAAAAAGAUUUUAUGCUAAUAUUUUCACAAAGAAAGUAUGGUAAUUCUAGAUUUAUGUAGUUUUUACAUAUUGAGAAUACAGUUUAUAAAAACAAAAAUAUUUUAGCAUGAAUGAGUUAUGUGGUAGUUAUUAAGCAUCGAGGACACAAGUAGUUUAAGUUAACAUUAAUGUCUCAAAAUUAAUUUCAAAUUUAAUAAUGUUCAAAUUCUUCAUACUGAACAUUUUGAUGAUGAUAAUAUAAAUGAAAAAAAGUCACAUUGUAGCUAAAUAUCUAACUCAUAAAUGCAAAUUAAUUUUUUUUGUCACAAUAAAUCUGGCAACUAUUCUAACACAUCUGGCGUUGUCCAUAUCUAGGGUAAUACCCUAUUAAGUAUGUAACCAAGGAAUUAAAAAUAUGCCAAGUAAAAAAAUUUUAACUUGCUUGGCGAAUUAUGUUAUAAUCACAAAAGAUGUUUAUAGCAAAAAAUAAUAAGAAAAAGUCUAUAGUUGAUGCUUUUGAGUAACUAUUCACCAUUUUAAAAUUGUGUUGAUUAUUCACUUGAUUCAAUUAGCAAAAGUUGGGUAAUGGGUGCCCAACACAAAUACCCAAACCGUCCAAAUAUAUCUGGACUUUUAUUACCCAACCCAAAAUUGACCCAAUACCCAACUUACCCAACCCAACCUCUCAAAUUAGUGGUGGAUUGAGUGGGUUGUUGGAUUUUGGGUAUAAUUGCCAGGUCUAGGGUUAAUUAUAGUUGGCACCUUUGAACUUGACCCUUUAUAAUAUUUUGCCCCCUUGAACUUUAAAUAUGUGCACUUUACUCUCUUCAUUGACUAGUCAAAUAUUAAUGAUGAAUUCAAGAAGAGGGAUCAUGUGUUGGUUAAACUUUACCAAUACGGGCAUGUUCGUGGUGUGUACAAGAGUCUAAUGCGAUGAGAUGAAGGACCGUUCACUAUAUUCAAAAAGGUGGAAAACAUGACGUACAAGGUAUUCGAAAUACUAUCUCAACUCCACCUGAUCUUUCAUGUCAAUUUGGUCAAACCAUUUUAUUAAAAUCCACAUGAUCCAUCAAAAAACAUGUCGACGAAAGCACUCGCGGCAUGAGGGACAAGUACGAUAAAGUUGCUGAAUAAAUCGUGGCCGACUAUAUUACUCGAUACAAGAGUUGAGCAUUAUCAAAGAAGUACUUGAUGCGAUGGCGUAGGCUAUUAAAAUUGGAAAUACUCUAGGAAUCGGCUGAAAAGUUGUGGUAAUUCAAGAGCUUAUACAGGCAUAUGAAAUUAGUUAAGGCAUCGAGGUGAUAUCUUGUUCGAGUGACGGAGGAUGACAAGGAUUUCAUUCUAUCCAUGCACGAUCGUGCCUGUCCGGUCAGCCAUGCAUUAUUGUAUAUAAUGUCCUAAUAGAAAAAUCAGAACCAUUAGUAGACCCAUACCUCAAUCCUCCAAAUAAGUGGCAAACCAUGGAGCCUUACCUAAGACAUGGACGCUACAUCAAAUAUUGUUAGAAGUAUGUAACAAGGUCUAGAGACUUCCGAAACGUUCUCUGUUGUUUAAGAGUCUUGUAGAAUGAUUUAGAAUUUGUACAUAAGAGUUGCCUUGUAUAAAAAGUGCUAGAGAGGGUUUAGUGUAGAAUUCUUUAAAAACUUGUAUAACUUUCUUGACUUGCCUAUAAAUAGGCAAAACUCCUUCAUUUGUAACCAUCUUGUGCAAAUGUUUAUAAUUAUAAUAUAAGUAUUCCUUAACCUCCAAUGUUUUUCUUCUUUGCUCUCUACCUUAGUUUCCGUAUAUUUCCACACACUUAGAUGUAAGGGUGAACCAACAAACCGUUUAUAGUUUAGGUUUUGAACGAUCACUAAUUUCGCAGGGCGUGUUAAUUUAUAGGAAUUUAAAUAACUUGUGACAAUUGGUAUUAUACUUUUAAUCGGAAUAUGAAACAUCUUAUUAGAAAAAACACAAAAUCAAAUAAUUUAAAAAAUUAAAAAAUAAAAGAUGGUAUAAUACCAAAGAAUUGAAAAAUUAUAUUGUGAAAAAAAAAAUUUAAAAAUUCCUAAAACAUCUACAAAAGUUUUUCAUCGCUUAUUUUUUUCCUUUAAAUUGUAAACGGAUUGGUUUUGAUAAUUUUUAUUUACCUUGCAGAUCACAAGAUUUUCACAAGUUAAUAAGAUGCUAUUUGAUAAUUUUAUGCCACAUUCGUACCUUGUUUUGUAUUUUGUUUGAAUUCUAUGUUUUAAAAAAUCUAAAAAUUCUCUAAAUAUGUUUUUCAAUAUAUUUUUAUCUCAUAUAAAACACAUUAAAAAGUAUUAUAAUAAAAAUAUAAGCAAAUGAUUUUCAUUCCAAAUGUACUAAUUAAUUUUAUUUUAUUAAAAAUAUGUAUUGCUAUUAGCAUUGAGAUAAUUACAUUGAAUUGCUUAGACUUUUUGUUUUUGUGAAUUAUCUCAUUUAUUUUUAGUGCUAAAAUAUCGAAAUACGUAGUGUAAUUUUGUUUAGAUACAUUUAACAACUAAUAAAGAACUAAAUAUUUAUUAUGUUACAAUUAUGAUGUGUAUUUUAGAAUUAGUUAGGGAUAUUUUGAUCUUGAAAAAUAUAACUAUUUAUAGCCCGGUAAAAAAGUUGAUCACAAGGGAUAAAAUGUAUAUAUUUGGAGGUUAGGGGGGAAAGUGUUAUGAGAGCCCAAACUCAGGGCACAAAGUGUAAUUAACCUAAAAUGCAUAAUUGGGAGACUAUAUAAAAUACAUGACAAAAAGUGAAAUUUUGGAGGAAAUGAAAAUUUAAGAAUUCUAGGUGGGGAACACAAACUUUUAGUACACUCUUUUUACUCCCUCUACCUUAAAAACAUUUUUCUUUCUCCUUCCAAACUUUUGAGGGGUUUAAAACCCUACAACACCGAAUAUCUCAAUAACAAAGAGUUUCUUCAAAGAUCUCUUUCUUUUCAAAUCACAAGGUAGAAUGUUGUUAUCUAUAACAAUUCAUCAGAAAAUUUGGAAGGUUUUUUACAUGAUGGGUUGUGUUGGUUGGUGUUGAAUGAGGAGAAAAAAAAUCCUAUGUCCCAUCUUUCAAAUGUCAAACAAAGAUGUCUUUGAUAAAAUAGCUAGGGUUGCUAUGGGGAACUUUCGCGGAGCAGAUUAUUUUCUCCAAAUUUAUGGGCUGCGAUGGAAAAUAAUCCCGAUCGCUACUUCAUUAUUACUCAAAAGGUGAACUGCACCUUUGAGGGCUAUUUCUAGACUCACUGAUAUGAUUUGUCACAAUGAUAAUGGGUUUGUUGUGAAGGAUGUCACUGACAUGAUAAGGUAAAGAAAGAAUUAGAGUUUAUAUAUUUAUUAAGUGUAAUUUUUUAAUGGUAUAUUACGAUUAGAGAAUUUCCAUUUGACUCAAAUGAAAAAAUAGGGAAUUAAUUUUGAAAAUAAUAUAAUUAUCAAAAUUAUUUCCCAAUGUAAUACUUUUUUCAAAACUAUUCUUCGAUUUGAUCACAAGGAGUAUUAAAUUAAGGAAUAGUUUUAGAAAAGUGUUAUACUGAGAAAUAGUUUUGAUUAUAACAUUAUUUUGGAAAAUAACUUUAAAAAUAGGAACAUAUAUAUUGUUGGAUAUAUGAUUUAUCAAACUCUUGGUUAAAUUUUUUUUUUAAUGUAAACUUUCAUGAAGAUAGAAUGUACAAAGGAAUUAAAUCCAGAUACAUUGUAAAAAUACUCUAUACUUGUGCAAAGAAUUCAUCUAAAGCAACUAUAAGAAUUUCCAAAUUCCAUCACUAAAUCCUAGUUUUCUUUGUUUCGUGGGAUUUUCUUUCAUCUAGCAAUUGUACUCAUCAUAACCUCCAAAAUAGUUUACAAGUCUAGUAGCAUCUGCAUGGAUUUGUUGGAAUAUGCUCUGGUCCAUGCUUUCCACAACUAGUAUACUGUAAUAGCAAGAGUAAGUCUUCGCACUUGAUCAGGAAAGGAGUUGGACUUCUAGUGAGAACACACCUGUUGCAGCUCUUAUUGCCAUGGAAAUGGUGCUCUUCGAACCAAGCAUUGCUUUAGUAGUUUCUGCCACACUAUUUCAGAAAUUGGGCAUUCAAAAACAAAUGAUCCUUUGUUUCCACAAAACCUUUAAUGCAAUUCACAUGCAUCAGAUACCAUGUUCAAACUCCAGGCCUUCAUUCUAUCUUUAGUUCAGCUCUUUUGACAAAGCAACCAAACAAUGAAAGAGUAACGUGGCACAUAGCCCUUGCCCUAUACUAAUUGAUACCACAUAACACGAGCUCUAAGAUUUUGAACUAGUUUUGUAGCAGGCUGCACAAUAUAUUUUCCUGAUGCACUAGCCAUUCAGUAUACCUCAUCUUUAGCGUCUAGAUAGGGUAAAAACAGAGCAGGUGUUUCAGUUUUUAGUUUCCGAACUUCACUAGUCAUUCUCCUACCUUUUGGCCAUUUCAACUCUACUCCUUUUUAUAAACUCUGCAACAGUUACAUUCUUUGACAUUCCCAAAUUGAACAAAAGAUUUUCAGAAAAAUACUAAUAGAGGGGACCAACAGUUUGUCUGUUGUCAGACCAAAAACUUCUAUUUUUUCCAUCCCAAUCAGAUUUUUAAUAUAUGCUUGGCUAAUACUUCGAAGCUUUAGAAUUUUCCAUCUAUACAUAUUCCCUUUCCACCAUGAUUCGAGAGCGUAUCAAGUUAGAAGUGAAAAUGUGGCGCACUUGAGAUUUACCCAAAAAAAAACUUUCAACCCAAAUAAAGAAAGACAAAAGAUUAACAAGAGGAGGAAAUUGUUAACUACCGAAUCAGGAUCAGUACAAAGGCCAAAAAAAAGAGAUAUAAAGGUCCUAAGAGACCUGGAUAGUUCUAAUAGCGCAUUACAUUGAUGAUUUACAGCAUAUUGUAUACUACCUCUAGCCACUAUGCUCAUUCCUCAAGAGAUUUUUUUGUCUAGGUGGUUUUUUUAUUUAUUUAUUUUUUUAGGGGCUGGAGGUUUAUUUUAGCUUGCAAUUCCUGAAACAAUAGCAUCAAAGAUCUAGGACUCCCAAGUCUAUAGAUAACCAUCCAAGGAAUAUAAAUACAAAUACACAAGUUCAAAACCCAAAGAAAUGGCAAAUGCCAUCAGCAGGUUCACAAGUAAUCACAACAAAUUCCCAUAUUACAGGCAUAGAAGUAAAAUAGCAAAACUCACAAAGCAUGGAAGUAAAAAAAAAAAAAAAACACUGCACUUGAGAUAAACAUAAUGCUUCAAAGCUUUCAAAUCUUUAGCCUUAUGCGUUUUGGCACAAAAUAUCAAGUGAACUUCCAUACAAAGAGAAGAAGAAAACCAUUUUGACACAUGACACUAUUUACCUCAAUCAUCGAAGUGCUGUAGCAUAACAAGUGCACAGAAGUUAUGGAAUCUUUGUUAACUUACAAUUUGAAGGAAUCGAUGGGAUACCGAGUAAAGUCAUUCUCUAUUGCAUCACAAGUCGAUGUACUUACUAGUCUAUAACUCAGAGCUCGAUCUGUCCUUGUUUCUGAAAGCAGCUUGAAAAUGACAAUUGUCAUAUAAUCACUGCGAAUAUUUAUUUAUUCCUCAAACAGCAUUACAGCAAAGUAAUCAUCUCCUAAAUCAACAAGAUCAACAGCAACUCCAUAUGGCAUGUCGUCCAAAAAAAUGGCAUUUUUAUAGCUUUCUUCUCAUCAAAAAUUUGAAAAGCAGUGAUCGGAGGAUGGAGAGCAGGUAUAAUGCACAACAAGAUAUUCUUUAUAGAGGAUAGCUUUUUUCUCAAAAGGAAAUGGAGGACCGCAACCACGUAUGGGUGGUAGAUGAAUUUUGACAUCUUUAAGUAUGAAAUCAGAAAAUAAAUCACAAGUCUCCCAUUUCUUACCCUUAGUAUCAUGAACACACGAGUAUUGCCUAGAUAAAACCAACAACUUUGCACCAAACACUACAUAUGCGUAAAAGCCCAUAAACUUAUAGGAAAACCUAUUUUUUUAAAGGAAAUGAGAAGACUCCAAGGAACCCAUCUAUCCACCAAAGGACGGUAAACCUCAAAGUUGAUAUCAAUUACAUCAGCUCCAAAGUGGGGUAGGGGCCCAGAUAGAACAUAGAUGAGACCAUCAAUUUUUGCUAUAAGGGGUAAAUACUUUCCACCGUGCCUUGGGCACUUAUUCUCCGCUCGAGAGUUUUCUAGAGGAGUUGAGAGAGAGAUGCAAUUGAACUCUCAGGGCAGCUUACCUGGGUAAAACAAGUAACUUUUUCCUCAUCAGCUUUCACACCACCAACAGCGUAGACCAAAUCAUCUACCUAAAGGAAACUCAUGCUAUGAUAAUGUGGAGUGCAUGCAUCAGAUGACUCCUCUAUCUAACACCAGACAAACUUCUUUUUUGGUUUAAGCAGCUUGCUUCUUGAUGAAUAGCCAAUCAGUUUCCCAAUUGGAAAAGACUCAAAGAGUAAAACAUUGGAUCAGCAACACCAUCCAGUUGCAUGAAACACACCACGAGGUGUCUUGUCGUUCUUCUUUCAUACUUUCUAGAAAAAGGUUCGGAGAAAAGUCUCUCAAUUCUCCCCCUCUCUGUUGUUUGCGACAUGCUUAAUCUAAGCAAAAGAAAUCAAUUUAGCAAUAGAAGAAUGAAUGACGCAACAGCUAAAUUGAAGCUGCACCAAAGAAUAACAGUGAACCAAAGACCAAAAAAUGAAUAAUAUAAUUUGUUCUUUCAUCUUUUGCAUUAGAUCAACCCAAAUAUCAACCUAAAAAGAAAAUUGAAUGUAAUCUGCAUUGAACAAAGAUGCUCACAGAGGAGAGCCAACAGUUGCACAAGUCUAUGAAAAUCCAGAUGAAAUUACUCUCCUUAACUCUAAUAACUCCCUCUUGGACGAAAAUAUCAUUUACUAUCAUUUAUCAGUUGUGAUUUGUAAGAUAAGGAUCUUAAAGUCCAGUACGAUAACAAAUUAAAAGGGAAAAAAAUAAUCAAAAAGAGAACUACAAUCAAAAUAACAAUCAAUGAAAGAACAUAAAAACAAAGGGAUACUCUUUGGUCUUCUUAGAACUACAAUCAAAAUAACAAUCAAUGAAAGAAUAUAAAAACAAAGAGAUACUCUUUGGUCUUCUUCAUCAGGCCAACCUAGAAUUCAAUCUAAAAUAAAUAAUAACAAUUAUAAUAAAUAUAUAGAACAGAAUAAAGGAGACUAUAAAAUCAAUAAUGGCAAUUACAUUUUUAGAAGCUUAUUCAAAAAAAAGGGACAAGGUUAUCUAUUAAUAACAAGUAUCCAUGCUUGUGCCAACACAAAUUGACUUAACUGAUAAAAACAGAUUAUAGUGGCAUGUGUUAGAAUGCUGAAUCUCGAAUCCCGCUGCUGAUGUGAAAGGCAAUUUUGUUUAAAUCUUGAAUUGGGUGCCGACAUAAGAGUUGUGUUAGUAAAGAGGUACAUGAGAGUUGUGUUGGUGAAGAAGUGUGUUUGAAUGCUAAAUCCCAAAUCCUCCUGCCGAUGUAAAAGUUAUACUGGUGAGAGCUGUGUUGGUGGAUGAUAUAUAAAAAUCUCUAAAUGAACUAUGUCUAAAUAGCCUAGGGUUUUGGGGACAUGACCUGAUUAUGACUUAUAAUGGUGAUAGGAGUUGAAUUUACCCAAAAAUUUUUUUAAAUCCAGAGGGUAUAACCUAGGAUUCAAACUCAUCCAAAUUUUUUUUAGUUCCUGGGUGUGAUUUGACUAUGAUUCAUAAUGGUGACAGGAAUCAAAACCACCUAAACUUUUUUGUGAAAAAAAAUUAAUUAAUUAUCCAUGCUUACCGUCUCGAGCCUAGUCAUGCUUGAUGUUGGAUAGGAGGACUAUGAAGUUUGAACCUUUUUUUUUCGAAACUAGGACUAUGAAGUAUGAACUUAAAGCUUGGUCAAUUGACAUGAGUAAUGCACCACUAUAAAGUAGGUAGAUACUAGUCUGGCAUUGUUAGAUUGAAGUAGGAAAAACUAACUCGAUUAUUGCUUUCCCAAUCUAGAUCAACUCGGCUAUUAUUUGAUUAGUGUAGGGACUAUUGCUCCUAUGUAAUGCAACGUAUUCUUGUGCAAAUAAUUUUUACCGAAUAAUGUCUUUACAGCUAAACUUGUGUUAUGGCCUGUUAAUUUUUCCAAUGAUUAUAAUCAACAGAAGGCAACGGAGGCAAAAAAGCAAGAAAAUCACAUUCCCUGUGAAGCUGGAAGAACUAAAUUUUUCUGCCUUGAUGACUGAUUUUAAUGCUUAUGAUUCCAACCACCAUACUGGACACAAAAAAUGCACCACCCAAAAUGCUAUUAGGGCCAAUAUUCUUGGUAUUUCCAUUUCCUUCCAAGAGACAGAAGAGUUGCAUCAGCAAUAGUUCGGGAAAGCUUUAAACAUCUUGAUAAGCCCUCUAGUGAGGUUCAAAGCCCUCUAGUGAGGUUCAAAGGCAAGUGCUAGCAGUAUCACCAAGGAGAUAGAAAAGCAAUACUAGCCAAAUAGCAAGCAAAUUGUAACCAAGACCUAUGCUGAAUAUGUAGUAAAACAGCUCCAGAUAGGAAAUGUCGCCUUGUGGUUGACAUCCCUAGUGGGAUUUUACAUAUAAGCACUGUUCAAACUUGGUAUUGCACUCUUUGUGCCCUUCACAACCAUCAUCUUCAUUCAACAAAAAGAUUUGGUAGUUAUUUAAAAAAGGUUUUUUUUCCCUGAUGAAGUUGUUUAGGAAAUUUGAGUCUGAUAUUGAUGCAUAAGAUCAGAAAAAGGAAGAUUACAUUGAGAGAUACAAUAAAGCGACUAGCUUUAUGCAUGAAGAGGAAUAAUCCCAUAAUUAAGCAACUAUAGGGAGAGAAAAAUAGAAAGAAAGAGAGAGUUGUGUAGGAGAGAAAAUUAAAAAAAGGUUUGGUGAAGAAUCGAGAAUCCUAAUCCUUGUAUAGGCAACAUGAUUGAACAACUAAUAUCGUAACAGAUUUUUUGAGGAAUAAAUAAAGACUUAAAAAGAGUCAUUAUACAACAAUUUUGUUUAGUGAUUAUAUUAGGAUCACACCUGAAAUUGACUUGGGCCAAAUUAACUGUAAAAUGCUUUCUAUUUAUAAGAGAAAAAUGUCAUCUUCGAAGCUGGCAAUUCCAAUUACAAGUUCCCAAGCAUCACAAAAGGGGAAAAUGUAGAGAAGUAAUUAGUGAUGAAACAAACAUCUUGCAAUAAGCUAUUCACAGGAAGUUUCAGUAUUAAACUCAAUUUAAGAAGGUGAAAAUGCGGAGAAGUAAUUAGUGAUGAAACAAACAUCUUGCAAUUAGCUAUUCAAAAGAAGUUUCGGUAUUAAAUUCAAUUUAAGAAUGUGAGGUAAUGGAAAAAGGCAUCCUUAACAAAACCAUUUCCUGGCCUGAUUAAUUGUCAAAGCUUCAACACAAAUUAUAGCCCAUAGAGUACUUAUAUUCAAGAUCUUUAUAGUGUACUUGGUCAAUUUCAGCAUGCAAGUUGGAAGAAACUAUAGAUUAUGCACACUAGAAUUUUUUGCAUGUAUAUAUUUUAACCAUUAUUUACCAAAGGACAAUGAAAAUUAUCAUCGAAGAAACAAAUACAAUAAAGAAAUGUUUAGUAACUAAAAAUAAGAUUAAAGGAAGAUAAGAUAGGUGUCCUAGUUGGUCAAUUAUUUAACCAAGAAGCAAAAUAUGGGCAAUCUAUUUCUGUUUCGUAUCUGCAUAAUUGUGAACAAUCUCAAUAAAAAAGUUAGAGUCUAUUCAAAACAAUCUCAAGUUGCUAUGUUUGGCAAUCUUGGAUGAGCCACACGCUUGCGCGCAAUAUAACUAGGCAAGCUAAGGAAAGAUUUGUGAUCAAUUUCAACCACCUCUGAUCUUCAUAUGUUGUCCUUUACAUUUACAAUUAUUGGGAUCUAUUGGUGCUGGUGCUGGAAAAGUUUAACCGAGAAGCUAAAAAUCAAACAAACAAAAAGACAUAGCAUGAUAGUUCCUAAACUCAUCCUCCAACCCCCCUUCCAAACUUGCCCUGCCAAGGGAUAAACAAUCAAUUUUUUGCCACCUAUUUACCACCAUUGGAUCCAUUUCAAGAAAGAUUACUGAACAACUCUUCUUCCAGCUUGGCUUUUGGUAGACUUAAGGAGCCUUUAGCUCACUGUCGUUCAUGCUAUUCUCCUGCUCUGUCUAUUCAACAAGAGAUUUUUUACCCCUAAAAGUUCUAACCUUUUGAUGUGUACAAUUUUACUUCCACAAUUUCUUAUUCUUUGAUCAAUUCAGGGAAAAAAAAGUAAUCAUUUUUAUUACAAUAAAGAAGAAAAAUAGGAGUUGAUAGUUGUUUUUUAGUAAGAAUUAUAGUGUUUUUUUUGUUGGGGGGAAUGGGCGCUAAGAUUAGAGAUAAGAAGAAGAGAUCAGUACAAACAAACAUAAACUUUCCUCUGCAUUUUUGACAAAAGCCAAAAAAAAGGAAAAAGGCGUUAUUUUCUUUUUGCAUUCUUUUGAUAAGUGUUUUCGCCAUCAAUUACAAUUAUCUUUUAUUAGUAACAAUGCAUUUCAAAUUCUUCAACCCCUGUGCUUUGGCAUGAAAUACCAAGUGAACUUCCACAAACACGCAAAAGAAGAAAACCAUUUUGACACAUGGCGCCAUCUACCUCAGUCAUCGGAGUGCUGCACGAUAUUAGGUGUGCGCAAGUUGUGAAAUUUUUGUUGACUUACAAUUUGAAGGAAUAGAUGGGAUAAGGGCUAUUAAAUGAACCGAACUGUUCGUUAGCUCGGUUCGUUUCGACUAGUUCGUAUUCAUGAAAGACUCGUUCGAAACCUUAAACGAACCGAGUUCGAACGAAUUUUUUUGUUCGAUUAAUAAUUGAGCGAAUACAAGCAUAUUCGUGAGUUUUAACGAACGUUCACGAACAUGAGUAUGUUCGCGAGUUUUAACAAACGUUCUCGAACAUGGACAUAAUUAUCAUUUGAUAAAUUUUAGAGUUAAUUUUAUGGUUGGACUUUUAUAUUUGGAGGGCAAAUUACUUCGUUUUAUUUGUUGUUUUAAUGUUAAAGUUAUAUAGUUAAUGAAUAAUAGGAUUUAGUCACUUAGUUGCCUUAAUUGUUUUUGAGAAUAAUUAAUGAUUUGCAUGGCAUAUUUAAGGCUUAAAAUAAUUUGGAUUCAAGCAUUUCGAGUAUGUUCGCGAACGGCUCGUUUAUAUUAAAGGAGCCGAACACGAACUCAAACUCGAACACGAAUUUUGCUUAAAGAGCUGAACACGAACACAUGUUUGGAGUUCGAAAAUUAAUGAACGAACACAAACGUUGUUCGAAUCGCUUAAUGAACAGAGGUCAAACAUGAGAUACUCGGUUCGAUUCGGUUCGUUUACAGCUCUAGAUGGAAUACACAGUAAAGCCAUUCUCGGUUGCAUUACAAUCCAAUGUACUUACCAGUGUACAACUCAAAUCUCCGUCUCCCUCUUUUUCUGAACGCAGCUUCAAUGUGACAAUUGUCAGAUCCUUGGCACGUUCAUUCGUUACUUUUUCAAAAAGCAUUACAGCAAAGUAAUCAUCUCCUAAAUCAACAAGAUCAAUAGCAACUCUACAUGGCAUGCCGUCGAAAAGAAGUGGCAUUUUUACUUCUUUCUUCUCAUCAAAAAUCUAAAAGGCAUUUACAGGAGGAUGGAGGGUAGGUAUAAUGCACAAUAAGAUAUUGUCUUUAUAUAGGACGCUUUUUUUCUCAAAAGGAAAUAGAGGACUGCAACCAUUUAGGUGUCGCACAUAAUGUUUGACAGGUUCAAGCAUGAAAUUAGAAAAUAACUCGCAAGCCUCCGAUUUCCCAAGCACAGUGUCAAAAGCACACAAGUAUUCCCAAAUUGAAACACACAACUUUGCACUAAUCACUACAUAUGCAUAAAAUCCCAUAAACAUAGAGGAGUAACCAUCUUUUUCGAGAAAUGGAGGAAUCGACAGAUGAGCCCAUCCAUCCUCUAAAGGAUAAUAAACCUCAAAGCCGAUGUCAACUAUAUCAGGAGAUCAUAGUUGAGUGUAGACACCAAAUUUUGUCAUAUUUUUUCUCUAGUAUUUGACAUUUGCUUGAAAUUUUGUCUAUUUAGGGUCAUUUAUUUUUAUCCAUUUAUUUGUCUAUUUUUCUUGUUUUUGUAGAUUUGUUUUUUGUUAAAAAAAAAGAGGAGAAGAGAAGAUUUUACACUCUCUAAUCAUCUUUCCCUAUCAAAACCUGGAAAAAUCCAUCAUUUUAUCUCAUGGUUCUUUCUUGUCAUUUGGUGAAGAAACCAUCAUUUUUCUUUGACCAACCUAACUCCCUAAUUUCCUCCACUCUCGGUUCCCUUAUUUUUCCUUCAAGAAGGGAAGACAAAAACAAAAAAAGGCACCCCCCUCUCAAUCUUCCUUCUCGGCCAUUUUUUUCUCUCAACUCAUGACAUUUCCUCUAGACAAACACAUAAAAAAAAAUCUCUCUCGCCCUCUUGGCUCUAUCCCUCCCUUUUCUCAAUUAAGACAACACACCCACACACAACUUAAACACAACAAAGCAAGCAACAAAGGAUUAACGCUUGGGAGUUUCCUUCAAAAAUUUGACCGAGAAGCUCUUGCUUAGAUUGAGGUAUUUUCCAAUUUUCAUUAAUCAUGUUAAAUCCAUAUUUUAUUGUUUAGUUUUUCUUGUUGUUGCGGUCUUUUAUUGUUGUUGUUGUAUUGUUGAAAAUUUGGAAAAUGGCAUAAACUAGAUUAAGGAAAAGGAAAUAAUUUUUGUGUAUGCAUGCUAAAUGUUUAAUAAAAUGACAAAAUUAAAAACAAAUCAAGUUAGCGAAUUUUUGUGCAUAGUUUCGUUAAAAUGAAUGACCAUUAGCUAGUACAUGGCUUGGAAAGAUGUUUGAUUGUUCAAAGUUUAAGUUUAGACCUCAAAAGUAAGGAAUGGGUUUUUGAAAAAUUAGGGGCUAUUUUGCCUUAAUUUGGCCUUUUGUUGUUGUUUUCUUGUCAAAUUAAGAUCAUAGUUGUAUUGCAAAAAUUAUAAGGAGCGUUGUAAUAUAAACUUUAUGAUUUUUGGUGGAAGUUUGAGUAUUUUAGAGAAAUAAAAACUAGGCUGUCUUUUUGUAGAUCGUUCGUGCAUUAUAUUCAUCUUUUGAGUGACAUUCAUUACAUCUUCAUGCACAUUUUUAUUUUAGAAUCUUUUCUCAUUUGCAUGGUAUUUUCUAUUAUAUUAUCCCCUACCCUCCAUAUGUAUUAAUCAUAUCAUUUAGGAUUGCAUCUCAUUUAAGAAAUUAUAAAAUAAAUUAAUUCAUUUGAGUAUUUUAGAGAAAUAAAAACUAGGCUGUCUUUUUGUAGAUCGUUCAUGCAUUAUAUUCAUCUUUUGCGUGACAUUCAUUACAUCUUCAUGCAUAUUUUUAUUUUAGACUCUUUUCUCAUUUGCAUGAUAUUUCCUAUUACAUUAUCCCCUACGCUCCAUAUGUAUUAAUCAUAUUAUUUAGGAUUGCAUCUCAUUUAAGAAAUUAUAAAAUAAGUUAAUUCAUUUGUUUGUCUAGAUUAGGAAAAUUACUCUUUGAAUAUGGGAAAUGGGUGAUUAUAACUUUUUAGUUUAAAUACGCCGUUAAUCCCUGUGUAAAAAAAUUAUGUCACGAGAUUUUGCCUCCCGUACCUAUUAUGUUGCAUUUCUUUUUUCUUGAUCACUCAUAUCUAUAUAUAUAAUUUAAUUCUCUUUUCUUCAAUUUUAUUUUUGCAUACUCGUGACUCCUUUUCAAGGGAUUAUUUUGACUUUCGUAAUUAAUGCGAUUGAUGUCAAUUAAACCCUUAAAUGAACAUUUUGCCCAUUUUGAUAUUUUUUAUAAAUUUAGAUUUGUAUUUAUAUAGAAAACUUCCAAAUUUGAUAAAUUUAAGGGUUAGAUUAGGAAAAUUUUCAUUAAACCUCGCAACUAGUUUAGACUAAGUUGAAAGAGUGCCUUAUGUUUGAGUCGAUCGAACAUUUGCCUUCCCUAUCUUCAAUCGUAACUCCCGAACUUAUUUUUCUCUUAUUUUUCAAGACCUAGAGUUGUCGUAAAGGGUUUUAUUUUAUUUUAUUUAUACUAAUUCUAUUAAAAAAAAUUUUGGGUGACUUGGCACACCCAAACUUAAUACCAAGUAGCGACUACUAUUUUUUCUUAAAAACCCUUUUAAACUAAAUUUUGGACCGAAAUUGUCGCAUUCUUUGAAGUCCCAUUUUAGGCAUUUUUUCACUUAUUUUUAAAUAAAAAUCACAUUUUUUGUAAAUAUGAUUUUCAUCGCGAAAAAUGAGGCGCGACAUUGGGCAGAGGUCCAGAUUGAACAUAGAUGAGAUCAUCAAUUUCCACUAUAAGGGCGAAAUACUUUGCCCUGUGCAAUGGUUGCUUAUUCUCCGCUUGAGAGUUUUUUAGAUGAGUUGAGAGAGAGAUGUGACUGAACUCUCGCGGACAGGUUGCAUGUGGCUCUCUUCCUCAUUGCCCUUCGCACCGCCAACUGCAUAGACCAAAUCUAUAACCUGAACGAAACUCGUACCAAAAUAAUUUGGGUUACAUGCAUCAGAUGCAUCCUUUGUCUCACGCCAGACAAACUUCUCUUCUGGUUUAAGUGGUUUGCCCCCUGAUGAAUGGCGAAUCAAUUUCCCAAUUGAAAAGGACUCAAAAGAGUAAAACAUUGGAUCAGCAACAACAUCCAUUUGCGUGAAGCACACCACAUGGCAUUCCCUCGUUCCUUUCUCACCCUUUCCAAAUAAACAACCAAAGGGAAAUCUCCUUCUCUUCUCUGUCUCUGUUGCUCGUGACAUGCUUACUCUGAGCAAAAGAAAUACAUGUUUAUUGAUACAUGGUAAAUUUUAGAGGGUAUUAGUUUAGCAAUAGAAGAAUGAAGAUGACGUAACAAAAUAGAACUGCAAUCAAAAUAACCGUCAAUGAAAGAACAUAAAAAUAAAGUUAUACUCCAUGGAUUUCUUCAUCAGGCCAACCCCUGAUUUCAAUCAAAAAUAAACAAUGAUAAUUAUAAUAAAAUAAAACAGAAUAACGGAGAAAACUUUGCUUGUAAAAGCUCAAAUAGAAAGACAGAAAGGCCAAAAAGAGGGGAGAGAAAAAACGGCGUCAACGAAAGAACAAAGCGAAUAACAACUUAUAAACAUUCAUCGUUUGUUCUUUGUUCUUCUGCAACAGAAGUUUAUUAGCAUUCCUUCUCAGUUUUGACGCCCUAAUUUUGGGAUUGCGACGAUGGUUUAUUGAAAACUAGUUUGCUAGUAGCAUUUUAAUAAAAGUACAAUAAGCUCGUAAUAUUCACCAAACACUUCAAAAAUAUUUUACUAUUUAGAAGUGUUUUUUUUAAUCAAAAUCACCGCAACAAAAAAUGGGACCUAAAUCAUUUUUAUUUUAAGUGACCUAAUCCACCUCUAUAAUCUCGUUUUUAUUUAAGAUUUGAAAUUGGGCCUCUAAAACCAAUUCUUGUGUUUGGGCAUUGUAUGUGUUUGCAUGUAUGUAAUAUAAAAAAGGCUUAAGCAAUAUUACAAGGGAUAACUUAAGAUUGAGUAACAAAUUAUAUUUGUAAUCCAAAAACCUCCAAAUUGUCUCCAAUAAUCAAUUGGUCAAAUAUGUAGGGUUUUUUUAAAAUGUGGGUGUGAAAGUACAGUCAUAACCUCAUAUGCGUAAUGUUUUUCAUAAUUUUGAAAGUAAUGUUUUUUACCUCAUGUGGGUUUUUUUUUUUUGUAUUAGGUUGUUAUAUUUUUUCUAGAAAUAAUUUUCUUGUAACCAGGAAAUGAUGAUAUAACUGCAUAUGUAAAUAAUUAUUGAAUUUACAGAAACUAUUUUUACUACAUCAAUUUUUAGUUACUUAUGAUAAUUUAUGCCGUUUAAAUAUUUUUUACAACAAAAAAUAUAAUUUAUAUAUUUGGACACAAAAAAUUAUUAUUAAGAAAAAGAAAGAAAAACAAAAGUGAAAUGCUUUAUGUAAUUUCCAUUUUUCGUGAUUGAGAAUUAUUUAUGAAAAUGAAAUAUACAUACAUAUAUAUAUGUACAUGAUUAGUGUUAUUCAACAGUCCCACUUCACACAUUUGAUUAGAUGCCUAAGUGAUUAUCGUCAGGAUAAAAAUAACAAUUAAAACCACUAACACACCCAUAAAUAUCAUAUUAGUAUAAAAUAAACUCCAAUACAACUUAUGAAAUCUACCACGUGUGUAGCUAGAAGAUAUUAUUUGUAUAACACAGCUUAGACAAAAUUCGAUUGAUAGUGCAUCACAUAAAAUACAUAUAGUUAUAUUGUAAAAACUUAGUAACAAUUUUUUAUCAUAAUAAAGGAAAUUUUAACAUAUAUAUAUAUAUAUACAUAUUUCUCUGUUUGUUACUUCUUAGUGAUUUGUGUUUCAAAUAUCUAUUGAUAUUUUCUUAUGAAAUUUUUUUUACUAUAUGAUUUAUAAUAAGAAACUAAAAUAUUUAUUUAGUAAGAGCAAUUUCUAAUAUUUCAGUUAUUAAAUUUGCAUUUAUACCAUCAUUUUCUGCACGCUACAACAUUCUUGAAUCGAAAAUUAUUACAACACCAUUUCUAAAGGACAAAAUUAUCAAAAUAUUAUGUACCGAGGGCAAUAUCUUUUUAGACUUUUCUUAUAUAGAAAAGUCAACUCAUGUGUUUGAUCAUUUGUUCACAAGGGGCAAUUUGUGAAUUUCGAGAUUAGGGGUAAUUCGAUAUUCACCUCACAUUAGAAGGGUAAUUUGUAAUUAAGUCUACAAUAAACUCAUUUUGGGAGAGAGAAUAUAAUCUCAUCCCAAAAAUUUACCCUUUUUUAUUGUCUUACUCUUUAGUACAAAAAAAAAAACCAAAGUAAAGCAUGAAAGUUUAAUUUUGAUAUUUGAAAGUUUAUUUGAGAUUUUUUGCAAGUUGCAAAUUUUUAUAUUCUUUAUUAUAAGUGUGUUUUGAGCUAAAUUAAGAAGUAUUAUAAAUAGUUUACAGUUUUUUAAAUUUCCAAUUUUUGUCCAAGUUGACGGCUUGAAAACUUACAAAAAUGUACAAAAUCUUGAAAAUUAUAUAUAAACUUAUGUGUGUUGUUUCCAGAUUUCAUUAUUGUAAUAUAUUUCAAUUUAUUUUUGUGAGUAUUUAUAAUUUCAAAUAUUUGAAUAUUUCCUAUCCAAACCUAAGACAAAAGAACUAUCAAACAUCCAUUUGGCCACGUUAUCAACUUUAAAUUUCUGUUAAAUAACUAUAUCGACCAAUUUUACGAAAUUUUAAAAAUAAUAUUUGUGUGUUACAACAAUUAAGAGAUCAUAAGAAGGGGACAAAUUUGGAGUGAAACUAUUUUUUCUUCUUCAAAAUGAGUUUUUAAUGUUGUAUUUUGAAAUGGAUUGCAAACGUUACAGAAACUUAAUGUAUGGGCGACAAAUGAGAUUUUUCAAAAAUUGAAGUACCAAGUGAUAUUGUUAGAACCCUUAAAGAGGUAGAUGAAAUUAUCCCUUUUGCAUUGGGAUUAGACUUGUCACCGGUACAAAAGAGCAGCAGGGCAGAUGCAAUUCCUAGUGAUGCAGCAAUUACAUAAACCAAAAGCCAUGAUAUUUGAUAGUGAAGGUUCCAUAUUACUGCAAAUAGGAUGGGGCUACUGCAGUUGACAUAACUGCAAUUGGUUUGGACCAUCUCUCUUCAGAAAUCAUUCAACCUAGUGCUCAGUGCGUAUCCAAUGUGUGUGCAAUCAAAAAAUACAUAAUGUUUAUGGUCAUAUAUUUUAAAUAAAAUUUUUAUUAUUGGAGCAAACUUUAAUCUUUUAAAUAUUUUUCAUAAAAUAAUAAUAACCGUGCACUCAAAAAAUACAUAAUAUUUAUGGUCAUAUAUUUUAAAUAAAAUUUUAUUACUGGAGCAAACUUUAAUCUUUUAAAUAUUUUCAUAAAUAAUUUUAUAUGUAGUUAUAAUAAUUAGGGAUAGUUAUGUUUAAAAAGUAUGCUUAAAUAGUUAUAGAUAGUUAAAGUAAAAAUAGUUCUUAAAAGGGCAAAAAUGAAAAUUCAUAAAGUGACAAUAAAUAUUAACUUCAAACUCCUUCCUCAACCUUUAUAGAUUGUUAAUUUCCUACGCAAGUCGAGGCAAUUCUAGUAUGCACAUAUUUUUCUGAAUUAGCACCUUAUGUAUCUUUCGGCUUCAACCAAGUUGCGCAUUAUCCUCAGUUCUUCCAGGUGGGAGAAUCAUCAUCUGCAAAUUCCAACCAAGGCAGAUUCUACUUCUUUUUCCCCUUUUAUAAGAAUUUCCGAUGCAAAAAUGGAAUCAACAUAGAUAAAAUACAGAGCAAGGAAAAAAGAGCACCCACAAGUUGAUUUUCCAAUGAUUAUAAUCAGCAGAAGGCAACAGAGGCAUAAAAGCAAGAAAAAAACAUUCCUUGUGAAGCAGGAAGAACUAAUUUUUCUGCCUUGUUGACUUCCAACCACCGCACUGGAUAAAAAAAAAAAAAAAAGAGUGCACCUCCCAAAAUGCUAUUCAGCCAAUAUCAUUCGUAUUUCCAUCUCCAUGAAAGAAAUUAUGCUAGCAAAAUUGCCCGAUGCGCCAUCUCUAAGAGACAGUAAGAGUUACAGCAGCAAUAGUUAGGAAAGCUUCAAAUGUCUUGAUGAGCCCUCCAGUGAGGUUCAAAAGUAAGUGCUAGCAGUAUCACCAAGGAGAUAGAAAAGCAAUACUAGCCAAAUAGCAAGCAAAGUGUAACCAAGACCUAUGCUGAAUGUGCAGUAAAACAGCUCCAGAUAGGAAAUGUAGCCUUGUGGUUGACAUCCCUGGUGGAUUUCACGUAUAAGCCCUGUUCAAACUUGGUAUUGCACUCUUGAAACCUUCACAACCAUCAUCUUCAUUCAACAAGAAGAUUUGGCAGUUAUUUAAGAAAAGGUUCUUUUCCCUGAUGAAGUUGUUUAGGAAAUUUUGAUUUUGAAGAAUUGAGAUUGAUACUGAUGCAUAAGAUGAGAAGGGGUAGGAAAUUUGAGUUUGAAGACUUGAGAUUGAUACUGAUGCAUAAGAUGAGAAAGAGGAAGAUUACAUUCAGAGAGACAAUAAGACACCUGGCUUUGUGCAUGUAGAGGAAUAAUCCCUUGGUGAAGCAACUAUAGGUAGAGGAAAAUAGAAAGAAAGAGAGGGUUCUGCGUGGGAGAGAAAAUUAAUAAGGUUUGGUGUUGAAAGAAUUGAGAAUCCUAGCAAAUUCCCUGUUAUAGGGAACAUGAUUGAAUAAUUAGUAUCAUAACGGAGUCAAUCUGGAUUAGUGAUUAUACUAGGAUCACAUCUGAAAUUGACUCGGGUCAAAUAACUGUAAAAUGCUUCCCAUUUAUAACUAAGAAAAUGUCAUCUUUGGAGCUGGCAAUUCCAAUUACAAGUUUCCAAACAUCACAAAAAGGGGAAAAGGAAGAGAAGUAGAAACAAACAUCUUGCAAUCAGUUGCUCACAUGAAGUUUCAAUAUUCAAUUCAAUUUAAGAAGGUGAGUUAAUAGAAAAAGGCAUCCUGAACAAAAACCAUUGUUUGGCCUAAUCAGUUUUCAAGCUUCUGCACGAAUUAUAUUUCAAGAUCUUUAUAGUGUACCUGAUCAAUAUCAGCAUUCAGGUUGUAAGAAACUAUAGAUUAUGUAACUAAAAUUAAGACUAAAGGAAGAUGAGAUGUGCAGCCUAGUUGGUGCCGGGGAAAUUUUAACCAAGAAGCUAAAAAUCGAAGAAACAAACAAAAAAACAAAUCAAAGAUUGGAUUAAGUUUCACCGCUCCAGCUCAGUCCGCUUGGGUGCAGCAACGGCUAACUGUUUUAAAGGGUAAAAUGGUAAUUUCGACACAAUAAAAAGUUCCCAUCAACUAACCCAUUAGUAGUAACAACAUGAAUUAUAAGUUCUGUCUGCUGAAUUAUCAAAAAAAAAAAAAAAAAAAAAAAGUUCUGUCUGCUGAUUUGUCGUUUUCGUUCUUUUUCUACGUGGGUGGUAAUACGGCAAUACACGUCGUCGUUUGAGUGCUGACGUGUCCCCUCCUUCCCACCCUGGAGUCGGGUCGUUUCGUGAAUAACUAAAUCCGGUAUGAUCCCUCACGCAGCUUUCUUUCUUCAGCUUCCAUUUUCAGAAGAAACACUGAAAUUACUCAAAAACAAUAACGAAAUCCGUAAAAGCUAACCAAAAAAAUCGCAUUUUCAAAAUUUUCACGCUUGCGGGGGAGAAAAGUAAUCGAGAAUCCCUGUCAUUUUCCUCCAAUUUCGAUUACGUAUACGCAUACGCGUACGUAAAUGUACGUGCAUAUCUGUACAGAGACGAUCAUUCGGUAAUUGAAAGGUGUAUUUAUUAUAGUAUAAAUUAUUUUGGAGAAGUGAAAAAUGGCACUGUUGCGGAAAUUGUUUUAUCGGAAGCCGCCCGAUGGACUCCUGGAGAUCUCCGAGCGUGUUUACGGUUUGUUCUGCGAUAUCUAUCAUCGUAUAUUUUGUAAUUCUGGUGUUUUGAGCUGAAUAUUUGUUGCUUGGUUGUAUUGUAUGGAUUGUGUCAAAUUAACUGUACGAGUGUACGUUAAUUUUGAAAUUUUGGUGAUUUGAAGUUCAGUAACGUCGUUGAAAUGUGAACUAAUUUUGAUUGUAUUAAUAAAUACAUACCAUGUUAGGAUUUUUUUUCAAGGAUUAAUGUCGAAUUGGAAGGUAAUGCAUUGGUUGGAGUUGUUUUGAUUAGCAUUACAGCAAUGAAAGUUCAACUGAGAUAGUGGAAUGCAAUUUGAUUUCAUGUUUCUUGAGUAAAUGCAGUUUGCAUUUGUAAGGUUUUUUCUGUUAAAUUUCCAUAAAUGAGUUGUUGAUGACGUCGUCGUGGUCUCGAAGCACUGUGUAAGGAGUUAGUUUGCUGGUUAUAUGGGGAAAGAAGGACUAAUUCCUCUAGGUGUUAGUCAAAAUCAUAGUGGUCGAUGUUAGUCUUUAGGUGGUCUAGAGCCUGUUUCUGAUUAAUGAAAAUCUCUUGGAAACCUUGACAGUGUGUUGCUUUUUGCAAGGUUUUAAAAUGCUAAAGAUGUUGACAGUAGCGCCUCCCUUGCAGCUUCUCCAAAUCAGCUUUCUUAAGCUUCAAAUAACUUAUUCAUUGUCUGCAACUAAGUCAGGCCCUUAGAAUUGGUCCGACUGAGCAAGCGUUAUGCACGUGCAGCAAUGGCAACAGGUGUACAGAAUAAGAUUAGGUGCAUACCUGAAGGACGUUGAUGUCCAUUUCCAUAACUCUCUUGAAAUGUUUUCAAGAUGGUUUUGACAAUGGAAUUCCGAGAACAUGUGCAAAUAGAGACAUUUUAAUUACACGGAACAAAUUUUAACACUCCGAGGAGAGCUGCGUGUACUCAUUUAGUUUUUCUACACAAAGAAGGAAUCUAUAAGGUCUUCUCUUGUUUUGAAAUAAAUAAAUGUUUUUGCAGAAAGUUUCUAUAUGAAGGAAUCGAUGAAGAUGGAAAUUAAAAUAGUCACACGUUGUACUGAUCAUUAUCUGCUUUAUUUCUGUUUUGGUGGAUAUUUUCUUGAAAUAAAUUGUAAGUAGAAAAAACUUGAAUCACCUUCAAUCACUUUUUCCUUGUUUGCUUUUUCUCCUUUUCUCCAUUAGCAUCAAAUUCAUCUACCUGGAGUGUUAAAAUUGUCACAGCUUUUUUAAAUAUAAUUUUUAAGCAUUUCUUCAAAAGAUGCUUUUCAGGAAUUUUUAGGAAUAUAUUUGGCAAGCCAUGUCUGAAAUUAGAGAAUGCUGCUGGAAAUGUGAUCCAUUUUUCUUUUGCAAAGCUGUAGUACUGAUAGAACAUGUAUGUCAUGUCCUUUCAAGACAAGAUGGUAGCAGAAAAUAUUGAGGUGAUCUGUCCUGUUUGGGAGUGUUUUCAAUUGCUUCAUGGGUUACAUUUACCACAACCUUUUAGUGACCAAUCAGUAGCUUAGAAACAUUGAGGCUUUUUUAAGUGAUUCAGGUUGAAUGUCUUAUGGAAGAGUUGUUCCAGUCCUGAUACUUGGGACAAAAAUAUUUUCAGUUUGAGGGAGGUGUGGAAUUGUCAUUUUGCGUAUUUGUGACUUUAUUUUGAUUUUAGUUGGCCAUGAGCUUCGCCAAUUGAAUUCAUGGUGGAUUCUGUGUUGCAUCUUGCAAUGAAAAAUGCUAACAACUGAUUGUUAGGGACCUGUAGCCUUGAUGUCAAGAUGUUUAUCUGCAAGCUGUGAGGCUUUGAAGAAAAUGUUCUUUUGAAAUGGUAUCUAUCAGGAAUAAACUUUGUUCAGAAAAUUUGAGGUGCAUCUGUGCCAGUGGCAGAGGCAGGUCAGGAGGGACUGUCACCCCUCUAACUUCCGAGAGAUUUUAUCAUAAUUUAUACAAUUGUAUAGAAUUUUUUAUUUAGAUACUUAUUUUGCACAAGAAUUUUCUUAAAUUUUCUCUCUCCCUCUUCUGCAAUUAGAUUAGAUUUCUUUCUUCUCUUUAGAUGUAGUUUGAUCAAUGUUUAUAAUUCUUUGUUUGGUGCAUUGCCCGUAGAGGAUCUUUUCUUGUUUUUAUGAUACGCAGCAUUGUACCUGGUGCAAUUCUUGUACUUUUUUUCUCCUUUGGGCCUGUGGAAAAAAUGCUUCAUUUGAUUCCAUCAGUUUUCCUUUGCAACUGCUGUAUUGUAAGAUAACAUGUGUACAGCAUUUCUUUCUCCAAAUCACCCCUCCCUUUGGUGAGAUCCUGGUUCGAGAACCGAUGUUUACUGCUUCUUCUAACAAAGAACUUACAUGUAAAUCUGUAAAAUGUUAAAGAAAAAGAUGAUUACUUGGUUGUUUACAAGUGAUGAACUAUUUCCCUGGUACAAUUAGCUUUGUAAGAGUAUUCAUUGUGAUUGGUCUUCUCUUUGCUGUAAAACAAGAAAGUCCUAAUUUUAUUAUUGAUUAGGACCAACUAUUUCUAAUGUUGUCUCUGUAGUAUUUGAUUGCUGUUUUACAACUGAUGUUUGGGAUGAAGAAAACUACAAAGGCUAUGUAGGAGGCGUCAUUAGUCAACUCCGGGAUCAGUUUCCUGAUGCCUCAAUCUUGGUUUUCAAUUUUCGUGACGCUGAGUGGCAGAGCCGGAUUGCAAAUGCUUUGUCUGAAUAUGAUAUGACCAUAAUGGAUUAUCCUCGUCAGUAUGAGGGUUGCCCAUUACUCCCCAUGGAGGUGAUCCAUCAUUUUUGAGAUCUAGUGAAAGCUGGCUUUCACUUGGGCAAAAUCUGCUUGUAAUGCACUGUGAACGUGGUGGUUGGCCAGUUUUAGCUUUCAUGUUGGCAGCGUUGUUGAUAUAUAGGAAACAAUACAGUGGGGAGCAGAAAACACUGGACAUGGUUUAUAAGCAGGCUCCACGGGAACUGCUUCACUUGCUUGCACCGUUGAAUCCAAUUCCUUCUCAGUUAAGGUACUUGCAGUAUGUUUCAAGGAGGAAUCUAGUAUCACAGUGGCCGCCACUGGAUAGGGCACUUGCUUUGGAUUGUGUCAUUAUCAGAAUGAUACCUAAUUUUGAUGGAGAGGGUGGUUUUCGACCAAUAUUUCGUAUUUACGGUCAGGACCCCUCUCUUGUUGCUGAUCGCUCCAAAGAUUUUAUUCUCAACUCCAAAGAGGAGUAAAGCUGUUAGGCAUUACAAACAGGUAAAUUAUUAUGACUUAUGCCUUGGUUAUACAUUUUUCGAUGUGCAAAUCAUCGCUAUUCUUAGGGAAAUUGUAUGUUGUUCACUUUAUUGGCUCAGAUGUUCAUCAGUUUGGACAGAGUCCAGAGUGUGUCACCUUCGUUUGCAUAUUUUAUGGUGAUUCUGGCAUUCAUUCAUCAGUUUGAACUCAAGAGUCUAGUAGUGAAGGAUCAGUAUUACUGUUGCUCUUGCUGUCCUAAACAAAGAAGUGAGAUGUUUUAAGACUGAGAGUUGGCCGUUUUACUUCAAACACAUCCUUGUGCAAGACAGUGGUUCUUGGAUCACACAGUAUGUCUUCCAGUUUCAGGAGUGAUAACCAACAUUCUCUUUUAGCAUCAUGGUAGUAUUGGGGGAUUUUUUUUUCCUUCCGUUUUUUUUGGGGGGUUGGGGAGGGAUCACUAGACUGGUUUUAGUUUUUUGCUACUUGGACAAGACUUGCUGAAGGCCAUCAGGCCAUCACCUUCUCCAGUUUGGGUUGCAUUCCAAACUCUGCCUGUUGAAAAGUAUUUAAGUCCAGUUGAAACCAAGGAACCUAAGCACAAAUGUUUGACUUGGUGAAACCUAAUUUGUCGAAUUGUUGUAUUUGUUGGGCAGCCACUGGGGCUCUCAUCAACCAAAAUGGUACAAGUUAACAGAAGUUGAAUAAUAUAAGGAUGAGGCAGCUUCUUUGGUCUGUUAGAAUAGACUCUUAGAUGGGCAGAAUGCAACUUCUCAGCUAUUAGAACUAGAGAAGAUAUAAUCUUAAAUGACUUUUGAGACUACAUUUCUCAAUUGCUAUCCUGGACGGUGGCUAGGGUCUUGACAACCAAGUACUUUUUUUUUUUUUUCUUAUCCAUUUUAUUCAGAACUGGCAAUAUACAUGUAUUAUUGCUGAAGCCGUAACCUUUAUUGUACCACUAGAACUUGUCAGUUAAUUUUCUCGAUUUUCCUUUUUUAAAAAUCCAAAGAAGCAUCAAUAUGAAAUAUUGCUAUAGCAAAUAAUUUUGAAAGUAUCAUUGCCUGAAAUACAAGAACAACUUCCUGGAAUAAACAUAUAUCUUCUUAUAUUAUGAGGAGCUGUUUUGUCUUGGGUAAUUUCAAUCUCGAUUUUUGAUAGUUUAAACCUAUAAGUUGGAGGAAUGCCUUUUCUGACUCUUACUUCUGGGAAUUGGAUCUAGAUCCUGGGAAUGUGAGGAUGAAUAGCCAUUAAUAAUAACAUGAAAUGACCAAGCUUUGAGGACGCUAAGGACUUCCUAUGAACUAAGGGUUAACUCUUGAUGUUUUCUUAUUUCAUCUAUAAUGAGUUUAUGUUCACUAAAUUAGUUUACAAAAGCUCUGUAUUGAUUUUGGAUAGUAGAGACCUGAGAUUUACGCUACAACAUAUUUUCUACUUGAACAGGUUAUGUUGUUCCAAUUUUCUAUUUAUACUUUAUAUGUUGUAUUUUGUUGGACUAGGCUUUUGAUCAUAACAUAUGAACAUUAUUGCAUGUUUGUAGGCAGAAUGUGAGUUGGUUAAGAUUGAUAUAAACUGCUGUAUCCAAGGUGAUGUUGUCCUGGAGUGUAUUAGCUUGUACGAUGACAUGCAACGUGAAAAGAUGAUUUUCCGAGCUAUGUUUAACACUGCCUUUAUCAGAUCAAAUAUUUUAAUGCUUAAUCGCGAUGAAAUUGACAUAUUGUGGGAUGCCAAGGAUCUGUUUCCAAAAGAUUUCAGGGCAGAGGUAUGUUACUUUGCUUGUGAUUAAAUGUGGUUUUCUUCAGUAGGAGGCAUCAUCACAUUAAUGACCUUGUAAUGAAGGUCCUUUUCUCGGAGAUGGAUGCAGCAACUUCCGUAGUUCCAGGGAAUAUGUCCUGUUUUGAAGAGAAAGACGGCCUUCCAGUGGAGGCAUUUGCAAAAGUUAAUGAGAUCUUUAGCAGUGUGGAUUGGCUGAUUCCAAAGGCAGAGGCUGCACUCAGUGUGAUUCACCAAGUGGCUGCAUCAAAUGUUGUCCAAGAAAAGUUGGCUGCUGAUGCUCUCCAUACUAUGGGAAGCGGCACAUCCCCAAAAGAAAUGGCAGCUGAAAAGCUUCAGGAGAAAGAAAACUCUGCAGCUUUAGAGGAAAUUGUUAAGAUUUCCACGUACUUGAUGUCCAAGGAGCAGUCUGGCUCCUCUACCGGUUCUCUCUUGGAUGUAGAUGUGAAUAAACACACAGUAGGAUCGCAAUCUGUACAGAGUGGUAUAGUGACUGCAAAAUUGCCACAUCCGGUUGCUCCGUCUGAAUCUUGUAUGAUCACUGCUGAAAAGUCUAGUCUUACAUAUUCACAUGCAGACGUUAUGCCUACAGCUUCACCUCUCUUGCCAGCUUAUCAGCAAAAACAUACUUCAGAAACCACACCUGCAGAAGUAUCAUCCCAAAAUGAACCUUGCAUAUCUCCACAGGAAAUUGGUGAGAAAAAAAUAGUCCCAAUUUUCUCUGCAACUGAGCCUGAACCUCAUACAAUUACUCCUUCAACUAAACCUGUUCCUUCACCUCAACCUCUAAAGGAUGCAAUUAUUGAUUCUCCAUCCCCUCCUCCAUUGCCCCCACACCCUACCACACCUCCUUUGAUGGAUAAAAUAACCAGACCUCCUCCACCUCCACCACUUCCCAUUGUUUCAUCUAUAUCAGCAGAAGUAGCUAGUAGUAGGGCUCCCCCACCACCACCCCCACCGCCAACUACUUCUUUGAAUGAAAAUGCAACUAGCAGUACUGGAACAUGCCAAGUAGCUUCUCUAUCCCAUCAGGUUUCAACUGAUUCUUCUUUUGUUACUUCACCCAGAAGAACUGGACCACCACCUCCCCCACCAACCCCUCUACUCCCACUGCCUUUUACUGCAUCAACCAUAGCAGAAAAAGCAACUAAUAGCAGGGCUUCUUCACCACCACCUCCUCCACCAUCACCACCUAUAAAUGCUACAUUGAUUGUACAUGCAACUAGUGCUACCAAAGCAGCGCCACUACUUCCUCCACUGCCUCAGCUUUCGACUGCUUCUUUUCCAGAGACUUUGCCUAGAAGAACUGGGCCACCCUCACCACCUUCUGCACCUGAUACUGCUGCUUCUUUAACAGAAAGUGGGGUUGGUAGAACUGGGCCACCUCCCCCUCCUCCUCCUCCAGCAACACCCUCAUCUUCUAGAGAUGGAAUGCCUCAAGUUCCAUCCCUCCAACUCCACCUCCUCCUCCAGCCCCUCCCUUGAAGGAGAUUUCAACUCCUAUAGGUGGCCCACCUCCACCACCACCUCCUCCAGCAAUGCCCUCAUCUUCUAGAGAUGGAAUGCCUCAAGUUCCAUCCCCUCCAACUCCACCUCCUCCUCCUCCAGUCCCUCCCUUGAAGGAGAUUUCAACUCCUAUAGGUGGCCCACCUCCACCACCACCUCCUCCUUUAGUCUCUGGCCUUCUGCAGGACAUACAAAUUUAUCAGUGAGGCCCCCACCACCCCCUCCUCCGACGAUGGCUGCCUCAGCCAAGGAUAGCUCCUCUUUGAUUCCAUCAGCGCCUCCUCCUCCGCUCCCUUCUAAUGGGAAUCUUAAAGGAGGUUUUGGGCCAACUCAUUCUGUUUCAACGGCUACUGGUAGCAGUGGUAGUUUGUCACCAUCUCCUCCUCCUCCUUCUGCUCCUCUGCCUGGUAAAGGAAGAAACUUAUUAUCACGUACCAUACCAUCAAAAAGCAAUCAGACCAAAAAAUUGAAGCCUCUGCAUUGGCUGAAAUUAACAAGAGCUGUGCAAGGUAGCUUGUGGGCUGAGUCACAGAAAUCUGGUGACACUGCCAAGUAUGUUGCAGUUUGCACAAAUGACAUGGGAAGUGAUUCGUUGAUUUUGUAUUUCUGGGCCUUCAAUUUUGUAAUCUUUUGUGUGUGUUGAUUAGGGCUCCAGCGAUUGAUAUUUCCGAACUUGAAUCACUCUUCUCAGCUGCAGUUCCAAGCUCAGACCAAGGGGCAGGAAAGCAAAUUCGCGGGCAUCACUGGGGCAAAAACCAGAGAAAGUGCAACUGGUAUUUAUCUUCUCUUUGAGGUUAAGUGUGUUUUCUCAUAAUUUUUUACCGCUUGUCUCAGGCUAUUGCCAUACAUUACUGUGUUGUGGUCAUGUCUAGGAAUUCAGAUAAGCUCUGGUGUAAUGUGCACUUUUAAAAAUGGUAUAAAUUUAAUGUGUUUUGAUUGCCCAUGACAUACUGGAUACAUUCCUAAAUUUUCAAAGGUAACUCAUUUACAGAACAGCUCCAACAUACACUCAAGGGCAAUCGGCUGUGGACAUGUUUCCAUCAAUUUGUUAAAUCGUAAAGCUUGAGUAAUUGGAACUUUUGGCUUUUUAAUCUUAAAGAUACUUCCAUUGCUGGCAGUGCAUUGUGUCCAUAUACCUAUUCAAUUGUGGCAUUUAAUAUUGUAGUCGUCCAGGAGAUGGCAGAAAGUAAUACCUUUCUGCGGUCCUUAAGGUAGGCUGGAAGAAUCAGUAAAAAGCACUGCUGACAUAACACGCUUCUGUGGAGAAAAGAUACUAAGUUAUUGAAUUCUUGGCACUUGGUAAUAUAAAAGGAGUUUAUGAAUUUCUAAUUUUGCAGAUUGAUCAUAGGCGUGCAUAUAAUUGUGAGAUCAUGCUGUCAAAGAUAAAGAUACCAUUGCCCGACUUAUUGGUAAGUUUCCUGUGGUAUUGUUACUUCUCAGAAUGGUUCUGUCUAAGAUUUUCACUUACUCUGGAACUUUAUGAUAUUUUUACCCUUAAGAGGAUUUACUUUUACACCAAUAUUUUGGAUUUUAUAUAGCUUUAGGUCCAUGAUAGUUCUUUUUUUUUUUUUUUUUGGUGUUCAGUGAUAAAUAAUAAAAAAUUGAUUGAUGCGAAGAUAUCUGAUAGCCUAGCUAUUGUAGUUUCUGCAUUGUUAUCUUAUAUAGCUUCCCUUGUGAAAACAUUCGUUACCAAUAGUCUUGCUGUCUAGUUUGCUACAUCUUGCAUUUUUGCAGGAAAGCAUGGCCAAUGGGUUUGAACUAUAUGCUGGCCUUUAUUUUUGCAUUACUAAGAAAGUAAAUUUUUUUUAUACAUAAAUGGCAUCUUUUAUUGAUAGGCAAAGAAUGUACACAAGCAUUCUAACAAAGUCAAAUUUAUUAGACCCAUUUUAUCGAAUGAAGUUUAUGAUAUUGUUAGGACUUAUUCUCAAGAAUUUGUGACUUGGUAAAAUGGUGUUGAUACAAAUAUUUGGUUUUACUCAAGUGAUGAUAUUACAUCUUUAAGUCUUCAUUCCUGAGGGAUUCUCAAGAUUUAGUGAGUUGUCUUACUUAUUUGUAUCUGUACCUUGCUUACAACCGCUUCUCUACCUAAGUGCUAGCAAGACACUUCAAGCAUGCUGUGUCCAUCUUGGGUAGUCUUACAUCUGCCUUUUCUGUUUAAACAUAUUCACAUAAGAACUAGUUUAGGCCUUAAAAGUCUUAUAACAAAUUAUCGUCCUCCUCUCUGUUUUAUUUUCUUCCUUUGCCUUUACUACCAGACCUCUCCUCUCUCAGAUUCAGUUGCACUCUUUUCCAAAAUUGUUUUGUUAAUUAUGUUUCUGAAAAUUAUAUCAUAAAAUAUUGAAUUACCUACAGAGUUCAGUGCUUGCCUUGGAAGAUUCAGCACUGGAUGACGAUCAGGUUGAAAACCUGAUAAAAUUUUGCCCAACAAAAGAGGAAAUGGAACUGCUAAAGGUAAUACUCAUGUUAGCUUAUUAUGAUAUCUGUUUUCUCUGGGAGUUUACAGAGUGUGGGAGCUGUACCCAGGUGAAAAUGACUAGUACAGAUUAAGUCAUCUUUCUACUCUUCCUUGUCUAACAUGUAAGUAUUUUUCCAUUUAAUUUUUUUCAGGGUUAUAAAGGAGAGAAAGAUAAGUUAGGAAAAUGUGAACAGGUUUCUUUAAUUUUGGUUAUCCACUUUAAAUUAUUUUCUUUCUAUCAAGACGGAAUAAAUUUGCCGUUCUGUUUGGCCAGCUCAACUGAGUUAAAAAUGGUAUUAUUUGCGUUCUUUUCAGUUCUUCUUGGAGUUGAUGCAAGUACCACGAAUAGAAUCUAAGCUCAGAGUUUUCUCUUUUAAGAUUCAGUUCCACUCCCAGGUUUGGAAACAAUACAUAUGUUGAUUUGGCCUUUACAAUUAAUGGGCUUGUGUCUUAUAACUUUAUGCUUUGUCUUGUCAUUUACAGGUUUCUGAGCUACAGAAGAAUCUAAAUAUUGUAAAUUCAGCAGCUGAUCAGGCAAUAUUUUGCACAUGCUGAUUAUGUCUCUUUAUUCAGUUGUUCAGUUGCAAUCAAUAUCUUAUUCAUAUAUCUUAAACUAUAUUCAUCAGAUCAGGAGUUCAGUCAAAUUGAAGAGAAUCAUGCAAACAAUUCUUUCAUUGGGAAAUGCAUUGAACCAGGGAACUGCAAGGGGUAUGUACUUCAUAGUUGGUCAGAGAAGGAUUUCAUUUAUCUUUUCCAGUGGCGGAUUCACACUAGGGGCACAUGCCCCCACUGCCUCCUUGAAAAUUGUAUAACUAUAGUAUUCAUGAUAUUUGAUUUUUGCCACCACUAGGUUAUUGUUAAGUGAAAAUUAACAUAUAAUAGUUUGGUAACUUAAUGGAAAUGGUAGGUAGAAAUCCAAGAACCUCUUGCUUCAAUUAUCUAGUUUCCUUGUAACUUCUUGUACUUUGUUAAUUAUAAGAUAAAAAAGUUGUAUGGACUUUCAAUAAAACAAAAAUCUUAAUUUGCCUAGAAGUAGUUGAGUUAUUUGUUUUGCCUCCUGAUCUCCUUUUAACCCAUAAAAAGCAAGUGUUAUUUAUUUUCUUUCCAACUCUUCUCCUUUGAUCACCUCCUUUGUCCCGCCUUCAUCCCAACAAACACAAAACGUUGAAAACUUAUCUCAAGCAAUUGUAAUAGGUUAUAUGUAAUUUAUGAAGGAAAACAAUUAUUCUAUUAGUGAAUUCCAAUGUGUCAUUUUAUGUUAUAUUACUCAUACAAUUUUUGUAACUUUUCUUUUGGAGAUAGUUGUAUUAUUUUUACUUAUUAUGUGAAUAUUUUUGUCAUUCUUAUUUUUAGGGAAAAAGAACAAUAAACAUCUUCUAUGUUGUCUUUGUCCCACUGAAACUUAUGCUUGGCUCCACCACUUCUUCUUUAUCAUGAAAUCUAAGUACAUAUAAAUAGAGGAUCGAGGAUUUCUGCCAGUGCAAGAUAUUGACCUCCAAUCAAUUGUUGUAUAUUUGUAUUUUCGCAUAAGUGAUUAUGUCUUAGGUUACAACCUCUACCCUUUACUUGUAUGUAGUUUUCAUGUUUUCUUUUGGUAGCUUUCCUUUUUUUUGACGUUGUAGUGCCUCUUAAGGAAAAGUAUUUUGUGCAAAGAUCAACCAAAAUUAUCAUAAUUUCUGCUGUUGGCUAUGCUUUCAAGAAAUUCGUGAUGUAAUUGAUUGAAUGCCUCUCAAGUCCAGCCACACAGGUCUUCUCAGGGCAUUCUUUAAAUUUUUGGCUCAUGUUCAUUAGAUCACAUAAUCUUUUUUUGCCUCUAAGACCUGUAAUCACCUGAUAUGUGGAUUUGAAUUUUAAUUCAAUUGUACAUUUUACUAAGCACUUGUUGUAUGAGUUUGUUCUUGUACAGUUAUUUUUAUAAACAGCAGAUGCAGCUCAAUUUCACAGCUGAAAGUGCUUCGAAGGCCAAGGAAAAUAUUUGUAGUUUAAAAUAUUGCUUAUGGUAACUAAUUGAAUUUUAAUCGUAAGAAAGCUGUACAUGGAUUCUUGAAUAUUUCAAUAUUUAAUUUCCACUGUCUUCUUUUAUUGGCUCCUUAUAUUCUCAUUUUCAUCUCAUGAAACAUUGCUUAUGAGUUUUGGAUGUUAAUGCUUUUUUCUUUCUGGCAUCAUGAGUUUGCUGUCUGAUUACCUUGAUGCUUUUGUGAUAGGCUCUGCAGUCGGGUUCAGAUUAGACAGCCUUCUUAAACUUACCGAUACACGCGCUCGAAAUAACAAGAUGACACUAAUGCAUUACCUUUGCAAGGUGCAGAUCACGAUUUCAUGACUAGUCUCUAAUGCUUAUGGUAUUGGUAUAUGUAUAUGCAUGUUGUGCUUUUUGAGCACUUCUGCUGUGCAUUUGUGUUGCCAAUACGUGAAUGUAUUGUAUUAAUUUGAAUGGUGCCUACGGUGAAGAUCUCGUGUAUCCGUUUAAAAUGUUUAUUUCAAGAAAUUUGAGAUUUCAUCAUUGUUUCGUUGCUGGAGAUAAUGACUCAUGCUUUAUUGCUGUUUAUGCAAAUGCUUACCUCUUUGAUGGAGAAACUCAAAAAGUUACAUUCUUUGCCCUCUUGUUGGUGUGGUUUUUCCUCAUCACUACCUUGCAGUCCAACCUUUUGCAAUUUCCACAAAGGACAGUCUGUUGCCAUUGGAGUUUGUGCAAUCCCUGUUGAUUAGUUGUAUUCUUUAUGUUUCUGUGACCACCUGCUUGUCUCUAACGUUGUGCUAUUAGACCAAUGUUGUCUAGAGUAUCUGAGACAGCCCUUGCUUGAGCCAGUGGUUGUCCAUAUGAUAAUACAUAUUUUCUAAAUAUUUGACUGCUAUUCUCCACUGUAAUUAUUUUUUAAUUAAAUUUUCACAUGCUAAGCAUCACGAGUUUAUCCUGUUUACUGUGAUGUAUUGAUAUCAAUUAACCUUCAAACUGCUUUCUGUAAUACCUGCAUACAAACACUGCAGCCAUUGUGCAAUGUAGUAGCUAAUCUUAGGAAAUCACAGGUCCAUGCUGCAGCAAUGUUAUGACCGUAAAGCCAAGCCUAACCUUUGGUUUGUCAAGUAAACACAAUUGUUAUUUUAUUUGUCAAACUUAUUCAUCAUUUGACGAUGACUUUUUGUUUUUCCUUCUGAACUUCGUCUGUGUCUGUUACUACAAAUUACUAGUUGUUUGCUUUAAAGUUACUGAUGCUGUUGACUUUUGAGCUCUGACCAAUAAAAUUUUCAUUGACAUUUUUCUUGUUCAUUGUUUGAUUACAAUUUUUUGUUAAAUAUUUCAUUAGGUGCUUGCUGAUAAACUGCCAGAACUUCUGGAUUUUUCCAAAGAUCUAUCUAGCUUGGAACCUGCUUCAAAGGUAUACAUUUAUUGUAGUAAUAAUAAUUACCCAACCAGCAUAGGUGGUGUCUGCUGAUUGGACUUUUCAGUUUCAUUUAGAAUCUGUUAUUGAGUUAUAUAUGGUAUCCAGGUCCAAUUGAAAAUUUUGGCAGAGGAGAUGCAAGCUAUUAGCAAAGGACUUGAAAAGGUCAUACAGGAGUUGUCCAUGUCUGAAAAUGAUGGGACUGUGUCUGAAAAUUUUUGCAAGGUAUCAUUUGAGCUCCUAUUUACAUACAAAUUCUCAACAUUCUUUUCGGAUCACAAAAAUUUGCUUCAACUGCCCACUGCUUUAUCACACGUCUUUGAAGUCCUGGAAAUAGCUUAAUGUUGUGUACACUGUUGAGCAUAUCCAACUACAACUGGCAAACUUGUUAGGCCAGUUCUUCUCUCCUGUGCUACUGUUGAGUCACAGUAAGCAUCAAAAGCUUUGCUGUUAUUGGUGACUGCAAAAUAAUUUAAGUUGAUUUUGCAUAUGCAAGGAAUAGACAAAUCUUAGAUAAGAAAUAGGAAUGUUUGUAUCUGAUAAUUAAGCAUCUCUAAGGUGGAAGGCUGGACUCAAUUUAGCAUUUAAACGGAAGAGGUCUAUUGACAUCUCCUCUUUUAUUGGUGCCAUGGAAAAGAAUAAAACAUGUCAAUUUAAAUUAAUUGUGCACUCCAUUACGUCACCUCUGCUGAGUUUUGAUGUUGUGAGAGUUGAUCCCAAUAUUCUUGACCAUUUCCUUGAAAAUGUUUUGUCUUCAGUCAGUGUUGCGCAGACAAUCAGCUGUCUUCUAGGAUGGAAAUUGUGGUUUAUCACGAUUUCACCUGUUGAGACAUUCACUAGAUAACAUAUGCUAGCACAUAUACAACUGGUAUACGUUAGCCUUCUAAGUCUUGAAGUUUACCUCCGAGUCUAGUAUUGUGACUUUCCAGUUGGUAUUUGUUCAAGUGGAUCAUUUGAGUUGUACUCAUCCAUUUAUUGCAUGUUUAAACUGAUCUGAGAGCUUGUGCCAUCCCUUCCUUUUGUUUUGACUUGGCAUUGACAUUAAUCUUUUUCAUUCCUUUUCCUGGCUAUGGAAUAAUUAAUGAUACUCUGGCAAAAUGAAAUAGUUUAUUCAACAAGAGGUUUCUAAUUUGUAACUUAGUUUCUUUAAUUUGGAAAUCUUUAAGGAUGUUCUCAAUGAUUAUGUAGGCCUUCACAAAUAAGAUUGGAGACUGUUUGUUUUGGAGUUAUGGAUUAGUAUUUAUCUAAUUCAAUGUCUAAGAAGGAGAGAGUGCAUGGACUUCAUUUAGCUUAACAGCAGAAGAAAACAGCCCAAUGUUUGAGGACCAAAAGAAGCAUAGAACUAAAGUUUCUUGAAUGUACUGUGGAUUAUAAAGAAAGAAUAGGAAAAGGUGCUGAUGAGGAGUGGGGGAACUUUCCAUAAUAAUAAGAAUUUAUCCUGGAAAGUGGGUAGGCUAAUGACCUGGAUGAAGAGAGGAUUAUUUUCCAUAAUAAAGAUAAGAAUAGUAUCCUGGAGUACGGGAAGGCAAAUGACCUGGAUGGAUUUUUUAAACCUUGGCUUCAUCCUGGAAACCUUGUCUUAUCUGGUUACAGAAAACAAAAAAUCAAACAUGUAUUAAAUGUGAUUUGAGCCUUUGGAUUGCUGGCAGAUUCAGGUUGUAUAUUCCCCACUUAGUAGUUUUCUUGGGCUGAGUGUGGAGGUUGUGGGUAGGGGUUUAGUGUCGCAGUUAAUAACUCCUAUUUUGUCUAACAAUAUAGCUGGGUGUUGUCAGGGGUUUCCUACAUAAUUGCAUGAAAAAAUUUCAAAUAAUGAUGGAAUUAAGCUUUGGGAAUGGAUGAAGGAGGUGAAAAGUGAUUGUGUUUCUUUCCUUGGGUUAUAUAGGCUAACUGGGCAAUUACUGGAGACGAGAUGCUGCCUCAGCUUUUGGGAUAUGGGGACUUCGAUAGUUUAUAAACGAGAAGCAGUUAGGACUUACCUUAAUUGAUGAACUCUUUUCCUUGGCGGGUUGGGCUGUUGAUUUACCUGAAUGUGAAAUACUGUCCAUCGUCAAGUUUGGUACUUCAUAAAUACCUUGGACUAGCCUUGCUUGUAAACUACAGGGAUCCACAAUUGAGAGGUCAGAGAAAAACCUAGCAUGUCCGAAAAGGAUUGUUUAGUGAAAGGUGGCAAAGCUACUAGGGUAAGAAUUCCAUAAAGCAAAGUGAAGCAUUUCCUAUGCAUCCCACAGUGUUGCAAAGUAUUUUGAAUCCCAAUAAAAGCACCUAUUGGAGUGGGAGUGCGAGGUACUAGAGAUCCUCUGACUUUUCAUUGUCAAGUGGUGGAUGCUGAGACUCCGUAUGAAGAAAUGCCUCUUUGAAGGAUUGUAAUGGAGGUAACUACUAGAACAACUACUAAUGUGGAGGUUUGCAUUUAUUUCAAAUAGCGUUAGCAAUUGCCUAUUUGGACAGGUUACGAGAUGAGGGGGAAAAUGUAAUUUGUUUGAGAGAAGGCACUGGGGUGAAACUCUGUAUUGAGAGUUGUGUGGCAGGAGAAAUUCGGAUGAGUUUUUCCAACCUCUUUCUAAUUGCUCUUACAGAAGCUAGUAUUGCUAUAAUAAUCAUCAGGAAGGAGGUGGGGGUGGGGGGAGGGGGAAUAUUUGAGAUCCACAUUUUAGGCAUGUUUAUACUAUUGGGAAGUAGAAUCUGACCAGGAUCAUUAUUGUAGACCUGUAUGUUUAUCUGGUUGGAAGAGGAUGUGAUAAAUGCAGACCAACCAAAAGCCCAGGAUUUUAACACUAAAAUCUUUGCAUGAGAGGUUAGCAGCAAUAGGGCUGAAAGCUUUCCUUUAAAAACUGACUUUGGGGUAGCAAGGGCCUUCUUUUCUCUUAUCAUGGAAUGGUGGUUUGUAUAUCAAUCCUCCAGUUUCCCUUGCUUCCUCAUUCCAUCCCUUCCCUUUGACAGAAAUACUCAAAAACAAAUUGUGAAACAAAAAAGGACCAAGGCACCAAAGAAAGUUCCUUUUAUCACUUGGUCUGCAACAUAAAAUGCUAUCCAAAGUGCACAAAUCUUUAAAAAAAAAAAAAAGAACUAGUUCCAUUUAUUGGUGUCUCGUGUGGUAGAAAAAUGGGAAGACUCUAAUCUGCUUUUGCAUUGCUUAAUAGUCAUCAUUGGAAAAAUAUAUGGACAACCUGGAGGUUAGAAGGAAGAGCUUAGGAGACAUUCAGGGGUGGCAAGUGGCAGAUUAGCACUUUGGAACCAUAUUUAUUGAGCAUAUGGAACUUUUGGAGACGAGAAAAAUCUCUUUAGGCAAAUCAAGAUUACCGUGGUACUUCACUUAUUUUUUUGGUAGGUGGCCAUUACAGCUUGUAUUGAUACCUUGGAAGGAUUGUUAGACGGCACUUUAUCUGUUGCACAUUAUUUUUAGGUUAUGUUUGCCCCUUUGUCUUCCAUUCUGAUAUCUGUUUUCAUUUUGUUUUUCUUUUCAUAUCUUUGUCUGCUCAUUUCAUUACUUGUAUGGGCUUCCACUAUCAGGCCUUGAAAGAGUUCCUCUCUUUUGCUGAAGGAGAAGUGAGAUCCUUGGCUUCACUCUAUUCUGGGGUGGUAUGUCUCGUCUAGCAUCCUAAAUUUUGCUGCAGUAAUCUUUUCUAAGGUGGGCAUGAUGUUAACUUGUUCUUGUGCCUCUUUCUAUUACUUGAAUCUUUGCAGGGCAGAAAUGUUGAUGCGUUGAUUCUGUACUUUGGAGAAGAUCCAUCUCGUUGCCCAUUUGAACAAGGUGUUUGAGAUUACUUUACUAUGUAUUACUAGUUUGGUUUUAGGUCUGGAAGAUGUGGUGACUUCAGCUCUCAUAAUUUCUACAGUGUGGUUGCAUCUUUAGGAUGGCUUCCGUGGAUUUCAGGCAAAGUGUUUGGGAAUGCUUUUUAUCUUUAAGUUUGGUAAUCGGACUUAGGGGUUUUAUUACCAUACAGAUUAGAGAAACUUUCAAAGAAAAGAAACCACUGGAACCAGAGAAAGUGGAUUUAAGUUGAUGAAGUUUUGAAAUUUUAAGGUAGAAUGAGUAGAAACAUCAGUCAAUCCCCACUAAUUAGUCUUAAAAACAUCUCUGGCAGUUCUUAUUCUGCUGCUUUCCUUCUUUUCACAAUGUUACAUAUUACAUGGGCUUAAUAAUACUCUGAAUUUUGCAGUUAUUUCAACCAUUCUCAACUUUAUGAGAAUGUUCAAUCGAGCCCAUGAGGAAAAUUGCAAGCAGCUUGAGUUUGAGCGAAAGAAAGCAGAAAAGGAAGCUGCAGCUGAAAAACUUCAGUUAGAUGGUCGAGGAAAAGGAGCUGAGCACAUGAUACAUUCUCCAAUUAAGAGUUAGGUAAUCAUACAUUGGACCUUCCACUUCCACUUCCAUUCCACGUUAAGACUAUACAAUCUAGCCUAUGAUGCUUUAACGCUACAAGCUGUACCAGUCCAUUAGGCUGCUUAAGUCUCAACAUCGAAUCGUGGUGGUUAGUAGGGAAGCAAUGUGCAUUAUACCAGUCCUAGGUUUGUAGAUAGCAUGUUCUGACAGCGUUUAGAAUUUGAUAAGAGUAGGCGUGAAUCCUUAUCUUCCUAAUGGCGACUUCAGUUUCUCUGACUCCAGUGUAUUAUAUAUGAAUCCUUUUCAGCAGAAUCUGGAAAUUUACGACCUGUUUGUAGUAGGUGGGUCGUGAAUAAGUGUUUCUAGCAAAAUAAACAGAAGCCAAGAAAGAUUUCGGUAAAAAAAAAAAAAGUGGUCUGCAUUUCCUUUGUAUUAAUUAGUUAUUUCUGGUAAAUCUUUAGAUUGUUUCAGCUAAAUUAUUUGCCAAUUAUGUAUAUAUGUAGCAACUUUUAGCAGCCGUCAAGAAGAGCAACAUGUUUCCAGGUGAUUUUUUAUUCAACUGCGUGUGUUUGUUUCAGGUUCAUUUCUCUUUCGAAGUAAGGAACAUUACGUCUUCUCAUCUCUUCUUCCCUCCAUGAAUCACAAAUUAUACCAAAAACUGUCCCACACCUCCACGAUAAGAUAAGCUCUUCCUUAAAGUGAACGCAGAAUUAGCUGUGAAUUAAAGAAAGAACAAAUAAUUUAGCUCUGAAAUCUAUUAAAGUCAAUGACCCAAGAACAACAAUUACAACCAAUAGAGCAACAGCCAAACUACCCAACAAACAUCAACCCCCAAUGAGCCAAAUCAAGGCAAGAUUUUCCUUUGUUAUACCAAUGCAAACUUGAGGGAAGGGCAGAGGGAGGUUCAAAUCGCUCCCACUACUCUACUGCAGAAGGCUUCAGAAGUACUGGUGUACUGCUAGUGGUGGAUUCAAAAUCUACCUCGCUUUUGGGCUUCACCAUAAGGACAAGUCUAUGUCUAUCUCAAUUCCUAGGCUGGAAAUUCUGAUAAACCUUGCACCCGUUCCACCGUAGCAUAUUUUUGAGUCCUUGAUCUUUGUUACCGUAAUCACAAUUAUUAUUGAUGUUUUAGCUAGAGCAACGGCAUCCCCACACACCCCUUAUUUGAUAUCAAUUCACCCUCAUCACUUUAAUUUUAAUCACAUUCUCGGCCAAGCUAAUCAGCCUAAUUUUUGUUUGUAUGUAUCCGGAGCUAAGUAGAACCGUAUAAUAAUAUCAUCAUUUCUUUUUACUAAAUAGUUCAAUUUGAUUGUGAUCCAUUACUCGGAUCUUCUGUGAAUGAGCUUGCUUGCUUUCUAGGUUGGCUAAUUCAUUUUCUUCCCCUAAAGCUAAAAGGAUUGCAGAUUUCUUUUUCUUUAUUGAUUUUUUUAUAGGAUUAGGUCAAUGUAAUGUGGUAUUAGCACAGAAAACACGGUACUGCCUCAAGAUCCAAAAACCAUCCUAUGCUGUGCAGUCGUCCAUGAACGGCGUAAUAUGUCUUGUCGCAAAUCACGUGCCGUUAACGGUAUGCUUGUGGGGUCUUUUGGUUCACAGAAAUUGAGAAAUGAUUCCUCUUCAGUCCUUUGUCCAGCAACAAAAGCUACUCCGCUGAGUUAACGGGCACAAACUGCAAUCCCAAUAGGUUUAAAAUUUCCAAGUGAGCAAGUCCAAGAAUUUCUCCUAUUCUAAUUUGUAUAUUCAUCAAAAUUCAAGGGGUCAUUAUUGCUAGUACCAUGCUUUGAAUAUAGGGAUAAUUUCACAAACCUCCCCUAAGGUUUAUAAAAAUUUCAGGUAGUACUCUCCAAGUUUAAAAAAUUACACAUAUCCCCUCAUUGUCUAAAAUGACAAAAAUAACCUUCAUCCAAUGUUGAAUUUAAAGUCUCCAUGAAGAGAACUAAUGUAUUGUAAAUUAAAUUUAGUAAAUCAUUUGAAAAAAGUAAAAAAUGAAAAAAGAAGAACAAGAGUGAUAAACUUCUAUCUCGUCAUAGACACCCACAAAACCUAAACCCAAUUUUACUCCAUAUAGUAGUGAUUUUAGAGUAAAUAAAAACGUUAGUUUCCUCCACAUAUAGAUUAUUAUUGAAUUAGUUUUGUUGGGCAAGUAAGUAUUAACAUUUUUUUUGUGGACAGGAACAAAUUUACUAAAGAACUUUAUAAAAAUAUGUGAGUAAUGUUUUGAAUUUAACGUUACUGAGGAAUUUUGUUUUUCUGAAGGAUAAUCAUCUAAGGGCGUUUUAGGAUUUUUAAUGGGGAUUUUUUGCUUACAUCAGCAAAGUGAGCUUCAAAGUAUUUUCUAAGGGAGUUUUUUGUAAUUAUUUAAACCUAAGGGGUGCUAUUUGCAAUUAUCAUAAAUCUCAAGGGAGGUUUGUGAAAUUAUCCCUUGAAUACAAUGGUCAAAAUGCCUUUUAUGUGUGUGUAUAUAUAUAUCUCUUUGGCUGUUAAGAAUAACUCAAUUCUUCAUUGACCCCAAAAUGAAACCGAAGGUCUUGGAUGGGUUAUCCCUAGCCGAAUCUCUUAACAAAUUUUUCUACAUUAUUCCCCCAUCGUGUUCUCUUGUAUUGUACAAAUAUUUUGUCUAUCUAGUGGUGACGUUUUCCAUUUUGCAUGCAGGCAAUUGCAGUGGAGAAAACUUGUGUCGGUCGCAGUAGUGUUGACAGACGACAUAAAAGAAUUGAGUAAAGGCUUCAAAGGAGGCAAAUUUUUGUCGGAAUCCAAUGUCUUAGCCAUGAUUUGACAUCACAUAUUCACCGACACGAGAAAGUUCCAGUGAAUUACCACAUUUGUCAUCAAUCUGAUGCAUUAAAAGAAUUAAAAUAUGACAUACAUACAGAUUAUUAGUAUAUACAGUACACCUGUCUAGAAAAAAUUAAUCCGUAUAAAUAACUUUUUGCAUGCAUUAUUUGUCAAUACUAGUUGUAUUUAUUCUACUCAUAUAAAUUACGUAUAAUACUAAAUCAUCCCAGGUGUUCAAUUAAGUUUUGUCAUAAUUUACAUCUAUCAUAGGGGAAAAAAAAGAUUUAUAAUAUGCGCUGAUUGAAAUAGGACCGGCCCUGGUUGGGCCGCACUAUAAAUGAAUGUGACUUGGGAAAAUAAAUAUUUAAGUGAACAGUUUACUUGUCAGAAUUGGAUUCAUUUGUCUUCAUCAGAUAUGGAUCGGGGCUGGAACGGUUGCUCGGAAGGUGUAACACCAUUUACACACGAUGUAAUAUUAUCUGUACAAGGUGUAAUAAUAGAAUAAUAGCGAGUAACACUAGAACAACAUUUUUAUGGGUCCCACACGGCGUGAAAAUCGAGUUACAAGGAGUGAUCUGAGCCGCACAAAUUUUUUUGACCUAAUCAUGGCCGUGAACCUUCCGAAACGGUUGUCAGACCGUUCCAGCCCCUCCUCCAUCAAAUAUCUACACUUACAUAAGGGUCUUGUUGAUCCCCAAGUUAAACGGAUGAAAACACACAAAAUAUACUUCCUCUGCCCUGCCCAUAAAGAUUAGUUCAUCACUCACCUCAAGUGAAAUACCAUUUUGCUUGUGAUAUAAUUCUCCAUCUUCAAUUGCAUUAAGAGUAGUUUAUGGGGUGAUCUUAAAUUUUUUUUUUCUAAAAUAAUGAUGCUGAUUCUCAUGCUUCAUGAAGAUUCUCAAGAAUACUACAAUAUGGGUUCUUUUUAUGAAUGUUUUUAGCAAAUUAGGUGUGAGUGACACUCACGUUUUCUCUUCACUAAAUUAGUAUAUUCUCUUGCUAGUUUCCAGGGGGUGGGUGUAGGGGAGAAGAAUCUCUUGCAGCUGAUAGCAAGGAAAAAAAAAGGUUUAAACAAAAUAAUUGUGAACUUAAAAAAAAAUGUUUAGCCUAAUUAGACCAUGAUUAACCGGAAAAAAUAUAUAUAGAAAGGGAUGGUUUCCUCUUGUAUCUCGAGUAAAGAUUAUCUGUUUUAAGUUUCAUUGAAUGCAUCUUUUUGGCCAUCUUCAACGGUAUUGCACGCGUAAAGAUUAUCUGUUAGCACGUUAUAAAGUUUACCCAAACCUUGAAAUGUCACACAAGCUUAUUAGCAAUAAUAAUUGAUACUUUAGUUAAAUAACCUCAAUAAUUAUUAGCCAUAGUAAAACAAUGCCAUUUUUACCUGAAGUAGGACCCCAUUCAUCCCAUGAUUAAACUACCUUUUUCCCCUGUAAGGAACAUGAUUAAACAGCUACCACAGCUGUAAUUGAUUUUUCACCAAUCAAAUAAUUAUGUGUAUAGCCCAUUAUUACCACCCACAACAUUAAUUCAAGGAUUUAGCCCGAGAGAGAGAGAGAGAGAGAGAGAGAGAGAGAGAGAUCAAUACAAGUACAACGGCCCAAUUAUUCAUGGUCUCAUAGGACCUUACGAUUGAUGGCCAGCGGCUCAAUCAAACACUCGACUCGGACUCAGGUUGACCGAAUUCGAGUUACUCGACAAAGAAAAUAAGUUGAGUUCGAGUAUUGUUUUAUGCUAUUCGAGUGCUCGUCGAGUAGCUCGAAUAUUUAUUAUUAUUUAUGUAAUAUAUUAAUUAUAAUUAUGAAAUGACCAAUAAGGGUAUAUAAUUUAGAUAAAUUACACGAUAUCUUGUAUGUUUUGUAAAAUUCUUAAACGGUAAAAAGGUAAUAUUGUAAUUAUAUAAGAAUUACUUUCAAGCUCGGACGAGUUUUGGUUGAACAUUCGAACUCGUUAAAACUCGAGGUUUAAAACUGUUUUGGUAGCUAACUACUUUAGAAGUAGUUGAUUGAUAACAGUGUAAUUUGUUGCUCAAGUUUGCUUGGAACCAUUUGUAAAAGUGUAUAUUAGACUAAUUUGGUACCCGAUUCUUUGAAGGAUGAUCCAUGUGCCUAAAGGUAAAACAUCAAUAACGGUCAUUGUCUUCAUAUGUUAGAGUAGCUUGGGGGCUGGUGCUUGACUAAAUGUAACUGACGAAUUAAAGCAAAGUCCUUAAAGAAAAUAAGGGCCUUUACUAUUAUGACCUAAUUCUUGGAGAAACUGUUGGGAACACUUUAGCGGCUGUAGGUUGGACCUCUUCAAAGAAGAUGCCAAAUUCUCUUCAUCUACUCGUACUGUCAUACGCUGUACUUCAAUAUGGAACUACCACCUCCUUUGCUCUCAUGUAAGUUGCAGAUAAAAAGCUAAAACAACACUACCACCACCCAAAUUACCCAAAAGAUGACAAACAAUUGAUUCUGACGCUAAAAUUCUUCUCUCUCUCUUUUCUCAAAUCUUUUGCUAUUGACCAUGGAGCAUAAUAAUGCAUGUAGGACUUGUUCACUACUAGUAAACAACUGCAUUUUGAAUUAAUAAAAAAAAAAACAAAGAAAGAAGCCCGGAAAAAAGACCAAAUUGGUAAACUCGAAAAACCAAAAAUCUUAUUCAUCUGUUCCAAUGCGAAGCUUUGUACUUUUGAGAUGCAUAUGUAUGCAUGUGAGAUGAGUAACUUUGAGGGAGCGUCCUUUGUCGGUGCCUCUCCUGCAUCGGUUGCAGGAGUCACACAGAUCCUUUGACACAAAAGUAAGAGAAUAAAUACCUUCAAGAUCUGCUACUAAUCCUAAAUAACCUAAUCAUUCAUCCCCAACAUUAUCUCACUACAUUUUACUUUUUCACUUUUUCAGUAACACUUGCACUUAAUUUACUCACAUUCUUACGUCAAACAUGUGGCAGUACAGUAUAAACAUGUACCUAAUCUAAGCAAAAUGCCUAAAGAACAGAGGAAAAAAUGUGAAGAGGGAUGUUACUAUUGUGGUCCACUUUUUUCUUUUUCCUUUUUUAUUUACUCUCCUGAGUUCUCUGACUCCUCUCCUUCGCCCCUUCUUUUAUGUUAGUGAGUGGAAUCCCAAUGUCUUCAUGAUUUUCAUCAUACCAAUUGCCAUUUCUUGAAAUCAAAGCCUCAAUCAAUCCAUUACUUAACCAAAGGGUCCCCAGUGUACUCAUUACUGCUGUCUACCUGAGAGACGAAAGUGAUAAGAGUAGUACAAAAGAAGCAAGAAUAUGGAUGUGGGGAGAAGAAAAGGGGGUGGUGGAGCUACAUCAUCAAGAAUUGGUGUUGUGGCGGGGUCUGUUUGGGAGAGCAGAAUGAAGCUUGAUGAAGUCAAAGGUGGCAUCAAAGUUUUUAAUGGUGAGAAAAAUGGUAGUAAUGAUUCAGAAGAAAAUGAUGAAAAGGAUGGUGGGAGUAGUAAUAGAUUAGCUAUUGUUCCAGCUCAAGUGGAUAAAAAAAUGAAUUUGAGGCCAAAAACGAGUCCAGUGGGGGCUAGUGGGAAGAGGAAAACUUGGAAAUCUGACAGUUCGGAGAAGAGCCCAAUUCAGAUUGCUAGGCAAAGAUCUGAAACAAACAAGAAUCUUGAUGAACAGUUUAGAGAAUUGAGUAUGUCUGCUGAUGGAAUUAAAAGGAGCCCAGCUCAGAGCAAGAAGUCAAAAUCUGAGGCAAUUAAGGAUUUGGGUGCUUCGGUUGAUGGAAUUGAGAAAAGCCCAAUUCAGAGUAUGAAGAUAAGAUCUGCUUCUCAAAAGUUUUCUAGUGAAUCCUCUGAUGGAAAUGACAAGAAUCCAACUCAAUUGAGGAAAUUGAAAUCAGAGACCAUUAAGGCCUUGAACACUGAAAAUGCAAGUGAGAAGACUUCUGAAUUGAGGAAAGUAAAAUCAGAUUCAAUUAAGGCUGUUGAGGACUCUUCUAAUGGGAAUGUUAAUAAUUCCCUCCAGCUGGUGAAAGCAAAAACUGUAUCAAGCAAGGAUUUUGAUGAUGAUAAUGGCAAGAGUUCUAAAGUGCAGUCUGAGAAAGAAAAGGCAGUUGUUGAUGAGUCAAAUAAGAGUCCUAAAGAAGACAACAUAGUUAGAAUGGAGAAAACAAGGUCUGAUGAAGAUUGUAAGGAAGUUGAUGUUUGUGAAGAGAAGGUGAUUACAAGCAAUAUUAGCAGCAAUGCAGGACAGCAGCAGGUCAAAUCUCCACCAACAGUAGAAGACACUGACGAUUUUGACGAUGCCGAUGGUGAUGAAGAAGAUUGGGAUGAUGAGUUGGAGGAAGAGGGUGAUCAGGAAAUUGAAGUUGAGAUUGAAAAGACGAGUCUUGUUGUGAAGGAGAUCAGUGUUGCUGAGCAGAAGCCAAAGAAGGUUGUGGUAGAAGAGAAGAAAUUUCGUCAGAGCAAUGAAAGGCCAAUGUCAAUUCCAUCACUGGUGAAGAAACAGUCUCCUCCUGUUGUCAGCCAUGCCAGAGUUCAUCCAAGUCCAACAAAAAAAGACCAAGUAAGCGCAUAUUGUUCAAUUGCACACCAUUGAUCAUGAUCAGAAAUGUGACAUUCUUACCACAAAAAAUGCACUGAAAUUUCUGCUGCUGCUGUUGUUGUUCAAGUUCCAGAUGAAUUUCGGGAAGUCCUAGAACUCGUAGCAAAUUACAGAGCAUUGGUAAGAUUUAUUUUCUGGGCUGAAUUCAAUUAUAUUUAUUAGAGACUACUUGAUGGCACUUUGCAUUUCUUGCUGGUGUAUGUUUUGCAGUUGACUUGGUGAUGUGGAGGGAUGCAUCAAAAUCAGCAUUUGUCUUUGGCAUUGGAACAUUCAUCAUUAUUUCAUCUUCAUACGCUAAGGAUCUCAACAUCAGGUAAUUAAUUACUUAUCUUGCUCUUGAAGAGUGAAAAGACAUUUUAACUCUGUUUUGUUAAUAAUCUGUUUUAAAUAAAGAGCACUUGACUGAAUUUUCUUGAAUCAUGGCAACGACAGUGCAAUAUCUGUGUUAUCCUAUCUGGGAUUGAUCUAUCUUGCAGCAAUUUUCCUCUUCAGAUCACUCAUUUCCAGGUAAUUUUUUUCUUUAUUUGAAUAGAUAAAAGUGAUUACAACUGAUGGCUCUUCUCAAAAGGCUUCAUACCAUUUACUAGGGGAGCUGUCGAUUUAGAUGAUUCAAGCACGGACUAUGUUGUUGGGGAAGAGGAAGCAGUUUGGUUGGUGAAAUUGAUUCUUCCCUGUGUAAAUGAGUUUCUGUUGAAAAUCAAAGCUCUCUUCUCUGGAGAUCCUGCUACUACAAUGAAGGUAAAAUUAAUGGGUUGGGGGAUAAAAAAGCUCCUCCAGCUCAUAUGAUCUCUCCAUUUUUUUUUCUUGAAUUUUGAUGAUAUCAAAUUUUUGGGACAAUUUCAGCUUUAUGUUCGAUGGGAAUUUAUGAGUAGUAGUUGACAAUUUGUGAAUCUAUUCUGACAGAUGGCACUGCUACUGUUUGUCUUGGCACGGUGUGGCAGCUCCAUAACCAUAUGGAAAAUGGUCAAAUUGGGUGAGUUUUCCAUAACGCCAAUGCUUAUCUUUCUAGCAUGGCAUGGCUGAAGCAAGUAGAAGUAGAAGUAAUUUUCUGUACUUUGACAGACUUUAUAGAUUUCCUUUUCUGAUCAUUCCUUGUGGUGGGUUUGACUUUCUUCUGGUGGCUGACGCUUGUUUCCUGUCACAGGCUUUUUCGGAGUUUUCACAGUGCCAAAAGUCUGCUCAUCCUAUUCCACUCAAUUAACUGCUUACGGUAAAGAGCCAAAAAAAAAAAAAAAAAAAAGCCCCAUAAUAAAUCUUUUGCUCUCUCAAAUCUGAAUUUGUUUUCUUCAUCUGCACAUCACAAUUGCAUAAAAGUUAGUAGUUCAAUUCAUUCAUGUUACAUAGGAUACGUCUCUGGAGUCUUGAUUGUUUGUACCGUUACAGCAGUGCCUACCCACAAGAACCUGUCUAUCAUCUGCAAAGACCAGACAGGGUCGCCCACCAAACUACCAGCCUUCUUCUAUUUAUUAUGCAGUAGUAUUUUUCUGGGGAAGCUUUAUAAGUGCAGCAUGUUGAAUUGUUGAUCCAACUUUCUUUAGGAUUAGGUGAUUAGUUGCUGGAAACUGAAAGAAACCAAUGUUUGGAAUAUGAUGGAUCCCACAAAACAAAAGUAGUACUAAGUAUUAGGAUAUGCAUAAGGUUGCAUGAGGUCCGAUUUCAGUCCCACCAAGUUAUCAUUUUAUCACACAUACAUACAUACAUAAAAGAAAAGAAAGAAAAUCCAACCACAGCUAUGUAUGUGCCCAAAUUCAAGAAUUUGCUGACACGAAUUGCAUAUAUGUUCAUGAAGGUGUAUUUUGGAUUCGACGAUUUCGGGACGCUUGGGAAUCAUGUUCUCAUAAGAAAGCCGUGGCAUUUGCUAUCUUCACACUGGUGUGGAAUUUAUCUUCAAUUGUUGCCGAAUUUGGGCAGGUAAAAUAGUUCCUGACUUUUUACUACUGCCCCUUUUGAUCCUAAAUUUGGCGAAAAAGAAAGCCUAAAAGAAACCGAUACAAUUAUUGACUUUUUUUUUUUUUUUUUUUUCUGGGCAGUGUUCAUGUUGUUUGUAGCAUAUAGAUAUUACCAGCCAUCUUUCAUUGGAGAGGGAUGGCUACAGCGAGAAACAAGAGCUGAAGAUUCUUCUUCCGCUUCAGGACAAAGUGGAGGCCACGUCCAGCGACAACGGCAGAUGUUGAAACAGGGAAACAAAAGAGGACCUUUUAAGCAUAUGCAGGCCCAAUUGCCCAUUACACUUUUGUUUAUUAUAGUUUGAUACCACAAGAAAUAAAAAGUAUAGAUGAAAACGAAAAAAAAAAAAAAAAGUUUUAGUCUUGUGUGUCCUUAAUUUUCUGAUGUUUUAGGAAAUAAGUUUAGAUAUGUAAAAAUAAAGUAUAUAUUAAAGAAGAAAUGAAAAAAAGAAGCUUUUUUUCUAGACUCGUGUGUGCCUUACUUUAUUUAGAAAAAAAUAAGUUUACCAAUACAUAGGUGAUCAAUUUUUAUAUUUGAAAUAAGAGAUGAAUUGGGUGGUUUAGGAUGAGGGAGCGUAUGCAGGAGGGUUCGAACGUUUGAACCCUCCCACUUACAUAAAAAAAAAAAAAAGAGAUCAAAUUUUUAUUAAUAAUUACCGUGCAAAUGAAAAUAGUUGUUCAAUGUCAAAUAGAGCCAAAAUAAUAAUAGAAAAAAAGACAAAAAAUAUAUCCGUUUCGUGACGUACAUGCUUAAGAAAGUAAAACUUUUCCAAUUAAUGCCAAUCCAUGUGAGCAAACGGAUUAAUUUAUGUUGAUUGGAAAGAAUCACACAUUUUACUAAAUAUGGUGAUUAAUUUAUGUUCCUAAGAGAUUUAAAAUGACAAAAGCAAUUCAUAAAUAAAGUAUAUGUCAAAAAGGUCUAAUAAUGAAAACGCAAUUUUUCAUGAGAAAAAAAUGUUGUCUCGCUAUUUAAAUAGUGCCAAUGUGAGUAAAAGAAACUUAGAAACACCUUGAUAAAAAAUGACGUCUUAUACGAUCAACUUUUUUUCACUUUAUUGUAUCUCUAAUAAUUGUCGCACAAUUGAUGCUUGUGCAAAUUAAAAGAAAGUCUAUUUUAGUUGGAAAAUAAAUUGGUAUGCAAAUAUGAAAUAAAAAAAAGGGGAAACACAGUAGUUAUUGGUGUUUGAAAUUAAACAAUAAUUAGCGUAAGAUUGAGGGAUAAUGUAUGAGAUAAUUCGUGAUUCUAAAUUUAUAUGUCCAUUACUCUUUCUAACUUCAAAGUUUAGAAUCUAUAAAAUUUGGAUAAAGGAGAUUUUUAUAAAUACAAACAAUGACAUUUUUUUCAGCGCCAAAUUUUGGUAUAUACUUCUCACGUAUAUAUGGUGGAAGAUAUCAAACAAUAUAGAAAGAAAAUAAAAGAUUGGAAUAGUCUCUCCAUUUAUCCCCUUUCCCUUCCAAGCCAAGAACCGUUAAACAACGUCGUUUAUGGGCUUGAAAAUUGUGAAAAUGAAUUUCCUUGCCACUUGUCAAAAUCGGUUCAUUGACUUGUCGAACCCGCUUUCAUUCAUCCGGAAACCGUUCGGUCUGCCAGAAAACUAUAAAUUAGACAUGAUCAGGUUUCUAGAACUACAAUAAUAGUGCCCGAGAGUGAAGAGCCCUAAUCCCCAAAACUAUAACCCACUCCCAAUUUUCUGUUUUACGACAACAAUCGAUCAAUCAACGAUAUGAGAUUUUGAUCAAGUUCCAGGCAAGGGUUUUAUUACCUCCUCCUAAGUUAUUAAUCAAAGUUUUAAUGUGAUAUUAUCAGCUAAAAUUUGACCUCCAUUUGCUAUCCCGGUUUGUUGCAGUUGUAAUUGCUGAUUGUAUUGUUGUUAGUAGCAUUUUGUUUGGCUGAAUAGUUUUCUUCGUUAUUCGUACUUAUGCUGUUCUAGAUGAUAAAAUUGUGGUCUAGUUGUCAUUGCCAUCCUUCGCUUUUAACUGUCUGAAGUAUCUCAAGGCUUCUUCUGCUUUUUCUGACCAUAACGUGUGGAGUAUCUGUUGCUUGUAAUUUCCACGUAAAAUCCACUGCUGCACUCAUUCUUUUCACUGCUUAUGGUCUCUAAUGAGAGAUGGGUUCUGGGUGAAACACCUGAAGAGUUUGUGGGUUUUGAUUUUUUGAUUUGGCUGUUUUCCAUUUAUGUGUAUGAUGAUCGUUCAAUGUUUUGCUUACCGGUUCUUGGUUUUUGGCUAUCGUGAUGCUGGUUGACUAAUUGGUCUCUUGAGUUCUUUUUUUUUUUCUUUUCUUUUUUUUUUUUUUUGAUAAUAUAGACUGGCGUUGCAGUUUGAAAUUGUAGAUUGUUGAAAAUUUUGAUUUUUUUAAUUGAUUUGAGGUAUAUGGAUGCUUCCUUAAUUUUGUGGAAAGAAAGGGAAAAUGGUUAAUUGGGCAGCAGAGGUGGUGUUUUGAUAGCUCAAUAUCUAUGACAUUUAGGAUUUUCUUUUUUAAGUUCUUCCAGCUUUGUUAUCUGAACAUGCAAAUGAGGCAGCCGUAGAACCAGGAAAUGCAUGACCUUAAAUUAGAAAAGCUAACUCUGUGCUGUCUCACCAAUCAGUUAGUGACAUGUCUUCUGCCGUUCACACCUCCCCAGAACAAGAAUGUCUACUAUUUAUGCACUCCUUUGUCUAUUCCGUUCACUUAAAACAGAAUUUCCAUAUUUGAAUGACUAUACUUUGAUGAAAUUGGUUGUGGAAGAAAUGGUUAUUGGUCUUGAGUUGAAAUUUAUGCUCAAGAAGUUAGGCUGCAAAAUUUAGAAACAGUGGCAAAUGACCGAAGGAAUGAAUAUUUAGAAAACUUCAAUAAUCAGAGAGGGAAAAAGAUUGUGCAAAAGUUCAUUGCAUGAAUGCACAGGGGCUGCAAAAUUAUUAAUUAAUUAAGAUAGCAAAGGCAAUUUUCUUUUAUUGAAUUUACAGUGGGUUGGUUUUAAAUGGGUAGUCCCUUAAUCAGCGAAUAAAUUUUCAAAAAUAUGUUUCCUUUACAAGUUUCAGAAAUUUGCCAAAGCAUUGUUUGGCCUUGGAAGAUUAGCAGUCAUUUUCUGAGUUAGACUAGGCUACACUAACACUUUCUAAUCUUGUAUAAUGUCGGAUGAACUUCCUUUUGUUUAUUUUGAGAAACUGAUUCUAGACUUUCUUUAUUCUUUUUGUCAUCUUUUUCUGAUUUUAUUGUCUUUUUGACUGCAAAUUCUGUCCUCAAUUGCAUGAUAAGCUUUAAAAACAUUAAAAAGUGCAUUGGCAUACCAAUGGCUAGGUGCUGGAUCAUGCUGUGGGUAUGAACAUUGUUCUCUACUUCCAUUAUCGUGUAAUUUCGCCUUAAUUUAUUGUUGCUGGUUGAUUGGUAGUGUUAAUUCUUCUGUUUUGUUUUCUUUUUUCAUCAUAAAAGUGUUGGAUAAAAUUUCUGGUCUAGUAAGAGAUCUAAGAUAUAUGUUGGCUUUUGUUUGCUCAGAUGAGCUUAACAGCAGACUCACCUGUGCACUCUCCAAGCACAAGUGGCGAGGAUUUUGCUGCAUUUCUUGAUGCAGAGUUGGAUUCUGCCUCUGAUGCAUCACCUCAUCCAGAAGAAGCAGAGGAGGAAGUAGUAGAAGAAGAAGAAGCAGAAAACAAAGGUGGCGACACUGACGACUAUGACUUAGACUCUGAGAAGUGAGUAUUCUGAAGAUGUUUCUUUGUACUUGCUUGCCGUGGUUUCUGUGCCUCUUGUCUGGUUCAACUUUUGCUUUUUUUUUUAUAUUAAAGGAUUAAAAGGCGCAAGGUUGAGAUUCUUGAGAGCUCAUUAGAUGUAGAAGCUAUGACGUCCCAGGAAGUUGAGAUACAAACUUCAGGUAAUGCUUAUGAUUGUACUCUUUCUGUUCAUUUGCCGCUUAUGAUAGAUACGCAACAAUUAAUACAGUUAAUAUUUGCAUGCUAACCUCAAUAUGUAACAAGAUGAUCAGACAAGGGCUUAGUCUAAAAAUCUUUCUAGGUUGAUUGUUAGUUACAGUUUUUGUGAUCGAUGGAUACCAAUAACAUCCUGAAAGAGACCUGAACUGAAGUCUAGAAAAUAAGGAUUUACUUCAAGGGUUUGAAAAUGGGGUAAAGUACUUUUUUACACAAGGGAAGCCAGAUAUAGGAUAUUUUAUGAUUUUGGUAGAUGCAGUUGGAUUUCUUAAAUUUUCUUAGUUUAACAAAAAGGUACUCUGUUGAUUUCAAACUGGAAUUUAAGUAGCAAUGCAAGAUUGGUGGAAAGUUCACUAUGAAAUUCUGGUAACAUGAUGCUUUGUUUUCUAAAAGUCUGCUUUCUGCAGGAGCAUCUUCGGAUAAGGAUGUUUGUUCACAUCCUGGUGUGAUUGGUGGGUUAUGUAUACGGUGUGGGCUGAAGAUGGAUGAUGAGUCUGGUGUUGCAUUCAGCUACAUACACAAGGUUGCAAUCGCUUGGAAAUCUUGUUAGGAUGUAUUUUGUUGUUUUUAAAUUUGGCUGCUCAGGAUUACUUGCCUGUUUUCUAGAUUUGGCUGUUUUUGAAUCACUUAUUGUUGUUUAUAUGCUUCUGCUGUAAGUUCUUUUAGCACAUUCUAAUCGUAAGCUCUUUCUUUCCAAUUUGAAAUCUGAAGUUUCCCUGGGGUUUAAGGUUUAAUAUUAGUUUUCACUUUUGCACAGAAUGUUGGUGCAUUUAAGGAGCAAUUCCAUCUUUUUCAUCUCUCCCCGUAAGAUUUUUAUGAAUGAUGUUAACUGAUUCUUGCCUUUGAACUCUUUUUUGUCACGGAAAAAUGUAGUUCUAACCUUAAAUUUUCUGGGCUGCAUUUUUGGGCUGCAUUUUUUUACAGCUAUUUGUUGUAUUGGUUUUUUCAUAUUACACAUAGAGAAGUUUAUUGUUUUAUGUGGAGGUACUUAGGCAGGUAAUUAUGUAAUUUAUUCAACAGAAUCUAAGGCUGGCUAAUGACGAGAUUGCUCGAUUACGUGAUAAAGACUUGAAGAACCUGCUUCGCAAGAAAAAACUUUACUUGGUUCUUGAUUUAGAUCACACACUGCUGAACUCAAGUCGGUUUUUAGACCUUACAGUAGAUGAGGGUUACUUGAAGGGCUCCAGAGAUGAUCUAUCUGGUACAAUGCUCUCUUUUGUGUAGUUGCUGUUUAAUUUUUAUCAUUCUUCUGUGAUUUCUGUUACAGUUGUUUUAUGCGGAUAGUUUUCUAUUUUACAUGACAACUCUGUUGUCUGGUCUUAUAUAUUUGAUUCAUACUAUGAUAUGAAAUUCUAUGAGCAAAGGCUACAAAUCCCUUUUUCCCCCCUAGACCUCAUUUCCAUUAUCACAAAGAAAUAAAAGUAAAUUGUGACAAAAGCUUGUCACCAUCUCAGAGAGAGAGAGAGAGAGAGAGAGAGAGAGAGAGAGAGUUGCUAAUGGAAGACAUUUGGUCAGACUGACUAGUGCCGACAAGCUCUUCUCCUUUCCACAUGGUUUUGAUUAGGGUUUGUAUUAUUGAAGUUUCAUGAUGGUCUACUUUUCACAACUUAGUUCAUUGUUUUCAAAAGGAUGACUCUCAAACUGGAGGUAGCUCUAAUGACCUUGGAGGUACUUCCACUACUUGGGGAUGAUUAUUUCAGGACAUGGUUUAGUACACAUGUUCCUUGGAACGGAUAUGGGCAGUAUUUAGGUUACAAAGAACUCUAGAUUCUUCUUGGACCAAAAGAGACCAAUGCCAUCCUUUGGGACAAAUAAUCUGGUAUCUACAUUGAUUCCAUUUGGCUAAUAUGCUAUGCAGAUCCGUAUUUUUACUAUGAAUAUUGAAUUUACAGUGCAUGAGUUCUCUAUUUCUGUUUUGUAUCUUAAUCCAUUUAAUCUUGGUGUUCCUUAAUUUCUGCACUUCUGGAGACUGGAAGCAGCUUUUACUUGUAUAUUUUGGUUAAUUAUUUACUGUGCUGCUACUGGUAGUGGAAUUGUAAUAAUUAAAUUAACAUUUUUCAUUAAGUUUUUGCCAAUAUUUCUUCAAUUCUUCUUAUUUAUUAGAGAUAGAGGGUUUCAUUGUUUGCUUUGGUAUCCUUUUGGUUAACUUGUUGAUUUUCAUAAUUGUAACUAAUAUUUUGUAGCUUAACUGGUUACUUUAUUGUUCCAGAUGCUUUGAAGAACAGCUUAUACAAACUAGACUAUAUGCAUAUGAUGACCAAGUUAAGGCCCUUCGUCCAUAGUUUCUUGAAAGAAGCAAGCGACUUGUUUGAGAUGUACAUAUACACAAUGGGUGAACGUGCAUAUGCAUUGCAAAUGGCAAAAUUGCUUGACCCUGGAUGUUUAUUUCAACUCCAGAGUGAUUGCACAAGGAGAUUGCACACAGAGACACCAGAAAGGUCUUGAUAUUGUUUUGGGGCAAGAAAGUGCUGUCUUAAUACUUGAUGACACGGAAGCGGUAAUUCCAAUAAGUAGUCCUUGACAGUAUUUCAUAUUUAGUUUGUCAGAUUUUCUCCUGCCUUUUCUGGUUCUCAUUAUUUUGUGUCAAUUGUUUGCUUUUCCUCUAUUAUCAGUUUGUGAGCACUGAUGUUUUCCUUUACACACAGAUGUUUUCAAUUGGAAAUAGUCAUUUUAUAAUGGUGGGAUUGUCUGUGUGCGCGUUUUUGUGUAUGUAUGUGUGUGAGUGCAUGCAUAUAUUUGGGGAUAUUUUGGCAUCUUUUGGGUCCCCGUGUCCACAUAACAGUGGAUUUAGUUGACAGUCUGGUGCAGCUUGCUUCCUUCUUAAUGUUGUCUGGGAAGCAGAUGACAUACAUAGACAUCUAUCAUGACUAAUUGAUUUUUAAGCAAGUACUUUCAGAAGUUUGUAUAUGUCUGCAUUUGCUGCCAAGUUGACAAGAGCGUUAUUGAAUGAUCUAGGUCUGGGGAAAACACAAGGAGAAUUUGAUAUUGAUGGAAAGAUAUCAUUUUUUUGCUUCAAGUUGUCGUCAAUUUGGCUUCGGUUCAAAAUCACUCUCUGAGCGUAAAACUGAUGAAAGUGAAAGUGAAGGAGCCCUUGCUACGGUUCUUAGAGUUCUUCAGCAGAUACAUUCUACCUUUUUUGACACGGUAUGUGUUCGUCACUAUUAUUGUUUGAAUUGCUUUAACAUUUUGUUGCUCAAUUAUUCUAAUUGAAAUCUUCUUUUACAGGAACAUAGUGCAAGUCUUGUUGAUCGAGAUGUGAGGCAGGUAAUUGUGGAGGACUAGUACUGAUGGCUUUCCUCCAUAUGUUUCUGUGUUUGGGUAGGAGUUGAAGUCAUAAUCUUUUUUCGUUAGCCUAUGCACUGGUUCCCUAAUGAGUAUUAUUAUGGUACCUUAUCUGUAUUGUCAUUGAAUUCGCUUUUAUGGAAUUUCAUGUUUUCACUUGAGCUUUCUUUCUAAGCACGCAAUUUAUUUUGCCAAACUGUUACUGGGUUUUGAACAAAUAAACCUGCAUUCCAAGCUGUCAGAAAAUUUUCAAACAUUAGAUUAGUGAAAUUAUGUUUGUAUGGGUCCAUCUUCUGCAAAAAUUUUGCUUUGCUACGAAGAAUUUGUACCACAACCCAUGAUAAAGGAUUCUGGUGACUUUGGAGUUUUAAGUUUUUCAUUCUCCAGUUUAGAUUGGUUUCAUCUUUCUUAUUCAUGAAUUCUAUGAUGUUGACUUGUGAUGUUUAAUAUUAUUUAGAAAGAAGUGUGAUAUAUUUUCUCUUUAUAUCUAUGGCAGGUGCUAAUAACAGUUAGGAAGGAAGUUUUGAAGGGUUGCAAGGUUGUAUUUACUCGCGUUUUCCCCACACAGUUUCAGGGUGAAAAUCAUCACCUAUGGAAAAUGGCAGAGCGGUUGGGAGCUAUAUGUUCAUCUGAAGUUGACCCGUCAGUAACACAUGUCGUCUCUUUGGAUCCGGGAACAGAGAAAUCCAUUUGGGCAGUGCAGGAGGGAAAAUAUUUGGUCCAUCCAAGGUGGAUUGAAGCUGCGAACUAUUUGUGGAAAAACAACCUGAAGAGAGCUAUCCUGUUAGUAAUCCAAAGAACCAGUGAUCCAAAUUCUCCUUGAGCUAACCCAUAGUUGAUUUUUCGUGAAUCUUAGUACAUAGAGUUGAAGUCAAUAAGAUUUUGGGGCUAAUGCCUUAAUUCUUGCCUGACUCUGUUGUUCUCAAAUUAGUAUAGGGUACAAGGUUUGUUUUAGUUCAACGAAUUUAGAGGGCGUCAAUUUGCAUUCCUAGGUAUGACUACAUGAUGAGGUUGUUGUAUUUUAAUAGGUUGAAAGUGAGGGGCAGCAAAUUUUAUCCUUAGAUCGGAAAUGUAAAUAGCAGUUAAAACUGGAUUGAAGGUGAUACAAUCGACUGUGAUGUGAGCAAAGAACACGACAAAACUGAUGACCCAUUGAGGGUUCAUGCUGCAAUUGUAGGGUUCGAAUAUUACUUGGUAAAUUUGAAGUAGUCUGAAACCAGUUUGAAGAAUGGCAAGGUUUAGAGGAGUUUAGAUCACAGUGUCCUUUAUGCCUUUUUAUUUCAAUGCAUAUUGACUGACACAGUGUCUGGUUUUGUGGGGUUCAUGUUUACUUCCAGGUUUUAUAUAUACCUCUGGGGUGAUGGAGGACCAUAUAUAGACAUAUGAACAAUCAGCUCUGUUAAUGCAGAAAGCAGCUUCGUUCCCUUUGCAUGAUCUUUUCAUUUGUAGAUUUUACUCGGAUUCCAAAAUUGUUGAUCUUCUUUAGUUAUUUUUUGGGGACGAUUGUAAGAUCAAGGGGUGUUCAUGAGUUAAACUAUAUUUCUGUUGCUUCCAAAGCAAAUUCCUUUACAGGUCUUUCCGUUUCUCUGAUGUUCUAGUUGCCGUUCUAUAUCUAUGGCAUUUCUUUUGUCAGCUUAGCCAUUUGUGAUUUAAAAAACAAAAAAGUCUUCUAAGUUCACAACCAGUUAACUACAGGUUCCGAAACCCGUACUGCAAUUUGGUCAACAUAUUCUCCUUUAAGAUUUGGAGAUUCCGAAACCCGUACUACAAUUAGGGCAGCCCCUUCUCCUUUGUAACCAGUUUCCGGGCCCAAUAGUAUGGUCACAGGUAGGAAGGCUUGCUUUCUUCUGUUAUCGUCACAGGCUGGCUUACUUUUUUGUUUUGGCAAGUGAAUUGGAGGUUUUAAACCAAACCUUCUAUUUAUAAUCAUUUUCAUCUUUAUCACCCAACUCAACUCUCCGCAAAAUAUCGGGUUUGCUUGACAAAGAAAUUUUUGGCCAAGUUUGUCUGUUAUAAGUUUUUUAACAACUUUAACUAUAAUAACUUCAAAAAAUCUUUUAAAAUUUUUAAAUUAUACACUUCAAAAUAUUUAAAAAUUACACUCUUCAAAAAAAUUUUCUACAAUUUUUACAGUAAGUUACAAUAAAAUUUUAGACAAACAUCCAAAAAACUCAUUUGCUGAACGGAGCCAUCUUUUUGAGUGGCUUGUUUAAUGUCAACGAAGUAAUUAUCAUAAAUGAUCAGAGAAAUCGCCAUCUUCCGAGCUAAUAAGCUACCAUUUGAGUUAAUGGUUGUCCGCUUAAACGUCUAACCUGGAAAUCACUACCCUUUCUUUCUUUUUUGUGGGUGGGGGUCAGGAACGUUUGCAGCAUUCCUUCCGCCACGUGGAAAGAAAGUACUCUGAACACUAGAGGUCAAUUAUUUGGAGAGAAUUUCGAUUUCAUUUAUUAGGAAAAAGAGGGUGAGUAUGUAAAUGUAUAUAUAUAUAUAUAUACUUGUCGAACCUGAAUUAUUUUAUUUUAUUUUAUUUUGUUGAGAGCUUCUUCUCCCUUAUGGUUCCAUUAAGUUAUCUUUUAUUUGUCCCUUUCAAACACAUUAAAAAAAAAAAAAGAGUAAACACAUACAAUCAUAGAUAUAUAUAUAUAUAUGUCGAACGUAACAAAUUGAGCAAAAAAAAAAAAAAAAAAAAAAGAAGAAGAAACUUGUACAACUAAGGGAGGGACUCUCGUUAAAUCAGAAAGUGAUCCAGAGGAAGUAAGCUUGUAUUAACCGUUGUUUUCGUAUCUAUAAAAAAAUUUGAUUUCUUGUUUGCCCUCUAUUUAUUGGUACACACGUUCGUUUGUGAUCCAAGUGAACAUGCAUCUAUGGCGAAGUCGAGAAGCAAAGAAGGAAAAGUGGACAAGUUUUGUACGUGAAAUUCGUCCCAGAAGUUAAUUGGCCACAAAAUAUAUAGGAAAUUUAGAAUAAUGGACUAACUACUAGCACAAUAAUGCCGAAUACUAAAAAAAAAAAAAAAAAAAAACUAGCCAUCAAAAUCGAUCAGAAACCGGGAAGAAGAUUGGCAGCCGUAAAUAUAAUAUGAGGAUUAUCUGUGACGACUGUAAGUCAAUUAUGUUAUCCCAUACUGAUCUUAUCUUGAAACAGGUGAAGCAACAAACACGUACGAUCGAGUCUUAUUCAGAAACAAGUAUUGUCCCCUUCCACAAAUCAAGCAAACGAAUGCAAUAAUUGAGCUGCGCACUUUCAACCACUGUCCGUUAAAAUUGGAUUCCACAGGCUAAUUUGAUCGGGAGCAGUUUAAAUUAAAGGUUUCUUUUCAUUUCAAGAAAGCGAAAAGAAAACAAGAACAAAAAAGAAUAGAAGCUUAAUUAAUAUUCAUAGUUGAACCAAUUUGAAUACUGCUUUAAUGACAACGCUCUUGAUGUUUGUUUCCAUUCAUUGUUCUGAUACUAGUUUGAUAAGUUAAUUAAUGGGAAAAAAAAGACAAGAGAACAACCUUGCAACGGGUAUUAAUGGUGCAGCUAGCUAAGCUAAGAACGUUCGUUCACCUUUGUUUGCCUAACCAGGUUUGAGUUCUACGUACUUUUUUUUUUUUUGCCGAAGCAAAAUAAACACACACACCCAAACAAUGAACAGACACGCAGAAGUAACACCGGCCAAACGAGUAUCAGCGCAGUUUUCUACGGUAGAACAGUGGCCUACCCUGAUCUUAGAAUGAAGCAGCCUUUCUUGAACUCCUAAGAAAUAAGAGACACAGAAAGAGAGAGAGAGAGAGAGAGCACGACGCAUGCUGCUAGACUAUGAAAGUUGUACUUUAUUGAAGAACAUGCAGUGGGCGUUAUUAUCUGUCCAUAAUCAGAUAAAUGACUGGGACUAAUCGUGUCUUUAACACGUCUAGUCAUAAUUUAUCGAGUAGCAUAAAUCCAAAAGUGAUAAGAUUUUGAGAGUUGUCUUUAUGCACCAUCAUGAGAUAAUGCAGGACAGGACACUCCUCAACAUACCAUACGAGAACCAGAAAAGGAGAAGGCACGAACAUGUGACUAUAUAUUAUAUAUGUUCAAACUAGAUAUGUACCCAUAAUUGUUUGAUGACUAUUAGGAACUAAUAUAAUAUAUGUUUUAGCUUUAGGUCGAAUCAGUCAAAAUUUUGCUGCUUCUGGUUUGAGAAUCUUCAGUUAAGUUACUAACAAUUGCAGUUAAUUAGCUCGUUUGGGUUGAUUACCAACGUCAAAAUAUGCGUCUUCUUUUUUGUAUAUAUAUUUUCUUCUUUUGGAUUAAGAGACAGGAAUAUGAAAAUGGAAACACAAGAAGUCAGAAAAAAAAUGCUCUCAAUCUUUUUCUUCUGAAAUUUUAGAUGCCAACAGCAAUCUAAAUCAAGCUCUUCGUAGUAAUUUGGAUAUGAAAGUGCUAUCUGGUACUCGAACAUUGAAAUUCUUGAAGUUGCCAAAAUUGCACAAUGGGCAUAGUUGUAGCUGCUACUUUUGCAUCCUCAACGUGUCAAAUUCUUCAAUUUUGCGUACGACUACGGUGAUUAUUCAUAAUGCAUUUACUUGUCGGGAUUUUUCAGUCUUUAACUUCUUUUUUUAUUCUGUAGACAAACAAUUUCUCAAACUCAUUGUCCUACGGACUUAUUGUGAGCGUCUAUUUUGCUGCACUUUUUCUCGUACUUCCAUGUUAUUGCCCGGUAUCAUAUCAUCCACUGGGUAAACUUUUUGCACUCAGAAGUUUAUGAUAAGAUUGCGCCACUAACUUGGAGAACGUUCUUGAACAUCAAAUUUAACCUCCUACGUACCCCAAAGCAGAAACAGAAGUUGACAAAAUGUAAUCUAUGACUCGGUGGACCAAACUGACGACCUCCAUUAGCCUCCUUUAAAUAAAGCUGAGAUAGUAAUAUGAAACACAUGCUUGAAUUAACGAAAUCUGGAAGAUUGCAUCUGCCUUUGGUGGUGGUUCUUAUCCCCAGCUAGCAGACAUCUAAUCUACUCCAUUUAAAAUGAUCAUAAGCAGCCCGAUUGAUGCACGUAUUCAUGCAAUAUUAGCGCUUCAUUAUUAAUGGCAUAUCUUAGCAAUACGGCCACAAAAGUCAUUUUCAAGGAUUUCUGAUUAGUCUUCUUCUUAUAAUUUAGGUGGGAUGAGCUGGUUCGAGUAUUAGAGUUCUGAAAACUCAAGAUAUAGUUUUUCAUAGAGGAGUCAAGAUUAAUUCCUCUCUCUCUCUCUCUCUGAUAAAAGAGAAGAAAAAUAUACGUAUGAUAAUAGAGUUAGAAACCUUGUACCCAUCCUAGGAUGAAGGCAGAAUUACUCGGAAAAAAAAAACCCCCUCGAUUUUUCCUAAUUUGAGCUUAUGCAAGAAGAAUAACAUUGUGCUAAAGCAAAAGUUUGUGAGAAGAUAUGUUGAACAGAGACAUAAGACGUGUCUGCAUGUAUAUACAAAUUGCGUACUGUGGCUUUGAUUUGAAUGAGACUUCGUCUUCAUGUACAAAAAAGAUUGAAGUAGCGUUUCUUUUCUUCUUUUUUUUUGGUUCAAAAAAGUUUAGUGGUUUCUGCUCGAGCAGGACACACAUAUCCUUAAGAUUAAAGGUCACUUACCAGAAUAUUCAUGUAUUACUCAUCAAUGCAGGGCUUACAUUUGCAGCGGAAUUUGCAGACAUGUACGACAUAAGAAAGACAUGUGUCCUGGUGUCUGGCUCUCGCGGACACACCUCCACGCAUAUUACAAAUUGAGUACUGUGUCUUUGAUUAAAUGAUAUUUCGUCUUCAUGUACAAAAAAGAGCCAACUAGCUAGUACGUGUUUUUUUCACACACACAAAAAAAAAAAAAAAAGCUUAGUGAUUUUUGGGUGGAGCAGGACAUAUAUUUAAGAUUAAAGGUCAUUAAUUAUAACAAGAACACUUGUAUGUUAUUCACUAAUCCAGCAUUUACAUCUGCAGUGAAAUUCGAAGAUAAAGUAGGUAAUUAUUCGUGUUUAGUUACCAUCGUUUUGAUAUCAAGUUUUGUCCUGAAGCACCGACAUGUCAUUUCAGCUCCGUGCAUGUAUGUUCAGCCGAAAUUCUUGCCAUGGUUUUGGAUCGGGGCUGCUGCAACUGCACCGGCAAUCCCACCAUGCUGCCGCCAUUAGUUGCCAAGAUCGGCCGAGGAGAGUUUGGACUCGAAUGCUUCCUAGUUCCUAUGAUUAAUUAUAGUUCUUCUAGUUUGGAUUGGGGCAGCUGCUCGCUCAGCAGGUGAACAAUCAAUAAUUAAUUGUGUAUUUAGUUUUAGAAGGGAGAUGUAACGUUGUUAUUAGCACUUCUAAAAGAGUUUUUAGCACUCCAUCCUCUGUGUCUGUAAAAGCUUGCAUAGAUACAGAAAUUGCUAGAGGGUUUUUUUAAGAGCGUUAAUAUCAUUUUUCUUUAAAAAAACGUGCGAUAUUUCCUAUGUUUCUUUUUCAAGAUUUUUCAGCUUAAAGGGUGAAGUAAAUUUUCGAUGAAGGCAUUAAUUAAUUAAUGACGUUAAAAGGGAAUUUCUAGAAAUUUAGGAUGUGCAAGUGUGAGUGAGGCAAACUAAUUAAACAGGAUUAGAAACUCAGCUGUCCUUUUAUUUUCAAUUUCCUAUAAUUGAGGAGGGUAACAAUUGCUAACCCCCAGCCUUAAAGCUCGCUUCUCUCCUCUCCUCUCCUCUCCUGGAUAUAUAAGUGUACCUUAAAAGAUACCAGGCUUAAUUAAUUGAGCAUUUUGCGUUACACAUAACGCAAAAAUCUAGCUUGUAUCUUUCAAUAUAAAACUCAGAUGCAUGCAAAUUACAAUAUUCUAAAAGACAGGAAAAUAAUUCUCAAAAGAAGAAGAAGAAGGGAGGAAGAAAAAAAGAAAGGCAGUAAUAAAUAUUUGUUCUCUCUCUUCCCUGUUUGAUGGCAAUUAUUGUCACUCACUAAUUAUUAUCCGGAGAUCAAAUAUUUGCCAUCAUCUCAUCUUCAAUUAUUAUCCGGCAUAAUUACUUAGGUUCCACUGCCAAGAAAUUUGUGUACUCCCUCCCUCCGUCCCACUUCGAUAGUUCCGUUUCUUUUUUCACAUAGUUUAAGAAAAAGUAGUUAACUUUGUUGGAAAAAUAAAUUUAGAUUGCUAUUUUUCUAAAAUACCCUCACAUUAAAUAUGGUACAACUUUAUGGGAACUUGAAUUGAUGGUAAAAAAAAGAAUCAACUCUCAUUAAAUGGGAUAGGUUUAUAGUAACAACUACUUACAUUGAAUGAGGGUAUUUUAGAAAAAUUAAAAUACAAAUACAUUUUUCAAUUGGAAAGUGGACUACAAUUUGGGACAGAUGAAAAAGGAAUACAGGACUGUUAAAGUGGGACGAAGGGAGUAUUAUAUAUAUAUAUAUAUAUAUAUAUAUAUAUAUAUAUAUAUGUGUGUCUGGUUUGCUUUGAGCCCGUGAUUUAAGGGCUUCUAGAGAUCCUAUGGAUGUUAUUACCAAGAAAGAAAUCAGAAUUAUUGACGGAUUGAGUUGUGAUUGACAUACGCAGUACUCCUAUCGAUCGAUAGCUGCUUUUGUUUAAUAUAUAUAUAAGAGACUAAUAAAGAGUUGUAUCUGCUUUGGUCACAGGGCAGAUGGCCUCGUUUCGGUCUCCAAUAUCAGACUCGUCCCUUUCGAAAUGACUUGUGGAAUUAUAGCCAAUGUCACCUCAUAAUCGGAAAUUAACACAAAGUACGUGGAUCAUUUUAUUCCCCUUUUCCGAAUCCAUCCAUUUCAAUGCAUUUUCCAAAUCCUCGUACUCAAUACUCCUAUUGUUUUACGUCCAACCCUGGCCAUGACAUGCAUAAAAAAGCAUGCUAUAAUUAAGCCUGCAAACCUCAUAUAAUUCUAAUAAAGUUAUUUUCUUCUUUCUUUUUUCUCUUUAUUACCAAAAUGGAAUUAAAGAAAGAAAAAUCUGUUAAUAAGCUCCGGCCGGAGAGGUCAUGGGGCAAGAUGGUCUGUAGGUUGCAAGGAAAGAAUGGCUUUUUAGUUGAAGAUUAUAUUGAAGAGGGAACCACGUACGGCAAGGCUUUUAUAUUUUAAAUUGAAAUGUAACAUCGAAAAAGUCUUAACAUCUACCAAAUAUUUGGCCCUUUGGCAGGGGAACAAUUAUAUGCAAAUAGUAUAUAAAAAUUUGAGACAAUAAUUAAGACUUCAAUUAAAUGAGAAAAAUAUAAUUCUACUAUCUAAAAAAAAAUUCCAAUUAGAACUUCUUAAUGAGACCCCAAACUAUAGUUGGUAUGCAUCAUUUUCUAACGACUGUAGAUUUCCAAAAAAAAAAAUGUUAAUCAUAUUUGGAGAAACAAUUUGCAUAUAGAGCAUACAAUGAAUUUUUGUAGGUAAAAUCAAGAGCAUUUCUUGCUGCUUGAUUGCGUCUAACAUGGCUUGGUAAUGACAUCACUAAACAGGAUCAUGACUCAUUAACAGGUGAGGCGAUAGGGAAACCUGUCAAUCAUAAACAUCUCUGUGCAUGGGAUGAGAAAUUGAGCCUUACUCCCUCUUUAUAUAUAUAUAAGAAAUAUUCACCAUUAAUAAGAUUGUUGGAAAUCAUUCAACACGAUUUGUUUAACAAAAUCAGAAGGAAUGUUCCAUAUAGAGUCUCCACAGUUGGCAGAUUUUGGAAAAGAAGCUAGAUUGCGUGCUAACUUGUUUUCCUCCCUUGUAGGGGUGGCAAUUCCUGACACGAUCCGAAAACACGACACGAAUCUAACACGAAAUUAAUGAAUUUGGGUUGAGGUUUCGGGAGUUCGGGUCAGAAUUGGGUCAAACCCGAAAAGAAAACAGGUCAAUUUCGGGUCAACCCGUGGUGACCUGAUAUGAUCCGAUGUGACCCGUUUACAAAUUAAAACUAAUUUAAUAAACAUAAAAAUUAUUUUAUUUAACUAAACUAAAUCAUUCUUUUUUUCCAAAGGCAUUAAUUACUUAAUCCUAAAUGAAUUUAUUUAACUUGUGUGAAGUUAAAAUUAUUAUAUUUGGACAAAUAAUAUAUUAUGUUAUUUUUUACUUUUAUGCUGUUUUAAUUUAUUUUAUAUUUGGUUUGGGAUAAAACACUUUUAUAGUGUUUAAUUUAUUUAGAUUUGGUUUGAAAUUAUUUAUUUAAAUUUUUAUUACUUGAUGAUGUAAUUAAUUUUGUGAUAAAUUAAUAAAUUAAAAUUAAGUUUCGGAUCAUUUCGGAUCGACCCGUCAACCCGAAAUUUUCGGGUUCGUGUCAGGUACCCUGACCCGUUUCGAAUUGACGGGUCGGAUUCGGGUCAACAGGUUCUUUGUUAUACUUAGGCCUCAACCCGACCCGCGCAACCCGAUUGACACCCCUACUCCCUUGGGAAUCCAACUUACAUUGACACAAUUUGGGUCUAGCAAAGACGUAUGAAUAUCAUCAAUUAUAAUGCCUAUAUCAGAAAAAACAUCGCCUCUAUAUCUCUAAGAAGCCGGAUAAUCGAUGAUGCAUCAUCCCCUUCACGAACGAAAUUCAGAAUCAUAAAAAAUUUGGCCAAGGAAACUGCUAGAGAAUUGCUUUGCCAAAUCAGCAAGAAAAUUACCAUUAUGAUCUCGGAUUGCCACUCCAAUACCAAAGAUAUUGUUAUGCGACGAAAUAUUGCCAUCAAAAUUGAUCUUAUAAUGAUGCACUGGAGGAUCUAAGUAAUGAAUAUCAUGAUUUUGGGACUGUAUAGAACAAGAGCCAUUAAUUGUUAGCUUUCUUGAAAUCCCGUUGUAACAAAUCUCAUAACCUUAUUCCCUCUUCAUUAGCAACGAGAAAUGGAGGUCUCUAAGAAGCAGAACGGGAUCAAAUUACAAUUUGGAAAUCACAACUUCAACUGGAGAUCAAACAAGAGCUAACUAGUUCCCAUGCUACUUGCAAAAUAUACUUGCAAACGUUCAAGAAUGCUCAGCACAAUGACAUACUUGCAAAAUAUAUAUAUCAAAAACUGAGAAAUGAUCAUCCACGAAUUUAAGAACAAGAUUUCAAAUCCUUAAAAAUCUUUUUCCUCUAGUGUAUGACUACUCUGGCAAAAUGUAGCCAUACAUCUUCCGACUUCUUGAACCUCGAUUGCAAUUUGCAAUUACUUGGAUAAGACAUAGUUGUUGAGGAUUUAUCCAAAUUCUACGAUCGAGUGAAUUAUAUGCAGAACUUCCAACACCCCCAACCCCCCCCCCCUCCCCGAAAAAAAAACCCAACCAGGGAAAAAAAAAAAGAAGAGGAAAAACCUAAAAAACCCAUGAGUCACCAAUUUCCCAAAUUCGUUGGUGAUCCGCAUCAUUCUCAGCUACCCUAAUUACCUCAUCUGUUGAGCAAUCCGUGGUUUUCAAGCAAUAACUAUGAUAGAAACUUCCCUCAAAAAGAAAACAGCAAGAAAUCAUGAUGGCAACCAAACACAUCAAUACAAAGUCCCAAACCUCCUGAUGCAUUCACCAAUUAAAUUAUUGAGAUGCGGACAACAUUUAUGUGGCUAAUUACUCGGCAAAAGACGUAUCUAAAUCAGGUUUAAUGUCCAGAAAAGGUACCUUAUCUUCAUGUGGACCAAAGUGCCAAGAAAAUAUUCAGUUCACAUGACAUAUAGUAAUGUACCAGCAGUCUAUACAUCGUAUCAUUUUUUAUCACUUUGCAGCUUAUCUUGUCUAUAUAACAUCAUGUAUGUUGACAGUAUGUUAGAACAAUAGCUUAAUAUUAAUCCUCGAGCAAUCAUUUUUUGUUUAAUCACUUAGAUGAAGUAAUUCAACAAAAAAUUUGCUCUUCCCUUCCCUUCCCAUCCCCCUCGUGCAAAAAACAUGCCAUCAUGAAAGGGAGUUUGUAAAAAUAAAUGCAUGCAAUGUUAACUAGAAUUUUAUACCUUACCAUUUCACUUUUCUCUCCUGUAUUUUCUCUAUGAUUCACUUUCUUCUUCUUUUGCCAAUUCAAUGUCUCUGAUCUUGCUAACACAUAGCAGUCAUAAUUCAGGGUUCAUCGUCCCCAGUCGUAAGAGAAAAAAGAAAAACCCCAAAAAGGAAACACUGAGCACAAUUAGCGCUUGUUCUUUUGUAUCUAUAAUGGUUGGUUACUUGUUUUUUCUGCAGCAAGCCGACAAGCACAGACAUUAACCUAACUGCCUUUUUGUGAUAUGCUAAAAUAAUCCAAGCUCUAAUUUGUAAUUGGAUUUUUCGUGACGUCAAGUAUUGAUAGUAGUUGCAGCAAAAGGCUGGAAAUAAUUGCAUUAUAUAUUUCCAUAAUGAAGUCUUAAAUUCCGAAAUAUCUAGGGACCCAUUACCAGGAUUUAGAUUCCAACUAGAACAAUAAUCGGACUUGCAACCAAAAUAUGGCAUUAAUGAUUUGACAUAUAAUAGAGCUCAGUCUUACGGAAUUAUGUGUGCAUAUGUCAUGUCCAGAUUCCUUUGAUUUGACCAGAAAUAUAUAGUGCGCAUCUAAGUUUUUAAAUCCUGAGAAAGUGAGGAUUUCUAUAGCUACCUGGUUUGCAAGUGUGUAUGCCAUUAAUUUCUUUAGGCAAAUGACAGAAGGUGGAGCGUCGUCAGAGAAUUAUUUUAGAGCGUGAAUGUCAUUUGUCUUUCUUUAUGUUAGCACAAAAUCUUAAUUAUUUUUUUAUAACUUGCAAAAUACAUGCCAAAUAAAGGCCAAAAUAGCUCCAGCUUCUUUCCUGCAUAAAGAUUCUUUGAUAAUGUAAUUACAGUGUUAAAGUAUGUUUGUGAAUAUCUAUUUCUCCAAAAUGCAAUUGACAUAUUCAUAUUAAUAAUCAAAUGGUAUUUAAAAGAUAAUUAUUACAUUUGAAGUCUUUAUUUGAUUAAGUUCAAUUUUAGAUCCCAAAUGAAAAGAAAAAUGGUACAAGAAAUACUUGUAGAGAAGUUAGACAUUUAUGGUUAUUUUAGUUUCCUAUUUUUACUUGGAUAACCAUUAAAGUAUCUCUAUAUUUGGGAUAGCAUAACGUUGAGUAUCAAUAUUACUUUUUAAAAGUUGUCUAAAGAUGAUUAGGUCUGAUUAGUUGGAUAACAAGAACAAUCCUAAUGAAGGACGCCUUAAAAUCUAAUGUUUCUUUAUUUCGUAUAUGGCAUAAAAAAAUGAUUAAUCUUUUUUGCACUGUUAGCGUUGGAUGAAUGGAAAAUAUGUAAAUUUUGAAUUGUAAAAAUAAAAGAUAUAUAGAAGCAUACGUAUAAACUUAAGAUCUCUUGUAAUUAUUUCUACUCUAACCAAAAUAAUUAAAUUUCUGCUAUUGUGUUAAAAGGUUGGACUAAAAGUGCUGCAACUUUCUGUGAUAUAUCUCCACUUGCAUGGCUGAUUAUGUUCCAAGGAUAAGAUUUUGAAGUUGGAAUGAAGGUUUCUUCAAUGCAUACAUAUCAUUGUCUUUUUGGAGUUGGGAAGCUUUCAUUCAAUUGAAACAGCAUAUCCACAUACUGGUCUUGUGGCCAGAAAACAAAGUAUACAGCAGAGCAUAUCAGUUUUUAUCAGAAUAGUCAAAUUUCAGCUUACUCCAACAGCCAUGGUUCUGGGGCCUGAACAGAUCACCAUCGGAUGAAGGUAGGAGAUGCAUUCAGUGUUUUAGGUAGACGAAUCUUGAUGCCCAUGUGAUAAGGUUUAUCUCAUUUUCUUAUCCUCUCUUCUUUUUUUUUGUUUUAAUAAUCUCUUGAAAUGGGUGGUAAUUGGAGAAAUCAUUCUAAGCUCUUGCAUGUAUUGGAUUAUUUUCGCCAGUACAUUAUAUUGUGGUUUUUUUUUUCUGGAAAUGAAGUAUGUUGUGGGUUUUUUUUAAUCUGAACCAUUUUUUUACCAUGCAUAAAUCACACUUAAAAUUAAAAAAAAAACUACCGUAAAUAAUUUUUUCCCUAAAUAAUCAUGAAUUCCAAUGGAUAUAUUCAAGAUUAAUCACGAUAGAAAUGGAAAUUAUGCUUAAAACAAGUUCCAUUUUAGUGUAUCAAAUCCUCUAAUUUGCUGCGAGAUUGUUCGAAAACACAAAAAGCAAAUUAUCGAAAAAAAAAAAAAGCUUUGAGGGUUUUAAUUGGUUGGAACACCAUUGACCUUUUCUUUUCUUUUCUUUUGUGCCCCAAAAGAAAAUGUUAGACAACUAAUGGACAACUUGGGGCCGUCACUUCUCAUUCGUUUCAGUUUGAGCUGCCAAUUUCUUUUUCCUCCAAAAGUUUUUUUUUUAAAAUUUCUUUCACCGAAUUUCCAAAAGAGUCUAAAUGCAUUUAAUGUUUGAGGAAACAACUCAAAAAAUUAUUUGUUUUUUCUUUCUUAGCCCAUUGAGAUGACCGGGAAGCUCGAUCGCAGAACAUUUGUUUCAUAUGCCAGUGAAGCACUUAAUAAUUAUUCACGGUACGUUGUGGAGCGCAGAAGGAGCGAAGAAAGAAGAAAUGAAGAUUAUGGCUGUGUUUGGAUUAGCUGUUUUUUGAGUUGUUUUUCAAAAACAGCACUGUAGCAUUUCGUUUUUGAAAUACAAGUCCGUUUGAAUUAGUUGUUUUUGGAGUUGUUUUUCAAAAACUAUAUGAAAAACUUUUACUGUAGAUGUUUUUUGGAUUGUUUUUAGAGGUAUUUUUAAAACAUAUUUUUGGGUAUUUUUAUAAUUUAUAAUUUUUAUAUAUAUUUAUGCAUUUAUAAUACAUUUAUAAAUAUUUAUAAAUAAAUAUAUUUAUAUAUUCGCUAAAAAAUAUAUAAAUGUAUUAUAUUAUAUAUAAUACAUAAUAUAAAUAUAUAAGUGUAUAUUAUUAUAAAUGUAUAAAUUAUAAAUGAAUAUUAUAUAAAUGUAUAAAUUACAAUUUAUAAUUUUUAUAUUUUUAUAUAAAUAUGCAUUUAUGCAUUUAUAAUAUAUUUAUAAAUAUUUAUAAAUAAAUAUAUUUAUAUAAAAAUAUAUAAAUGUAUUAUAAAUUUAUUAUAUUAUAUAUACAUAAUAUAAAUAUAUUUAUAAAUGUAUAAGUGUAUAUUAUUGUAAAUGUAUAAAUUAUAAAUGAAUAUUAUAUAAAUGGAUAAAUUAUAAAUUAUAAUUUAUAACUUUUAUAUUUUUAUAUAAAUAUACAUUUAUGCAUUUAUAAUACAUUUAUAAAUAUUUAUAAAUAAAUAUAUUUAUGUAUUUAUAUAAAAUAUAUAAAUGUAUUAUAUUAUAUAUAAUACAUAAUAUAAAUAUAUUUAUAAACGUAUAAGUCUAUAUUAUUAUAAAUGUAUAAAUUACAAAUGAAUAUUAUAUAAAUGUAUAAAUUAUAAUUUUAUUAAUAUAUAUUAGUAUUAAGUAUAAAUGUAUUAAUAUAAUUAAUAUAAAUGUACAAAUGUAUUAAUAUUAUGUAUAAAUAUAAAAUUAAUAUUAUGUAUAAAUGUACAUUUAUAUAAAUGUAUAAUAUAUAUAUAUAUAUAUAUAUAAUAUAUAAUAUAUGUUAUAUUAUAUGUAAUUUAUAUAAUAUAUAAUAUUCAUAAAAAUAUCUAUAAUAUGUAUCAAUAAAUAUAUAAAUAUUUGAAAUAUAUAAUAUACAUUAAUAUUAAUUAUAAAUAUUAUAAUUUUAUAAAUAUGGUGUUUAUAUAAUAUUUCAAUUUGUAAUAUUUAUUGUAUAUUUCAUUAUAUAAAUAUUCAUAUAAUAUAUAAUAUAUAAUUUUCAAUUUGUAUAAUAUACAUAAUAUUGUAUAUAUAUAAUAUAAUAUACAUAAUAUAAUAUAUUAUACAUAAUAUACAUUAUUACAUUAUUACAUAUUAUGUAUAUUAUAUAUUAUACAUAACAUUAUUUCUAUUCGAUUUCACUUAGAUAGUACAAAUAGCAUGUAGUAUCUUUCUAUUUGAUUUCACUUGAAUAAGCUAAUUUUAUUGUAGGUAAAAUCAAAUAAAGAUAUAUUAUAUGUUAUUCAUGCUAUUUAGGUAAAAUUAAAUAGAUAUAUAUCCAUGGAUUUCAUUUUUUUUUAAAGCUAUUUAUACACAUGAUCAAUGAGGAACAACAAAAUUCAUUUUGUGAAAUAUAAGAGACGAAAAAAUUUAUUUUGUGAAAUGUGAGGAACUAUGGAUCGGAUUAUAUGGAAUUUGAUUUGACAAAUUUACCCCUAAAAACUGAUCGUGUGCAAGGCAUGUGUCGGAUUCCGGUCAAAAACUAGUCAGAAAUCUAAGUAGGGAUCAAAUUUGAUCAAUGUGAAUUUGUAAGGAAUGUAAAAUUAUACUUUUAAAAGUGAGGAACAAAAAAGGUCAUUUUGCAAAAUGUGACAACAUUUUGAAUGAUUUUCCCAAUAGUUUCAUCGGAAUACUAUAGGCCUUGGAAUGACUAAAGCACCUUGACUAUUGACUAGAGAAAUUUUGAAAUCAUGUUAUACAUUAUUAUACACAAUAAUGUAUAUAAUAAUAUUAUACAUUAAUAAUGUAUAUAUUUAAUAUAAUGUACAUAAUAUAUUAUGUAUAAAUAUUUACACAUUUAUGUAUAUUAUAUAUUUAUGUAUAGUAUACAAUAUUAUGUAUAAUAUUAAUUUAUAUAAAUAUUUAUAUAAUAUAUAAUAUAUAUAAUUUUCAAUUUGUAUAUUUCAAUUUAUAUUAAUAUAAUAUAAUAUAUAUAUUUAUAUUAUAAUAUACAUAAUUGAAAUAUACAUAUGUAGUUGUUUUUGAUAUAAUAUUUGGAUAUGGUGUUUUUGGAGUUGUUUUGGAAAUACACAUUUACUGUAGCAUUUGGAAUAUGAAAAACAGUUUUUCAAAAACAGCUCCAAAAACAAGGGAUCCAAACACACCCUAUAUCAGUCAUUAUCACAAUGAUGUAACUCUGCCCAUUCUAGUCACAUCUGAGUGUAGGCUGAUGGUGCAAUUCAUGGUCGGUAAGCAAUCCUAAAUAUUUGAUAAUUUUGUCACAUCAGCCGUGCCACUGUAAAAAAAAAAUUAUAUCAAUCUCAUGAGUUGAUUUUCUUUCACAGGUUGGUGGCAGUGGCACCAUCAUAUUGAACCAAAUAUAAUGAUCAAGCCAUCUUUAUCAGCAGAGAUUCUUAGAACCCAUAAUUCAGAAAACAGGAAUUUUCUUAAUUUCCUGCUUGGCAGCUUAUCAUGCGAGAACUUCAUAGUUCAUUCUUGACUUUACCACAAAGUUUUCAUAUCAAAAAAAAAAAUGACUGAAGAGAGGACUUCAACUUUUCUUGAGGGUCCUAUAUACAGUACUCAAUGAUAUUGCUAAUCGGGAUUCAAGUAUGAAAUGACCCCCGAAAAAAAAUCGAUCUUUUUCUUUUCUUUUUCAUGCUUUUACUGAUAAAGUUAGAGUAAUACUAUAUGUAAGAGCUGAUUUCAGAUCAUGAACUGCUCGCUUUUGUCUUGAUUUGUUUCGAGUCCAAAAGGGGGAAAGAGUAUAGCCUUUUACAAAUAUCUUACUUGGAAGUGCGGUCAAGGUUAGUUAAAUGCUCCAUCAUAGUGCUUUUUUUUCUUUGUCAAAAGUUGGUAUUAUCAUUAAUAUUUUCAGAAAUCAAUGAUAAUACAAUUGCACUCUCGAUUUUGAUGGAUUAAGGGUCAUUUUGGUUGGAAUCAACAAUUUCAUAAACAAUUGUUGAGCUUAAAACCAAGCCAAAAAGAAGCAUUCCCACCGGCCAUCCGUGAUUUUUUUUUUGUACUUGUACAGCUUAUGGAUGCUGCUGCAGGUUUAACUCGUACAGGUCUUACCUAUUCGCACCAACGUUAGCAAGGCAGCGGCCCCUGUUGGUGUAUGGGUAAGACUAAGAUGGGCGCUGAAGAUUCCACUUGAUCUCCGCAGCCUCUCUUGGUGGGGCGCAAAGGCCAAGGGGUCGGCCCCCGACGAUCAAAUAAUAUAUACAGGUCCCGCCGCAUCAUGCAUAAUAACCUGGAACGAGGAAUAUUUAUUAUGGAGGCCGAAUUACACGACUCCUCAUGCACCUGAAGGUGAGGCCACCUAUGCGGUUGCCAGUUGCGUACAUUCUUUUCUAAACACGUCAUGAUGUAGUUGAAAUUAGUGAUGCAUGAAUAGAGUUUGGUUUUGCCAAGCAAAUGAUUAAUUUGAAAGAUACACUACUCUUUCUUCUUAAAAUCAAGAGCUGUGACGCGCAUGGAGUUUGAUAACGCAAUGAUUUAUUAACUAUAGUAUUUGUUCUUUACAUUUGUUGUAUGCGUAUAGCUUAUGUAAUUUCUGUCAUUGGUGUAGAUUGAUUUCAUUAUUAACGAAAUUUGAUGACGAAUAUAAUUUUGGUUGGUUUAAUUAUUAUCUGUUCAUGCUUACCUCGACGUUUUUCGUAAAUGCUUUGUAUUGGUAGUUAAGAGUUCAGUGCUCGUAAUCAAUCGUUUUCCAAAACGAUUAGUUUAUUUGUUAAUUGAAUAAACUAAACGAAACCAACUACAUGUUUCUUGUAGAUCUAAAUGAAUGAAUGAACAAAUAUAUAUAGAUGUUCGGGUAUAUGUUCCAUAAAGAACAGCAAUCUUUUAGCUGUAACCUCAAAUUUUAUUCAUAAAACACACAUUUUUCAUUCUUCACCAACAAGUUUUGAUGUUUUUAUUUUCAUUUAUAUCAAGUAUUAGUUGCGAAAAAUAUUCAUGUACAUAAUUAUUUUCAUUUUUAUUGUGGAGAUAGUUUUUAUUCUCAUAUUAAUAUUUUGAAGGCCAUAGGAGAGUUGUAAUGAUGAUUCUAGGUUAAAUUAGCUUACAUUGAAAAGGUAUUUGAGCAUUAAUACUUAAUUUGGGAGUAUAAAGUUGGUUGUCAAUGGGCUUUUGUGUGUGUGUGUGUUUUUUUUUUAUCGUGACAAGUGUAUUGAUACUGUAUAUGCAAUUAAUUAGGAUCUCUUGAAUGACUAGGUACUUGAUUUUAGAACUUAUGUUUGGGUAGUUAUUAGGGAUUUAGCUUCUUAAUUUAUGCAAAGUGUGGAAGAAAAUGAUUGAGUAUACUAUAUUUUUCUUUUUUAAUUUUGUACAAAGGGGUAAUUUAGGAUUUUUUGAAAGAAAAUCUAAGUUUUUGGAUCUAUAUUGUUACUAAACAGUAAAAGUAGGGGAGGUAUAUAUAAUUUUUAAAACUUGAGGGGAGUUCUUUGUAAUUGUGAGAAACCUUAGGGGAGGUUUGUAAAACUAUCCCUUUAUUUUUCUACCUCAGCAAGAGAGGCUAUCCUAUCGGGAGCUGAAUUCUUCAUCUUUUUAACAUCAGACCCUCCAAUUAGCCAGAUCAAGAACACCAAGGCGCUUCCGGUGAUAUCUAAAGCUGCAAACGAAUCGAGCUGCUCGCGAGCGGCUCGAGUCAAGCUCGAGUCGAGUUCGAUAUUAAUCGAGCUCGAACUCGAGUUCAAAAUAUUAAACUCGUUAGCUCGCGAGCCAGCUCGCGAGAUUGAGUAUAUAUAUUUUUUUAUUUUUAUUUUAUUUAAUAAUAAAAUUACGUAUAUUAUAUAUAUUUUUUUUUUUUUAUUUUCAUAGUGAAAUUACGUAUAUAUCCUUAAUAUUUUAUUAUUUAUUCAGAAAAAAAUAUUAUUUUAUUUAUUUUUUAAAAAAUAAUAAUUUUUUUUAAUUUUUUUCGAGCUCGAGCUCGAAAAUUGCCAGCUCGUCGAGCUUGAGCUCGAGCUCGAGUUUGGUAAAAUUUAGUCGAGACUCUGUUCGAUUAGCUCAAAACUUAAUUCGGCUCGACUCGUUUGCAGCCUAGUGAUAUCUUAUCUUAAUUAUAAUAAGGUUAAAACACUUACCGUUGACAUCUUGAACCUGAAUAUACAUCUCAUAGAGAUCACAACUCGAGCUGCCCACUAUGCUAAAGUUGAUAAGAAAUAAACACUCAAUUAACCACUGCAAAUUAAGCACCACAGACAAUUAUCAACGUGGUUAAAUCCAAAUUAACAGUAAUCAGGUGGAUUAAGAAUUGAAAUUUGCAGAAAACCAUAUGUUGCUUGGGGUGGCAAAAUCUGUCUUUUUCUGUGGCCGCCAAACGAAAAUAAAUGAGGUGGGCUGCCGUCUUUGACCGACAUCACCUUCCUCGUCCCACCCCAAAAAACAUUCCACAGCCGCGCAUGCUUAUUUGCUUGAUUUCUCGGCAGAUUCUGUUUUCCAAGGACAUGCAAGGAAUUCACAAUUCACUGAACCCAAAAGACAACACUGGUGUUCUUUUAUACGACUAAUAAUUAAAAAAAUUGUAAUAAUUGGCGACAGAUUCAUUGAUCUUAUCAUCUUCGAUUUGUAAAUAAGUUGGCUCGAUCCCAUUGACAGUUCUAUCCAUAAUGCAUAAAUCUAAAUCGAGAUAAACCAUGCAAGUUCUUUUUUUUUGGUUUGGUGUAAAUCUGAUCCAAUCAAUUAUGCAUCAAGAAAAAUAUGCAUGAAGCUCAAAAUCUCCACGAUGAAAGAGUUGAUGUGAUCUGAUUUAGGCCUGAAUCCUGUUUGGAACUGCUCCAACUUAGCAGAAGCCAAUUUGGAAUCUUUGGCCGGUCAGUCUAGUUGUUGAAUACACAGUUGAAAACAUGAACACUACCUCCCUCUGAAGCUUCCCGCAAACGUCGCGCUGAGGACAUUAUCAAAAUAAAAAACCAUUGGAGCAAAAGAACAAAAGGGUUCACUGCAAAGAUAACAAGAAGGACUUGUAGGUUUCUUUUAUUUUUAUGUGUGAAAACAUUUUCUUCAAUGUAAAAAGAAAUGUUAACCACCUUGUAGCCUAGUUCGAACUUAAUAAAUUAUUGAAGCUUUAGAUGAAACGGCACCAGAAAGUUCAGAAACUGGUCGGGAAUAUCUAUAUAUAUAUAUAGAGAUCUUGCUGAGCUCAUUUACAUAGGCACUGCCAAAAUCAAUCAUUCGAAAAAGAUGCUUCAUUGGAUACAUAUAUUGAUCACUAUUGUAAUUGGAGUUUUACUUAUGCACUUUCAAAAAAAAAAAAAAAAAAAAGUGAGUCAAUAAACAAACAAACCGCUAUAUAUAGCAAAAAUUCUAGAUGGUCAAAAAUUUUGUCCCCAAGCUGCAUCACCCUAAGGCGGACUAAGUUCUAUUAAUCAACUUCAAGGCUCUUCUCGAGACGAUUCCUAAUUUCUGUCCCAUUUUUUGAACCAUUUUGCUUUGCUUUCAGUUUUGUCGAAGCCAUAGAAUAAAUCCUAGAAUUACCGUUCAUACUUAAGGGCUGUAAUUAAUAUCUACGUAUCUAACAAUUGUAUUUUGUCUUUUCAUUUCAAAAUGGACCUUUCUAAUUCGUCCCAGUGGUAAGUAUUUAGGAACAUUAAAAGUAUGCAUAAAUUUAAGAGAGAAGUAUGCUUUAAUUAUUGAUCCAUAUUUUCUAUCACCUUUUCUUUUUUUUUUUAUAUAUAUUUAUGCAAUAAAUACGCAUGUGAGACAAGUUCAUUAUGAUAAAAUUAUUUGAAAAUUAUUUUUUAGUAUUUACAAAAUAUAUUUUUCAAUCACAUUUUUAUUUCACAUAGUUCACAUUAAAAUUUAAUAUAUCAAAACUUCUUUUUCCAAAUAACUAUCGAUCCAAACAAACCCUCGACGUCUAAGAAACCAUUGACUUAUCAAGGUUGUCCCAUGAGAAGUCCAAGUGACCUAGGUCAAGGUUACCCCAUGAGAAGUCUAAAUGGCCUAGGUAAUUUUAUUAAAUAAGGGACGAUAAAUGUAAAUAUGUGUAUUAAAUAAUAUAUUAGAUUAAAGUAAAAGAUAAACAUUUUUUUGCCUGUGAAUAUUUAUCUGUUGAUUUAGACAAUUUCCAUUUAAUCUUUUUUAAAUAUUACAAUUCAUAUUUUUCAUAUGUGGUGUACAUCCAAACAUGUUAAAAUAAAAAUAUCUUUAUGCUGAUAAUUUAUAAAAGAUUUAAUCUAAAUUAAAUAUAUUAAUAAUUACUAAUAUAAUCCCUUCAAAAUAUAUAUAAAUAUAUAUAUAUAUAUCCACACACAGAGUUUCAUUGGACUAUUAAGGGUUCCUAAAAGAGAAUCUUGCUUUCAGUUAAAACAAUAAGUCCAAAUUAUUUACUUCAAUGAAUUGUUGUUGUUGUAGUUUUUUCUUCAUACAAAAAAUCAUUUCAUUCAAUGAAUUUGUACUAUAGAAAUAUAUCAAAUCGAACAUGACACAGUUCAUAUAGAUACAAAUUUGAAAUCAACAGAUAUAACAAAUCUGAAAAAUCAAUACAAAUAAAAAUGAGGUCAUUGUAACCCCAUGCAUCUAUGCAUGUCUUCUAACAAUUAGAUCUGAUUAAAAAACUGGUUCAAACCCGAAAAAGAAGUUUAGAUUUGACAAUAACAAAUGGAGAAAUUAGAUCUACAAAAUCUCAAAUUUCAUAGGAAAAGAUAAAAACUGAAACAAAACUCUUACAAGGAAAAACUUUAGGAGCGAAUAAGAUUCUAAAGAACAAUUUAAGAGAAAGGAAACCGAAACUAGGAGAUUUUAUGCCGGAAGAAUCUCUCUUUAAGAUCUCUCAGUAAAAAAAACCUUAAAAGAGAUUUUAUUUCUAUAAAAGAAACUAAAAAAAAAAAUUCGAGAGAGGGCUCCCUUCCACGGAGAUCCACCAAAUGAGUUGUUUCAACUUGGAAUUUUCAUCAUCUUAGUGAUGUUUUGAAAAUCGGACCGAAUUGCCCGAUUUGACUGAUCAGAUCGUGAACCGGCUCUAAUUCACUAUUAGUGUUGAAUUAUCAUAAAAACGAUCAAAAUCGCAAAAAAUCAGAUGGACCGCUCAAUCCAGGUUGACCCGUGAACUACAAUUUUUCAUUUUUUCCAUCUUUUUACAUUAAAUGAACCUAAAGUUUUAAACAUGAAACUUAUCUAUCGAAUCUUUUGUUCUCUACCUUAAUUUCUAAAAGAGUAAUAAACUCUCUCUAUUUCUCACCCUUAAACUCAAAAAUCGUCGUGUUCUUUGUAGUUUUAUUAGAUUUAGUUUAAUUUUAGAAGUUCCAAUGCAUUUUGUUUAAUUUGAGAAUAUGGUUGUGAUUCAUGGAGGAUUUAAGAUUGUUUUCCUAACAGGUACAAUUGAGAUGAAUGUAUUUGUUUGAAUUACAAUUUUAAAUAUUUAUUUGUGUUUAAAAAUAUUUAACAUUUUAUCCAAUGAUACCUUAAAUUGGUCCAUGAGACAUUUUAUCAGAUAUGUGUGUCAUCGAACUAGAGUUGAAUCUGUCUGAACCUCCGUUCGAUCACUUUACCUGUUCAAUUAUUUUAUUAUAUCUUAGCAGACAAAAAUUUCAUGGUGUCAAUGUCUUCAAUCUUCAUUUGACAGCCGACGUUUUUCGGCCUAUCAUACCAUGAAUCCAAUGGCGCUUAUGCAUUCACAAAAAUCACCAGCCCACCGUCCUCUCUUCUGCAAUAUCAGGGGCCACACAACGUCAUUUGUGAGCAGUAAGUGCGGUUAUAACCACGUAUGCUUUAACUUCACCACAGUUCUCUGAGCCUGGAUAUUCUCACUGUCCAGCGCUGUCUUACGUGGAACUCUCAUUAUUCCUGCUGACGCCCUUUUCUACGAAUAAAUAAACCUCAAUAAUUGACUUCCUCAUUCAACGUUUGCCAUCAUACAUUCCCGAAAUUGCACAAACUUUAGACGUUGACGAUGUUGCCCCCACCUCAAUCCCACCCACAUCGUAGACGUGGCACUUCUGUAAUUGUCAUCUUUUUCUUGGACUACAAUUGCAUCAUAUUAUACUAUGUAUUACUAAUAUCAUAAUAUUUUUUUUCCUAUUCUGUGCCUUAAUAUAAAUAUUUAUGUACAUGGUGACAAGAAGGACAAAAACCACAAGAAGUUGGUUCAAAGUGUUUUACUCGCUUACCUCUGCUCGUUUACCGCAUGUGCCGCACACGUGUCUCGCCCAAUCAUUCACAUAAUCCAAACGCUUCAGUUAGUACCCUUCGACGAUCUUGACACGUAAUCCUUCCAUCAAGCGGGUCACAGCCGUCAGAUUGAAGAACCGGUGCAUAAUCUAAAAUGUCCAUUUUACCCUACAUCGACUAUAUAUUUGCCCACCUGAGGAACUAGGCAGAAAUUAGAGAAGAGAGGCGGCGAGAGAGCUCUCGUUGGUUUAGCUGGCAAGCCCUAGUGAAAGCCCUUGUUUCUUUGCCUUCCUCUACUGCCCAAGUUGCGAAUGCAGAGAGAUGAGAAUUGCUUCGCUUCUUAACCCCCAUUUGGGAGGCGGAAGGUCCCAAAAACAACCCACCGGCGGCAGGAAUUGCCACCGGAAACACGUCGAAGACGGGUGAAUCCUUUCACCCCUUCUCAGCCAGCUUAAAUAUUUUCCCAGUCCAACAAAACAGUGCAGUUCUUCAGCCUGUCAACCUAAACAAACCCUUUAGUUUUCUUGUACUAUUUUCAUUUCUUUUUCAGCAAAAUCAUUCUACAGAGCACCGAUGACAAUGGGG